CCAACCUGAGUCACUUUGUAGUCGGUGGUUGCGAGAAUUUGAAGUCAUUGCCCAAAAGCCUUCACACCCUCACUGCCCUUCGAUCUUUGUCGAUAUGUAAUCUUCCGAAUCUGGAGUCAUUUGCAGAAGAUGGGGGUUUGCCUCCCAACCUCCGACAAGUAAGUAUUAGGAAUUGUGAGAGACUGAGGGCUUCAUCAGUGGGUUUGCAAGCACUUGACUCCCUUGAGAUCAGUGGAAGUGACCAUGUAUUCUCUAUCACACUCUUCACAUCUAUUCUCUAUCAACUCUGAAAUCUUUGGACGGAAAGGGUCUUGGACACCUCACUUCUCUUCAAGAGCUAGAUAUUAACAGGUGUCCAAGUCUGGAAUUCCUGCCAGGAGAGGAACUUCAACACCUCACUUCUCUUCAAAAUCUAUACAUUUGGAACUGUCCCAGUCUUCAAUGCUUGCCAGAAGAGGGUUUUCCAUCAUCUCUUUCUCAUCUGAGUAUCCGCCGGUGUCCUACCCUGGAGGAAAGGUAUAAGAAUAAAACGGGACGAGAUUGGGCCAAGAUAUCUCACAUUCCUUGCAUCGAGAUAGGCAACGAAGUGAUCAUAUAAUAUGAGCUAUUCCAUAUUUCACGCUCAACCCUCAACUCUCAAAUCAAAGUCAGGUGAGGUAUGUGCCUUCUCUUACUUUAAAAAACUGCUGCUCAAUAACACUCUUCGCACUCUAUAUAUUAUGGCCUGUCAGUCUAAAAUUCCUGCCAGGAGAGGAACUUGAACGCCUCUCUUCACUGCAAAGGCUACAUAUUUGUGGGUGUGACAAUAUCCAAUUCCUGCCAGAAGAGCGUUUGCUGCAAUCUCUUUCUUAUCUGUGCAUCGACCAUUGUUUUGCCAUGUAGAAAAGGUAUCUCACAUUCCUUGCGUCAAGAUAGGUGAAGAAGUGAUCAUAAGAUAUGAGCUCUCUCUCCCUCUCGCUCACAUACAAAGUACUUAAAACACUCAAUCUGAUUUCUAUUAUUAUUUUGCUCAGUAAAUUUUGUUUAAAUUUGCUUUGUUUCUCAUUGCGCUUGUUCUGCUUAUCACAACUUAUAUCCUAUUUAAAUCUCAAAUGCUGAAUAGUUAGCAGUCUUUUCGCAGGACAGCAUAUCUUCUCUUGGAGAGCUAUUCAUUUGCAAGGUUUCUUUAUGUGUCAUUUCCAGAGGAGGGUUUACUAUUUAAUAGAAAGGUUCACCUGGAAUAUCUCAAAUGACACAUUCCCAAAUACAGGCAUUGAAUGCACAACAUUUUGAGGUACUAUUUUUGUAAUAAAAAUGUACUUGAGUCUCAUUUGAGCUAGUUUAAAUUGUAUUCAAUGUCUAUGGAUAACCUGUGAGCUUAAGUUGUAAGAUAAAACUCACAGUAUAUUAUUAGGGUUUAGGGUUCAACAGGUGAGCUUAAGUUGUACUUUCCUAGGUACUGCAUGUAUAUUAUCUUAGUAUCAACACUUGGUCUUAUGUGGACGAGAGAGAACAUUUGAGGAAUUACAAAAUCUUCUUAGUGAAUUAAGCUUGUUUCAGCUCUGUUUGUCAUCCCUCACAUUUUCUUUGUUAAGCCUUGAUUUUUUAUUAGACAUACGAAAAAAUGCUUUUAUAAGACAGGAGAUGAAUGCUUUUAUAUGUUGAUGUCGUAGUCAGUCUUCAACCACACUCUGUUUUUAGAAUUCAUUUAUGUUACUAGUUGAGAGCUGCUGUAUUUUAUAUUUCGUUCCUGUAAUGUUUGGAUGUUUAGCUUGAGCAGUCUAGCUUAUCCAGUAGAUAACUUGUCCCCUGUUUUGUAAUGUUUUUGUUUCCUCUAAUGAAAGCAGGUUUUACUUAUCUUGAACUGCAGAAGCCUACUUUUUGACAUAGGUGGCAUGGCACAAACUCGCAUCCGCAUUUCCAUCCCCAUUGGCAUGCUGUCUCAUCUUUUCUAUUCUGUUACCAGCUUGAAGCUUGUGUGGACAUGUUAUGCUCUUGUAAUUCUGAUCACAAACAUCACUUGACAAAUGGAAAGUCACAAUCAGAUCUUUCAGGUGAUCUGGAGGUUUACUUUCUAACAUUUGUUUUCGUGGGGGGGAGACAACAAUACAGAAUUUAAAAUUUCUGAUAAUCAAUAGUAGUUUGCAUAUAUCAGCUGGGACCUGUAUGACUGUAUUAUGUAAUUAAUUAUUUCUCUUAUUGUUUGGGUACUGUUAAAAGGAGUUAGCCACACAACAUAAAAAAGGAGGUCUCUUAUUUCAUACAAUUUUUCAAAUGUGAUCAUUAAUCCGUUUCUUUUUCAACAAUAGAGGAAUGUAUACUAAUCGUCUGGUCCAUCUGCUGCUUCACUCCCUAGUAGCUUCAUCUCCUGUCCUUUGCUUUAUUUCUGUUGAUGAAUGUUUUGUCUGGGUUAUUUAUUUUCAUUUCAUGUCCAUUGCUUUAUUUCUGUUUGGAUUCUUAAUUAAAUCUGUCCUGGACUUGAACAAGGGUUAGGUUAGCUGUAUAAUUUGCGGUUUUAUAUACACAACUGUCUACAUUGAUUAAAACCAGCAUUAUUCUAAGGUUCAUUUAGAAUGUAUUAUCACCAAAAUUAUAAAGAAUACUUCUAUUACAAUUAAUUUGUUGAUUCUAAUUUGGACUUGUAGGAACAGACCAAACAUGUUCAUGCGUGGCAUUGCUCAAGUCAUCAUCAUUCGAGACAGAGAAUAAGCCUUCAAGUGUCUGCUGAGUCAAUGAACCUUUCUAGAUAUCUCAAGUGUAAUGGAAAUUGAUGAGUUACAAAGGAUUUGUAAACAUUUUCUACUGGAGGCUAGAAAUGCUUCAAAUAAAUGACCGUGUUGCAAUUAUUUUGUAGGAUCAAAGACUCUGCAAAGAGGUAAGAAAGUCAUCAUCAAGUAACUUUGCUCUUCAAACUUUUUAUUUUUAUUUUUAAAUAUCAGUAAUAACUGGGAAAGCUUGCAUCUCCUUAAAUUGCUCAUUCUUACAUCUUUUAUAGUUUGUUGAUCUUGGGCAAGUGGAGAGAGAGGCGUCAAGUGAUACGCAACAACCAUUUUCUGUGAGCUGAUUUGAUAAAGAGAAAUGGUAUGCUUUCUUGUCUUAAGCGGUGUGUUCUGCAAUUAUUUGAAACAAAGGAUGCCGCACUUCAAGUUCGAGAAAAUCAGGUAUUUUAGUAUUUUAUUCUUGAGAAAUUUGAUUUAUGUAGAAACUUGAACAUGUAAAUAAAAUAAAUAAAAUAUAUUAUAUGCUGUUAAUGAGUUAAUAUGGUGCUUGCUUCUAGUUGGAAAUUUAUGUAGUCAUCUACCUAUGAUCAAAUAAAGAUGAAGAAUAAAAUAUAAUUGAGAGCAUCUUCCUCUCCCCUGCUUUGCUCAUCCCUUGUUCUUCCACUUCAGCCCCACUAUUACACCAUUUUUUCAGCCACAAUUAUAAUAGCUCCAUGAGCAUUAAGUCCUUUUCAAAUUCUGCUGACAUUCAAAAUUGGAAUUUGCUGGUGAUAUAUGAUAGCAUCUUUGUCCGACCAAAAAGAGAAAAAAAAAAAGUUGAUAGCAUAUUGUACCAUUUUGGCCAGUGUACGCAAUAUUAUUGCAUCCAACUUUGCAUAUUAACAUCAGUGGCCACAGUUCCAUGAUUUGAGUGCACAGAAAAGUUUCAAAAGUUGUCCCACAAAGAACAGUCGUUCAAAGUGAAAGAGAGAUUUCAAAGCUUAAUUACAAGUUCAUGUUAUUUACAAUAUCAAAAAGCUUUCAUACUUGCUUACAAACCUGUAUUUCCAAGUUCUGCAAACCUUGGAAUAUCACUUCAUCCAAAUCCCCUUCCAAAGCAGGAAAAAAUGGCAGCAGCUUUGAUUGGAGAGGCUCUCAUCUCUGCUUCUAUCGUGGUGUUGUGUGACAGAGUUACUUCAGCCGAGUUCAUAGACUUAUUUCAGCAGAAGAAACUUGAUGAAACACUCCUCAUGAACCUGAAGACGACACUGUUGAUUUUGUUUGCGGUGCUCAAUGAUUCAGAGGAGAAGCAAAUUGUGAACCCUGAAGCUUUGCGAUGCAAGCUGGAAGGUGAGGAUCAAACCCACAAUAAUUAACCAAAAAGGAUCUUUUUGAUUGUUUGAAAGGAGGGUCUUGAUGAUUUGAAAGGAGAGGGUUGCUUUAUUUCUGUUGGAUGCUUAAUUAAAUCUUAUUUGGAGUUGAACAAGGAUUAGGUUAGCUGUAUAAUUAGUGGUAAACGCCUUUUUCUAAGGGUCAUUUAGACUCCUAUUACGAUUAAUUUGUUGUUUCUAAUUUGGACUUGUAGGAACAGACCAAAUAUGUUCACACGUGGCAUCGCUCAAGUCAUCAUCAUUUCAGACUGAAAAUCAGCCUUCGAGUGUCUGUUGAGUCAAUAAACCUUUCUAGAUAUAUCAAGUGCAAUGGAAAUUCAUGAGUUACAUAGAGAUUUUUAAACAUUUUGAAGAUUGCAACACCUGCAAGUGAGAUAGGCGGUGACGAAAUCAGAGCUGAUUUUGAAGCCUCUGAUGCCCCUGUUGUUGCAAGUUGCACCUGAGAACAAGUUUUUUUUUUCUUUGGGGUAAAAAACUGGCAACAUGUUCGGAGCUGACAAUUCAAUCCCUGAUGAACUAGAGAAGCAAAGCUCCGGUAAGGAAAUUGGUCAAGGUUGUGACAGGGAUGAUUGAUGGUGAAAUGGAUGCUAUUUCUUAUUGCAGCCUGUUCUCAAAGUUCUUGUUGGCAAAUGCAAUUGAUGGAGUAUUUUGAUUGGGAGGAGAGAUAAUGACAUGGCUUGACAAUUCUAGAACAGCCCAUCAUUAAUCCCAGAAAAAAUCCCGUUUCUGCUAAACAAUCACUUAUGGCAAGGCCAACUCUGUAAAUGGAAUUUGUGAUCCCUUCAAAUUGUACACAUUUUUUCUUUUUGAGGAAUUUAAUCAAACAGUAUUCUAAUGCAUUAUGAUAGCACUACACGCUUUUGUUGUAACAAAUUACAAGGAGGAAUUUGGAUUGAGUUUCUUGUAUAAGCACACCUUACACAAAUUUCGUAUAUUUUCUUCCAGCAAGUCUGUUUAUUAACCCCCUUAUCUGAAAUUAAUUGUUAAAAGUUUUGAUUCAUCUUUAAUCAGUGUCUUACCCUUGUUGAAUAACACUCCUCUUUCUAAUUUAUAUUUGAAGUUUGAGCUUUCAAUUUCAAUUGUGGGCUUUGAUUUUUCAGAUUUUGUUUGUCAAUUUCAGUUUGGACAAAGCAUAUAUGCAAACAAAGUAAGCAUUUUAUGUUAUACUUUUGAACUAGGUGUUGAUUUGAUUUAAUCAUAAGUUUUGCUGGUGCAUUUACUAGGCUAAUCAUUCAAUACUUUUGAUCAUAGAACUUCUUUGGUUGAUAUUAUCUUUGUUAAGUUUAACCAUAACUUUAGAGAGGGGACUUCAACAGAUUUAUAAUCUCAUCAUUAUAGUAUUAAAAAUUAGAGAUUAUUUAAGGCAUUGUCUAUUAUCUGAAUUCUGCUUACUUUUAGUUCAUAUGUUUACAUCUUAGCAUAUUCAUGUGAUUAGUGCGGCUCAUACCACAAAGGCAAUUUUAGGCUCAUCAAGUGCUAAGCAAUGUCAAGCUUCCAAAUGACAAGUUCUCUACAUAGUUUGAGACCUACACUUACUAGAUAUUAGAUCAUUUCGAUCAUUUCCAUAUGUUUAUAUGUAAUUGACAUGUUAUAACAUUUUUGUAGCGUUAUAUAAUUAUUUAGCAAUUUAAUUAUUUCUUUGCAACUUAAUUUUUUUUGUCAAUCAUACUAUUGUUGACUGCUAAAAACCAUCAAGAAAUAGUUCUCAAGUUAUAAAAAAAAAAAAAUUUUAAAAAAGAUUUGUUGAUGCUUAAAAAGCAUCAAGAACAGAUAGUUUCUUGACGGUUUUGUGACAUUUCAUAACUGUAGGGGGCUUUUUCUUCCGACAGCUGUAAAUGGGCUGGGCUGCCGUAAAGGGCAGACUGAUGAAAUUGUCCCCUUUUGUAUGAGCUCAAAAAUUAAGCCCCAAAAUACUUUGAAAGGGCAGCAGAGCCUUAGGAAGUAUUUUGGUUACCCUCACCAACUAAAACAACAACAACUUACAGGUAAUUACUUAAUGCUUAUGGAUGAACUCUUGAGCUUGGCAUGAGAGACAUAUGGCAUGGAAGCAAAAUCAACAUGAGUUUAGCACUGAGGGGAAAUUUAGGCUCUCUUGGGGGAAAAAGGGAAGUGUUAAGGUGAGAGAGGAGAAGUUUGUAGGAGAUUUAGCUAAGAAAGGAGAAAUAUAGAACAAUGCUCUUUUGGCAGCUUGACAGAUGCUCUGUUUGCCAGAAAAGGAAGAUGGAGAAGAAAUGUGAAUAGUGCAAGAGUUUGCUAGAUUUUUGCAGGUAAGAGAGGAAGCUUGCUCUCUGGGUCUGAGUUGAGUUUUUUUGUGUGGAAGAGACCUCAUUUUAUAGCCCUUGGAAACCAUCACUUCCCAAGAAACCCUAAUGGCUUCUACCCAUUUUGGCCAAGCUUUUCCCUUCCUUUCUCAUUUCCUUCCUUGACUUUACCCCUCUUGAUGAAAUCCCCUCUGCCUAUUUGCACCAUAUCAGAGUUUUUUGAAGCUCAAGGCCCCUUUUUCCCGCAGUUGUCUCAAUGGGAGACUUCCAUUCCCAGUCAUCUCCUUUAUUGCUUUCCUUUCUUUUUUUCAUGGCCAAGUUUGGUGGGGAAAGGAGUUGGGAUAUAUAUGCUGGUUUGAAGGGUGCUUCUCUUCCUGGCAUCUUACACACUAAUACCCCUUGGUUCCUUGAAUGUUUUGGCUUUGAAACUUGCUCUCCCCCCCCCCCCCCCCCCCCCCAUGUACUGGAACCUACCAGCAGCUCUAUUCAAUGAAUCUUCAGACCUUCUCUUCGUGGCUUUUAUUUUUUAUCAACGGGCUGGGGCUUUUGUGGCUCAUUGUGGCAAUUGUAUGGGCUAAGGUGGUUCAUUAAGUAAGUGGGCUAUUUUUAUUAAACAUUAGGCUUUUUGGUUGAGUCACUAGGCUAUUUUGAUUGGGCUAUUGGGCUAUUUUUUUCCUCUCUUGUGCUCACCCACAUGUUUGGACCAAAGAAAUGAGCUUGAGUCCUGAGGCUCCCAAGCGACCCGAGACUUUCCAUUUCUGGCCCAUCAAUGGGCCUCAUGUUGAUUUAUUACCAUCCAUACCACAACCCACUCAAGCAGGCUCCGGGCAUUUGAAUGACUUGGGCGCACUUAGGCUUGUAGUGUGGUUGGGUGCGAAAUAACGAUUUCGUGCUUGGCAUGUUUUAAUUUUAUCAUCCUUGGGAAAGGCUGCGAUGUUUGAUUUCGGCAUGGGCUUGUAGAGCUGGUAUGCUUUAUUUCAACUCCUAGCAUGACGAAUUAUUUAUUUAGCAUGGCACGUGAAUUACAACUCGCAUGUGGUGGGUUUUUGUGUACUACACCUUACGCCUCUUCUUAAUAGAACAUCGUUUUGGGCUGAUAAUUUAUUCGGGCCAAACCGUGAAUUUUUUGGGUCUCAAUAAUAACCAUCAUGAAACAUUACAUUUUGACUGACGUCAAGAAAUGGGGUAUCCCUUUCCUGAUAGUGGCAUCCAUGAUGCCUUCCAAGCAGUCAAUUAAGGGCUAUCGUGAUGCAUUUUAGUUGUCAGCAAAAGGUGUUUUUCUUGUACUGUAUUCACUCAAAGUCGUGUUUCAUUUAAGAUUAGUAGUAUGGUUGAAUACCAUUUGUUUUGUUAAAGAAUAUUAUACAUUAGGGAUUUUUGUAGAAAUGUCAUUUGAACUUAUACCUUAGUUUCAAUUUGUCACCUUGAAGAAAAAUUUAAGAGAAAUGUCACCUUAAUUUUUAAAAAUCCAUGAUUUGUCAUAUGACUUUAAAAUCAUCCAAUUUUCCAUCCAUUUUAAGGGUAUUUUAGUCUUUUCAUUUUGAAGGAAAAAAAAGAGAUGAAAAAAGAGACCUCUCUCUUACUUUGUCCCUCAACCCAACCCCACCCGCCCCCCAAAACACAUCACAUAGGAUUGCCUCCCCCUUCCCCACUUUUCUUUUUUCUUUUUGUCCUACUUUUCCACUAUGUUUAUGUUGAAGGAUCUAAAGUUUGCUUGGUCACCAUCUGUUACGUAGGCUUCCCAAUUGUUAGUUUGGGUGGGUUGUGGGAAUUUGUGUGCUCGAAACCCGAGACGAAUCUUGUGGAAUUCCCGACAUCACACCGAUGCCGGGCCCACUUCUGAACUAAAUUCUCUUUUCCAAAAUUAAGGAAAAAGAGUACGAGGCUUUCUGCCGAAAUUUCGACAGAGUAUUCCCUAUAAAUUUAACAUUUCAGCUUUGGUGGCCGUUCUCUCAUUUCAGCUUUGGUGGCCGGAUGAGAGAACGGUCGGCUAAAACGUGGCCAGCUGGCACUGCCGUCGCGAGAGAGAGAGAGAGAGAGAGAGAGAGAGAUUUUUAUCAAAUCAUUUUUGCCAAAAUUACGAUUAUGCAACUGAGGGUAUUUUGAUCGUAUCUUUUUCAUUAUAACUCUGAUUCAAGCCCACUACGUGUUUACGGACUCAUCUCGCCGUGCUCUAUGCAAUUGUAUAGUUGAAAUUCCCAAAUUCCACCCCAGUCAAAAAUUCAACUUUAAACCCUACAAAAUAUUAUAGGGGCAAAAUGGUCUUUUAUCUAAUUAAAUUAAUAAUUGAAAAUUUAUUUAGGACCGGGUUGUUACACUGUCGUUGAUGGACUGUGCGAUGACACUCACACAAAGUCCUUGAGAAUAAAACACACACACACCAUGAAGAGAGUAAAACAAAUACACAAGUACACAAAGAUUUAUAAAGGUUUGGCCUUCUGCCUACGUCCUCUUGGUGAUCCACCCGAGAAAUUCACUAGUACGUAAGAACAACUUUGGUUACAACUAAACCCCCUUAGCUUUCAUAAGAACCCUAGAUCUCUUUUCUCCCACCCUUGCUCCAACCCUUUGAUGCCCUUGUAAACACUCAAGAAUUCACCCUUGAAUUCUGUCAUGUGUUACAUCUUCUCUUCUCCCCUUUGUUAACCUAACCCUAAAAGUUAUAUUUAUAAUUCAUAGGACUUUAAGUACAAGUUAACUAGGAAUAGGAAACAUAAUAGACCUCAAAAAUUGGAGAAAAUAUGUUUAGAUCUCGUUAGGAAAUUGCACAACACGUGCGAUCCGCUCGAGCGCCUGCAAAAUGAUCCCUUUGUCGCUCAAGCUGCCGAUAGCUCAUGGGAUGGGGGAAUUAGAGAUUUUUUUUUUUUUCAAUUUUAAUUGUUUAAAAGAUAUACAAUUUUUUAAUAAUAAUUUUUCCAUUUUUAAAAUACCCUUGAAAAUAGAAAGAUUAAAAUGCCCUUAAAAAUGGAUGGAAAAUUGGAUUGCGUUAAGGUCAGUUGACAAAUCAUGGAUUUUGAAAAAUUAAGGUAACAUUUCUCUUAAAUUUUUCUUUAAAGUGACAAAUUAAAAUUGAGGUAUAAGUUCAAGUUACAUUUAUGCAAAAAUCCUUAUACAUUAUGAUAUUCUAACAAUAAAAUUGGCUAAAAUUGAUAUGUUCCCUCUUUAUUUUCUUUUUCUCUUUUCCUUUUCAUUUUAUGAUCCAAUCCUUUUCAUAUAUUUUUGUUCAAGACUUUGUUUUAGAAUGCUCUAUUACUAAUUUGGUACAGGUCCCUAAAAUCUCGGAGCCGCCUUAGUACAUUCAUAAUGUACAUGUUCAGAGUUCAAGAAUAAUGUAUAGAAUGUGAAAUUGACGAUGCCGGCCUUUAUGAGGCAACGUCUUUAUUUCUUUGGUUAUUACAGUUUAGAAUAUUUGCACAAAUGAGAUGAUUCCAAGCAUAAAGUCACAUUCGACCAAAAAGCAUGAAGUCACACACAAAAAGAACACGGACAAUUGCUAAGUUUAUCCUUGUACCCUUAUUUUAUUGAUCCGACCCAAUUGAAAAUUAAAAAAAGAUGAUAAAAAAUAUUGUUCACUACUUUAAAAUCUAUGAGUAGAGUCCUCCAUUUGAAAUUUCGUCAUUAUACAAAAUUGGAAUGAAAAAAGAAAAUCCUACAGCUAAAUUUGAUAUAUUUCCUUUUCAUUUUAUGCUGGGUGUUAGGGCUUGUCAAUGGGCCGGGCUAGGCUAGCCCGGCUCAAAUUUAAUGGGCUUGGGCUAGGCCGGGCCAAGCUUUAAAGAGGAGAGAGAAAAUAUCCGGCCGAGUUUUUUAAGAAAAUUCAAAGCCCAAGCCCGAAUCACUGCUGUCUAGCCCGGCCCAAAUUUAAUGAGCUUGGGCCAGGCCGAGCCAAGCUUUAAAGAGGAGAGAGAAAAUAUCCGGCCGAGUUUUUUAAGAAAAUUCAAAGCCCAAGCCCGAAUCACUGCUGUCAUUUCAUUGAUUUGUGACGAGCACAACCACCAAAUCAGAAUUUACUCACGAAAAUAUCAAGUAUGUCUAGCAAAUUUCAAUUUUGAAUAAUACACAAUUUCAAAAGGAGGACAUGUUGCAAGACAGCAUACCUUCUCUUGGGGUGCUUUUCAUUUUGCAACAUUUCUUUACGUGUAAUUUCCAGAGGAGGGUUUAUCAUUGUAUAUAGCUUUUCGGGUGGUUUGUCUACAAAACAAAUGUCACAAAGAAGGAGGAGAAACGGAAAAGAUUUACUUGGAAUGUCUCAAGUCUCCUUUGAGAUAAAGGCAUCGAAUGCACAACAUUGCUUUUGUGCUAUUUCAUAAUUAAAGUGUGCUUCCCAAGUCUCCUUUGUGUUUUGUAACUUGUAAUGUUUGUUUUUUUGUUUCCCCUGUUUUCCCUCUUAUAAAAGAAAUACAGGUCCAAACCACACGGAUCUACUUGCAUAAUAAUGGACCAAAUUUAUGAUUUUUAGAAAGAACCUUCUGCCGGUGGAAUCUUGGGCUACUGUUGUGGCUCUCCUCUGUGUGCCUCCUUUUUAGAACGGUAAAAUAUUCAAAAUACUAGAAAAUGUUCGUGAUUAAUAUAAAUAUUAAGAAUUGAAAUUAUUAAUUAAAUGAGGAUAAUAUGGUAAAUUCACACUUUUUUAUAUUAAAAAAAUUAAAAUUAAAAGAAAAAUCAGAUAAUUGAUAUUAUUUUUAUGGAACACAGCUACUCAUUAUCUUUUUUAAUUCUAAAAUAAAUUUAAAUUAAAGAAAAAAACCCCUCUCACAGGCACGGAAGCGCGUGCUCAGAGGCUAGUUAAAAAUAAUGAACUUUGCUUCUGAAGACGUCUAUACCAGACCCACUCAACCUGCUUUAUGAUUAUACAAAGAACAAACUCGUCCUUAGACUCAUUUGGUUAAACUUAGAAAAUAAUGAAACAAAAAUAUGCACUCCCACAAGUAACACAGCCAGGAUUGAAAACAACUGGACAAAGAAAGGCAUGUUAAAACAGAAUUUUCAACAACUCAUCACCAUUAGACAAGAAAAAGAAAAAUCAAUACAAAAACAGAAAGAACAGAGAAUAAAUGUGGUGGAAGAAAAACGUUGAAGCCAUUUGUGAAUCCAACAACACUACCACUCUGUUUCUCUCCUUUUGUUCAGGCGGAUCUGCAUAUAUCCUAAGGCGUAUUACGGAAACAACUUCUUGCCGUUAUACUUGAAUGUUGUGGAUGCUUCAACGUUGCCAUCUGGGUGGAGUGGAUUUGUCCAAUUCACCUUCACUAUGGUAUAUACGUCCAAAUUGUUGUUAUUUGAAAGGCUUCUAAAUUUUAACAUUUUGAUUUUUAAAUUUUGUUUAAAUAUUUCGGCCCACUUAGUUCUUCUCAAAAUAUGUCAUCAAUAUCGUUGAAAGGUUGAACUUAGUGAAUUAUUAUAGUGCAGUACUGUAGAAUAGACACAUGAUAUAAUUUGUCCACAUGUUAUAAUAUAAGUAAAUAUUUAUUGAUAUUAUUUCUAAAAAUAAGAAAUAUCAACCAUUAUAUCCUCCCAUAUUAUAAUACAUAUACAAAUUAUACCACAUUAUCAUACUCUAAUACCAUUUUAUAAUUUCUCGUACUUAGAGCGAGUCAAUGACAUUACAUAAUAUAUAAUUGUUCAUAUAAUGGGGCAACUAACGUGAUCAACAAGUUGUGGUGAUUAAUUUAACAUAAUAAAAAAUAUACCAUUUACUUGAGUGAUGUAACAAUUUGUUCUUUUAAAUUGGAUUGCCAUCACUUUAAUAUGAUAUGUUUCUUAUUAUAGUGUCCCAUGUUAAGUGCUUCAGCAUUGUUUGUGGUGUGUACACAAAUUUUCUUAUAAAAUGUUUUAAUGCUUCUCACAUGUAUAUCAGAUAUAGACAGUUGAUGUGACUUAGAAAUCAAAUUGUCAAUAAAGCAAAAAAAUAUAAUUGGUGAUUGAGGUCCAAUUUAAUAGAAAAUAGUCUUAACUUGUAUAUUAGAGGUUUCAGAUUCGAAUCCUCACUGCAUUAUUGUUGUAUACGUACACGAGAAAUCCUCUUCUCCAAUAAUUUAGACUAUCACUUAUACUAAAAAAAUAUAUAUAUAUAAUGACUUUUACGGAUGCAAACAUAAAAUUACACCAAACAAUAAUGGAAUAGAAAGAUGCAAGUUAUUUUUUUUUUUUUUACAUCUAAAGUAUACUUUAUAUAUAUAUUUAUUAUGGGUGUUAUAACCGUUUAAUUUUCAGUUUUUAUUUUCUAUUUAUUGUUUUAAUUUUUAUGGUUUAAUGUGUAUGAAGAUUACAAGUAUUGGAUGUCUACCACUCCUCCUUCACAUCUGAAACAAACCACCAUCUCAUUUCUGUAUUUUCAUACUUUCAUAUAUUUUCUACUUUCCAGAUUAUUAUUUUUGGGCAACGGUUCUGUGACUUGCAGAUUUCUAUCCGAUUGUUAACAUGCUCAUAGCGGACCUUGAGCUUGCGUAUUGGGGAUCGUAUCUUGGAGCCUUAUAGACCUUUAUUACCUGCAUGUAGGGAGGUUAUAAAUGCUUUAGGUCAGCAUCUUUGACGUGCUUUUGCUUUCUUUUUUUUUUUACUUAUUUCUUCGUUUCUUUAUUUUUACUUUACUUUUAAAUUUUUAUUUUAUGUAUUAUUUAUAUUUAAAAGUUUUGAAUAAGAGUUUUACAGAAAAGGAAAAACACAAUUUCAAAUAACACAAAUUUCUCGUUUUUGGUUCUUAAAAUAAAUGAAUUUUUUACUUAUUUGUGAACUGAAAUGCCUCUAAAAAAAUAAUGAUAGUUUGAAGAAUUUGAUAGAAAUUAAAAAAUAUCCUCAAAUUACUUGGAAUUGAAGACCACAUAGGCAAAAACACCAUUUUGGACAAAGGCUGGUGAUAAUAGUCGAUAUCAUCUUUAAGUACUUUAAUAUGAUAUGUUUCUUAUUAUAGUGUCCCAUGUUAAGUGUUUCAGCAUUGUUUGUGGUGUGUACACAAAUUUUCUUAUAAAAUGUUUUAAUGCUUCUCACAUGUAUAUCAGAUAUAGACAGUUGAUGUGACUUAGAAAUCAAAUUGUCAAUAAAGCAAAAAAAUAUAAUUGGUGAUCGAGGUCCAAUUUAAUAGAAAAUAGUCUUAACUUGUAUAUUAGAGGUCUCAUAUUCGAAUCCUCACUGCAUUAUUAUUGUAUGCGUACAUGAGAAAUCCUCUUUCCUAAUAAUUUAGACUAUCACUUAUACUAAAAUAUAUAUAUAAUGACUUUUACGAAUGCAAACAUAAAAUUACACCAAACAAUAAUGGAAUAGAAAGAUGGAAGUUUUUUUUUUUUUUCCUACGUCUAAAGUAUACUUUAUACAGUCCCGAUCUCUUGGACCACAGGAGUCCAAGAGAUUGUGGUCACCCACCGUUGGAUAUUAAUCCAAUGGUUCAAAAUGAUAUAUAUAAAUGCAAUAUGACAUAAAUGAUUAUUACCCGAUCCAAGUCAACCGUUGAAUUUACAUUCAACGGUGGGUGACCAUAAAUCUCUUGGACUACAGGGGUCCAAGAGAUCAGGACUGAUACUUUAUAUAUAUAUAUAUAUAUAUUUAUUUAUUAUGGGAGUUAUAACUGUUUAGUUUUCAGUUUUUAUUUUCUAUUUAUUGUUUUAAUUUUUAUGGUUUAAUGUGUAUGGAGAUUACAAAUAUUGGAUGUCUAUAAAGGGCCACUCCUCCUUCACAUCUGAAACAAACUACCAUCUCAUUUCUGUAUUUUCAUACUUUCAUAUAUUUUCUACUGUCCAGAUUAUUAUUUUUGGGCAACGGUUCUGUGACUUGGAGAUUUCUAUCCGAUUGUUAACAUGCUCAUAGCGGACCUUGAGCUUGCGUAUUAGGGAUCGUAUCUUGGAGCCUUGUAGACCUUUAUUACCUGCAUGUAGGGAGGGUACAAAUGCUUUAGGUCAGCGUCUUCGACGUACUUUUGCUUUCUUAUUUCUUCGUUUCUUUAUUUUUGCUUUACUUUUAAAUCUUUAUUUUAUGUAUUAUUUAUAUUUAAAAGUUUGAAUAAGAGUUUUACAGAAAAGGAAAAAUACAAUUUCAAAUAACACAAAUUUCUCGUUUUUUGUUCUUAAAAAAGAAGAAGCAUUGAUUGGGGAGUUAUGGUAAACUCAAUUUCAAUGGUUGCGAUGAGAGGCGGUGGCGGCGAGGAGAGGACGAAGGCUUUGCUGCCGACGGGGUGGUGUGGGUGGGUGGAGACCUCGGCUGGCUGCUUGGUCCUGGGUUCUCCUUUAAUUCUCUGUUUUCUUUUUUCUUUUUCUUUUUCUCUUAGAGUUAUUGAUGUUAAGUGAAUGGACAGAUGCCAAAAUAGGGACAGAAGUAGGGGUGGGCAUCAAUCCGGCCGAUCCGGUCAAUCCGGCCGAACCGAUUAUAUUGGAUUGGUUUGGUUUGGUUUUGACCAAAGAAAAAGUCAACAUUUUGAAAAACCGAACCGAACCGGUUUGGUUUGGUUCAGCUGUGGUUUGAGAGUUUUAAAAACUGUCCUAAACCGAACCGGACCGAUUAUAAAUCAAUUUAUUAUUUAUUUAAUUUAGUUUACAUGUGGCAAGGUUUGUGUGCGUUUUGUGAGUCCGCGUAUCUGAAUGUUGGUGCACGUUUUGAUCUUCUAAUUUGCAUAUCCCAGUUAUUUGUGUGUGCUUGUAUUUCCCUCUCUUUCUAUCUCUACUAUGUGUGUUUGCUCUUUGUGUUGUGUGGCUCUUCUUACUCUAUCUAUCUUAAUUAAUGGGUCCAUUUCAUAAUUUCAUACGCAUUCAAACUCCACCUCUGUGAUAAAAACAUUUACCUCUUUGUGAUAAAAGCUUUUCAUUUGUUUGUAUUUCUCUUUGGCUUUUUGACUCACUCACUGUCUUUCUUUCUUUUAAUGCUACUUGUGAUGAAUGCAAUGAGUAAAUUUAAUGCUACUUGGUUAAUGCAAAUUUUGUAUAUGUUUGUUUUGAUGGAAAUUGUGAACUUAGAUGCAUGCUAGACAUUGGACAACCUUUGAAUAAAUGGAAUGAUGUUGUAUUAGCCUUUGAUGGAAUGAAAUGAAAUGAUAUAAUGGCAAAAUGUUAGCAUUAUAAUGUAAGAGCAGGUUGAAAAAUGCAUGGUUUUGUGUUAGGCACAAACCGGCCGAACCAAUCCGAACCAAACCGAUUACAAGUGGUUUGGAUUGGUUCGGUUUCCAUUAUGAUUUUAGGCUAAUCCGAACCAAACCGGACCGUUAUUUUCUUAUUGGUUCAGCUGUGGUUUGAGAGUAAAACCGAACCAAUCCGGACCGUGCCCACCCCUAGACAGAAGAUGUGAACCCAAUUAUAUACAGCUGAUUACAUAAAGUAACAAAUUAAUUAAUACUUGAGUGGAGGACAGGCUUGAGUGGAAGAAUUGAUUAAGGCUUGAGUGGAAGACCAACUUCAGUGGAGGAAAGUAUAGAUAAGGAAAGCAUGCCUCGUUUAACGGCUUUAUCUAAUAAAGAUUAGUUGUUGGCACUUGGAGUUUCUUAGGAAUGCUGGUUUUGUUUCCUUGGUGGACUUGAAAGGUGGUGCGUUGGCUCGGACAUCUCCCUAGUAAUUAAUCGAAGGUGGAAUCUUACAAGACAUACAGCUGCUCAUUAGCUGAAUAUCUCGCUCUCUUUAAAGAGAUCGAAGCAAACUGCAAUUUGCAAUUUGUGUGAUUCAAGCAUGAAUAUCUGAUAUAGUAACUAUACCAUUUGUUGGUUUGAUAAGAAAAGUUUGGUUAGCGAGGAUGAAACCAUAAAGUUCUCCAAAACACACAAAAAACACGAACAAUUGCUAAGUUUAUUCUUGAGUUCACACAUAUUUGUACAAAUGAGAUUACUCCAAGCAUGACUAUACCAUUUGUUGGUUUGAUAUGAAAAGUACGGGCAACGAGGAUAAAACCAUACAAACACACACAAAGAACGUGGACAAUAUACUAAGUUUAUCUUUGCGUUAUUGAUCCGACCUAACUGUAAAAUAAAAAAGAUAAAAAUAUAUAAUGUUCACUACUUAGAUCUAUGAGCACUAAAGUCCUCCUUUUGAAAUUGCACAAAACAUCACUUUUGGUCUUUGGUAAAUUUUUAAAAUAAAUGAAUUUUUUACUUAUUUGUGAACUGAAAUGCCUCUAAAAAAAUAAUGAUAGUUUGAAGAAUUUGAUAGAAAUAAAAAAAUAUCCUCAAAUUACUUGGAAUUGAAGACCACAUAGGCAAAAACACCAAAUUGCAACCUCACUUUAAUGAUAAAAAUGGUAAACUACAAAGACAAAAAUGACGUUUUGCCUUAUACAUAAUUGGAAUUUGCUGGUGAUAAUAGUCUACCAUCUUUUGUCGAUUUGCUGGUGAUAAUAGUCUAUCAUCUUUUGUCGGUCCGACCUAAAAAGAAGAAAAAGUUGAUGGCAUCUUGUACCAUUUUUGCCAAUGUGGGCCCAAACAAUUUGAAGAAGUCCACCGGCAAUUUCUCAAAAGCUAUUGUGUGAGUGUGAAGCUAAACCAAUAUUAUUUUGCAUAUACGACUCCACAUCCCCAUGUGAUGUGAGGCUACAAAAGUGUUUCCAAAACGAAAUAUGAUAUUUCAAAACGAAGCUAUGUAUAGAGUCAUUUGUAUUUGCUUUCACAAUAACAUUUGAUUUGUGAAAGCAUUUUAUAUUUAUACAUUCUGAUAUUCUAACAAAUAAAUUGACUAAAUUUGGCCAACAGGAUUUAGCCGAAUAGAAAAGUCCUUAUUUAUAGACUAGUGGUUUCAAAUUUAAAGUUUAGACUAUCGCAUGUAUUUAAAAAAAAAAAAACAAUUGGCUUAAUUUGAUAUAUUUCCUUUUUUUCCUUUUUCAUUUUAUACUGGGUGCCGUUAUUAAGUUUUAUCCUUAUUUUUUGUUGAAAAGAAAAUUGAAAAAAAAUAAUAAUUCCUACAGCUAGCAACUUCUCCACCUUCCCUUCUUCGCAACUAGGGAUGCCAUUGCAAGGUCACCAUCUCAGAUUAAGUCCUCCUUUUAAAAUUGUGUCGUUAUUCAGAAUUGGAAUAUAAUCCUGUACCACUUUGGCCACUUUUGAAGAUGUUCACCGACAAUUUCUCAAAAGCUAUUAAGCUGUACAUCCACAAUAUUAUUGCAUCCAUCCCCAUGUGAGGCUACAGAAAAAUUUUGAAAACGAAACUGGAUAUUUUAUCUCUAACAACAGCUUUCAUACUUCGUUUACCCUGUGUUUCCAAGUUGUGCUAGCUAUUUGCAAACCUUGGAAUAUUACUUCAUCCAAAUCCCUUGCAGAGAAGAGCAAGAUAUGGCUUUGAUCGGAGAAGCCCUCAUCUCCGCUACCAUCCAGACGUUUUGUGACAAAAUUGCUUCGCCUGAGUUCACCGACUUAUUUCGGCAGAAAAAGCUCGAUGAACAACUCCUCAACAAGCUGAAGACGACGCUGUUGACCUUGUCCGUAGUGCUUAAUGAUGCAGAGGAGAAGCAAAUUAAGGAACCUUUAGUGAGAGACUGGCUUGACAAUCUCAGACAUAAUGUCUUGGCUGCGGAGGACUUACUGGAUGAGAUCGACACUGAAGCUUUGCGAUGCAAGCUGGAAGAAGGUGAAGGUCAAACCCACAAUUUAACCAAGAAGGUACGUGAUUUUUAUCAACGCAUGAAUGUUGAGAUGAAAGAUUUAUUAGAAAGAUUAGAACAAUUUGUACAAGAGAAAAGUGCUCUUGGUUUGAGAGAAGGUGCUGGGAGGAAGGUUUCACAAAGAAGAACAACUUCCUUGGUUCAUGAACCUUGUGUCUAUGGUAGAGAUGAAGUCAAAGAAAAUCUGUUACAAAGAAGAGGAUUUGCCGUCAUCUCUUUCUCAUCUGAGUAUCUCGCGGUGUCCUGCCCUGGAGAAAAGGUAUAAGAAUAAGACGGGACAAGAUUGGGCAAAGAUAUCUCACAUUCCUUGCAUCAAGAUAGGAUACGAACUGAUCAUAUAAUAUGAGCUAUUCCAUAUUUCACUCUCAACCCUCAACUCUCAAAUCAAAGUCAGGUGAGGUAUGUGCCUUCUCUUACUUUAAAAAACUGCUUCUCUUCUUCUAAUUGAAUACAAAAACCAAAACACAUAUUCUCUUUCUCUUCCAAAAACCCAAAUACAUGUUGAACAUUGCCAAAUUUGAUCUCCAAAUUCCUAAUUAUUUCACGCUUUUUGUUAUUUUGUUGCUUAGUAAAUUAUGGUUGCUGGUCACAAAUUAUAGUCUGUUAAUAGGUUCAUGCCAUGAAUUAAUCUUUGGACUUUCCCAGGUACUGCAGGUUUGUUAUUAAUGUUGUGGCCUGAUAUUCGUCGUAUCAAUAGGUUGUCUUACGUUGAGGAGAGAGAUCGAUCAGCAAUUACAAAAUUGUUAGUGAAUUUAGCUUGUUUAUCAUCUCUCUCCUUUUGUUUGUUAAGUUUGGUUGUUCUAGGUUAAACCCUUGUCCCCGCAUUUCACAGCAACUCUAUGUUAUUCCACUCUGUUUAGUUUCAUUUAUGUUGUGAUUCGACUGCUGCUGUAUUUUAGAUUUCGUUCAUGUAAUGCUAGGAUGUUUAAUCUCUUAUCUGUGGUGGUAGUUGAGUAGUCUAGCUAAUCCAAUGAUAACUUGUCCCCUGUUUUGUAUUGUUUUUAUUUCUCUGGUAAUGAAAGCACGUUUCUUAUAAAUAAAUAAAAAAUAUUUCAUUGAUAUUCAUUGCUUAUUUUGAACUGCAGAAGCCUACUUUUGUCAGAGUCAGUAGAUGCCAGAAUGAAGUCAUUGCCUAAACACAUUGGCACCCUCACAGCCUUCGACAUUUUGGGAUAUAUGAUCUUCAAAAUCUUGUGUCAUUUGCCUCCCAACCUGCAAUAUUUUCAUAUUUUAAAUUGUGACAGACUGAGCCCUUUGGUGGGAGAUUACUGGGGUUUGCAAGGACUUGGUGGCAAUAUCUUGUAGACGUUUCUCAAGGAACAGCUGCUCAAUACCACUCUUCACACUCUAUAUAUUAUGGCCUGUCAGUCUAUAAUUCCUGCCAGGAGAGGAACUUGAACGCCUCUCUUCGCUGCAAAGGCUACAUAUUUGUGGGUGUGACAAUAUCCAAUUCCUGCCAGAAGAGUGUUUGCUGCCAUCUCUUUCUUAUCUGUGCAUCAACCAUUGUUUUGCCAUGUAGAAAAGGUAUCUCACAUUCCUUGCGUCAAGAUAGGCGAAGAAGUGAUCAUAAGAUAUGAGCUCUCUCUCCCUCUCGCUCACAUACAAUGUACUUAACACAAACACUCAAUCUGAUUUCUAUUAUUAUUUUGCUCAGUAAAUUUUGUUUAAAUUUGCUUUAUUUCUCAUUGCACUUGUUCUGCUGAUCACAACUUAUAUCCUAUUUAAAUCUCAAAUGCUGAAUAAUGAGCAGUCUUUUCGCAGGACAACAUAUCUUCUCUUGGAGAGCUAUUCAUUUGCAAGGUUUCUUUAUGGGUCAUUUCCAGAGGAGGGUUUACUAUUUAAUAGAAAGGUUCACCUGGAAUAUCUCAACUGACACAUUCCCAAAUACAGGCAUUGAAUGCACAACAUUUUGAGGUACUAUUUUUGUAAUAAAAAUGUACUUGAGUCUCAUUUGAGCUAGUUUAAAUUGUAUUCAAUGUCUAUGGAUAACCUGUGAGCUUAAGUUGUAAGAUAAAACUCACAGUAUAUUAUUAGGGUUUAGGGUUCAACUGUUCAACAGGUGAGCUUAAGUUGUACUUUCCUAGGUACUGCAUGUAUAUAAUCUUAGUAUCAACACUUGGUCUUAUGUGGACAAGAGAGAACAUUUGAGGAAUUACAAAAUCUUCUUAGUGAAUUAAUGUUGUUUCAGCUCUGUUUGUCAUCCCUCACAUUUUCUUUGUUAAGCCUUGAUUUUUUAUUAGACAUAAGAAAAAAUGCUUUUAUAAGACAGGAGAUGAAUGCUUUUAUAUGUUGAUGUCGUAGUCAGUCUUCAACCACACUCUGUUUUUAGAAUUCAUUUAUGUUACUAGUUGAGUGCUGCUGUAUUUUAUAUUUCGUUCCUGUAAUGUUUGGAUGUUUAGCUUGAGCAGUCUAGCUUAUCCAGUAGAUAACUUGUUCCCUGUUUUGUAAUGUUUUUGUUUCCUCUAAUGAAAGCAGGUUUUACUUAUCUUGAACUGCAGAAGCCUACUUUUUGACAUAGGUGGCAUGGCACAAACUCGCAUCCGCAUUUCCUUCCCCAUUGGCAUGCUGUCUCAUCUUUUGUAUUCUGUUACCAGCUUGAAGCUUGUGUAGACAUGUUAUGCUCUUGUAAUUCUGAUCACAAACAUCACUUGACAAAUGGAAAGUCACAAUCAGAUCUUUCAGGUGAUCGGGAGGUUUACUUUCUAACAUUUGUUUUCAUUGGGGGGAGGACAACAAUACAGAAUUUAAAAUUUCUGAUAAUCAAUAGUAGUUUGCAUAUAUCAGCUGGGACCUGUAUGACUGUAUUAUGUAAUUAAUUAUUUCUCUUAUUGUUUUGGUACUGUUAAAAGGAGUUAGCCACAAAAUAAAAAAGGAGGCCUCUUAUUUCAUACAAUUUUUCAAAAGUGAUCAUUCAUCCGUUUCUUUUUCAACAAUAGAGGAAUGUAUACUAAUCGUCUGGUCCAUCUGCUGCUUCACUCCCUAGUAGCUUCAUCUCCUGUCCUUUGCUUUAUUUCUGUUGAUGAAUGUUUUGUCUGGGUUAUUUAUUUUCAUUUCAUGUCCAUUGCUUCAUUUCUGUUUGGAUUCUGUCCUGGACUUGAACAAGGGUUAGGUUAGCUGUAUAAUUUGCGGUUUUAUAUACACAACUGUCUACAUUGAUUAAAACCAGCAUUAUUCUAAGGUUCAUUUAGAAUGUAUUAUCACCAAAAUUAUAAAGUAUACUUCUAUUACAAUUAAUUUGUUGAUUCUAAUUUGGACUUGUAGGAACAGACCAAACAUGUUCAUACGUGGCAUUGCUCAAGUCAUCAUCAUUCGGGACAGAGAAUAAGCCUUCAAAUGUCUGCUGAGUCAAUGAACCUUUCUAGAUAUCUCAAGUGUAGUGGAAAUUGAUGAGUUACAAAGGAUUUUUAAACAUUUUCUACUGGAGGCUAGAAAUGCUUCAAAUAAAUGACUGUGUUGCAAUUAUUUUGUAGGAUCAAAGACUCUGCAAAGAGGUAAGAAAGUCAUCAUCAAGUAACUUUGCUCUUCAAACUUUUUAAUUUUAUUUUUAAAUAUCAGUAAUAACUGGGAAAGUUUGCAUUUCCUUAAAUUGCUCAUUCUUACAUCUUUUAUAGUUUGUUGAUCUUGGGCAAGUGGAGAGAGAGGCGUCAAGUGAUACACAACAACCAUUUUCUGUGAGCUGAUUUGAUAAAGAGAAAUGGUAUGCUUUCUUGUCUUAAGCGGUGUGUUCUGCAAUUAUUUGAAACAAAGGAUGCCGCACUUCAAGUUCGAGAAAAUCAGGUAUUUUAGUAUUUUAUUCUGGAGAAAUUUGAUUUAUGUAGAAACUUGAACAUGUAAAUGAGAGAAAAAAAAAUUUAUAUAUAUAUAUAUUAUAUUGUAUAUGCUCUUAAUGAGUUAAUAUGGUGCUUGCUCCUGGUUGGAAAUUUAUGUAGUCAUCUACCUAUGAUCAAAUAAAGAUGAAAAAUAAAAUAAAAUUGAGAGCAUCUUCCUCUCCCCUGCUUUGCUCAUCCCUUGUUCUUCCACUUCAGCCCCACUAUUACACCAUUUUUUCAGCCACAAUUAUAAUAGCUCCAUGAGCAUUAAGUCCUUUUCAAAUUCUGCUGACAUUCAAAAUUGGAAUUGCUGGUGAUAUAUGAUAGCAUCCUUGUCCGACCAAAAAGAAAAAAAAAAAAAGUUGAUAGCAUAUUGUACCAUUUUGGCCAGUGUACGCAAUAUUAUUGCAUCCAACUUUGCAUAUUAACAUCAGUGGCCACAGUUCCAUGAUUUGAGUGCACAGAAAGGUUUCAAAAGUUGUCCCACAAAGAACAGUCGUUCAAAGUGAAAGAGAGUUUUCAAAGCUUAGUUACAAGUUCAUGUUAUUUACAAUAUCAAAAAGCUUUCAUACUUGCUUACAAACCUGUAUUUCCAAGUUCUGCAAACCUUGGAAUAUCACUUCAUCCAAAUCCCCUUCCAAAGCAGGAAAAAUGGCAGCAGCUUUGAUUGGAGAGGCUCUCAUCUCUGCUUCUAUCGAGUUGUUGUGUGACAGAGUUACUUCAGCCGAGUUCAUAGACUUAUUUCAGCAGAAGAAACUUGAUGAAACACUCCUCAUGAACCUGAAGACGACACUGUUGAUUUUGUUUGCGGUGCUCAAUGAUUCAGAGGAGAAGCAAAUUGUGAACCCUGCUGUGAGAGAGUGGCUUAACAGCUCAAGCAUGCUGUCUUUGAUGCAGAGGACUUACUUGAUGAGAUUGACACUGAAGCUUUGCGAUGCAAGCUGGAAGGUGAGGAUGAAACCCACAAUAAUUAACCAAAAAGGAUCUUUUUGAUUGUUUGAAAGGAGGGUCUUGAUGAUUUGAAAGGAGAGGGUUGCUUUAUUUCUGUUGGAUGCUUAAUUAAAUCUUAUUUGGAGUUGAACAAGGAUUAGGUUAGCUGUAUAAUUAGUGGUAAACGCCUUUUUCUAAGGGUCAUUUAGACUCAUAUUACGAUUAAUUUGUUGUUUCUAAUUUGGACUUGUAGGAACAGACCAAAUAUGUUCACACGUGGCAUCGCUCAAGUCAUCAUCAUUUCAGACUGAAAAUCAGCCUUCAAGUGUCUGUUGAGUCAAUAAAACUUUCUAGAUAUAUCAAGUGCAAUGGAAAUUCAUGAGUUACAUAGAGAUUUGUAAACAUUUUGAAGAUUGCAACACCUGCAAGUGAGAUAGGCGGUGACGAAAUCAGAGAUGAAGCCUCUGAUGCCCCUGUUGUUGCAAGUUGCACCUGAGAACAUGUUUUUUUUUCUUCUUUGGGGUAAAAAACUGGCAACAUGUUCGGAGCUGACAAUUCAAUCCCUGAUGAACUAGAGAAGCAAAGCUCCGGUAAGGAAAUUGGUCAAGGUUGUGACAGGGAUGAUUGAUGGUGAAAUGGAUGCUAUUUCUUAUUGCAGCCUGUUCUUAAAGUUCUUGUUGGCAAAUGCAAGAGAUGGAGUAUUUUGAUUGGGAGGAGAGAUAAUGACAUGGCUUGACAAUUCUAGAACAGCCCAUCAUUAAUCCCAGAAAAAAUCCAGUUUCUGCUAAACAAUCACUUAUGGCAAGGCCAACUCUGUAAAUGGAAUUUGUGAUCCCUUCAAAUUGUACACAUUUUUUCUUUUUGAGGAAUUUAAUCAAACAGUAUUCUAAUGCAUUAUGAUGGCACUACACGCUUUUGUUGUAACAAAUUACAAGGAGGAAUUUGGAUUGAGUUUCUUGUAUAAGCACACCUUACACAAAUUUCGUAUAUUUUCUUCCAGCAAGUCUGUCUAUUAAACCCCUUAUUUGAAAUUAAUUGUUAUAAGUUUUGAUUCAUCUUUAAUCAGUGUCUUCCCCUUGUUGAAUAACACUCCUCUUUCUAAUUUAUAUUUGAAGUUUGAGGUUUCAAUUUCAAUUGUGGGUUUUGAUUUUACAGAUUUUGUUUGUCAAUUUCAGUUUGGACAAAGCAUAUGCAAUCAAAGUAAGCAUUUUAUGUUAUACUUUUGAACUAGGUGUUGAUUUGAUUUAAUCAUAAGUUUUGCUGGUGCAUUUACUAGGCUAAUCAUUCAAUACUUUUGAUCAUAGAACUUCUUUGGUUGAUAUUAUCUUUGUUAAGUUUAACCAUAACUUUAGAGAGGGGACUUAACAGAUUUAUAAUCUCAUCAUUAUAGUAUUAAAAAUUAGAGAUUAUUUAAGGCAUUGUCUAUUAUCUGAAUUCUGCUUACUUUUAGUUCAUAUGUUUACAUCUUAGCAUAUUCAUGUGAUUAGUGCGGCUCAUACCACAAAGGCAAUUUUAGGCUCAUCAAGUGCUAAGCAAUGUCAAGCUUCCAAGUGACAAGUUCUCUACAUAGUUUGAGACCUACACUUACUAGAUAUUAGAUCAUUUGGAUCAUUUCCAUAUGUGUAUAUGUAAUUGACAUGUUAUAACAUUUUUGUAGCGUUAUAUAAUUAUUUAGCAAUUUAAUUAUUUCUUUGCAACUUUAUUUUUUUUGUCAGUCAUACUAUUGUUGACUGCUAAAAACCAUCAAGAAAUAGUUCUUAAGUUAUAAAAAAAAAUUAUAAAAAAAAAGAUUUGUUGAUGCUUAAAAAGCAUCAAGAACAGAUAGUUUCUUGACGGUUUUGUGACGUUUCAUAACUGUAAGGGGCUUUUUCUUUCGACAGCUGUAAAUGGGCUGGGCUGCCGUAAAGGUCAAGACUGAUGAAAUUGUCCCUUUUUGUCUGAGCUCGAAAAUUAUGCCCCAAAAUACUUUGAAAGGGCAGCAGAGCCUUAGGAAGUAUUUUGGUUACCCUCACCAACUAAAACAACAACAACUUACAGGUAAUUUCUUAAUGCUUACAGAUGAACUCUUGUGCUUGGCAUGAGUGACAUGUGGCAUGGAAGCAAAAUCAACAUGAGUUUAGCACUGAGGCGAAAUUUAGGCUCUCUUGGGGGAAAAAGGGAAGUGUUAAGGUGAGAGAGGAGAAGUUUGUAGGAGAUUUAGCUAAGAAAGGAGAAAUAUAGAACAAUGCUCUUCUGGCAACUUGACAGAUGCUCUGUCUGCCAAAAAAGGAAGAUGGAGAAGAAAUGUGAAUAGUGCACGAAUUUGCUAGAUUUUUGCAGGUAAGAGAGGAAGCUUGCCCUAUGGGUCUGAGUUGAGUUUUGUUGGGUGGAAGAGACCUCAUUUUAUAGCCCCUGGAAACCAUCACUUCCCAAGAAACCCUAAUGGCUUCUACCUAUUUUGGCCAAGCUUUUCCCUUCCUUUCUCAUUUCCUUCCUUGAGUUUACCCCUUUUGAUGAAAUCCCAUCUGCCUAUUUGCACCAGAUCAAAGUUUUUUGAAGCUCAAGGCCCCCAUUUUCUUGCAGUUGUCUCAAUGGGAGACUUCCAUUCCCAGUCAUUCUCCUUUAUUGCUUUCCUUUCUUUUUUUCAUGGCCUAGUCUGGUGGGGAAAGGAGUUGGGAUAUAUAUGCUGGUUUGAAGGGUGCUUCUCUUCCUGACAUCUUACACACUAAUACCCCUUGGUUCCUUGAAUGUUUUGGCUUUGAAACUUGCUCCCCCCCUCCCCCCAUGUACUGGAACCUCCCAGCAGCUCUGUUCAAUGAAUUUUCAGACCUUUUCUUCAUGGCUUUUAUUUUUUUAUUAACUGGCUGGAGCUUUUGUGGCUCAUUGUGGCAAUUGUAUGGGCUAAGGUGGUUCAUUAAGUAAGUGAGCUAUUUUUAUUAAACAUUGGGCUUUUUGGUUGAGUCACUAGGCUAUUUUGAUUGGGCUAUUGGGCUAUUUUUUCCUUUCUUGUACUCACCCACAUGUUUGGACCAAAGAAAUGAGCUUGAGUCCUGAGGCUCCCAAGCGACCCGAGACUUUCCAUUUCUCGGCCCAUCAAUGGGCCUCAUGUUGAUUUAUUACCAUCCAUACCACAACCCACUCAAGCAAGCCCCGGGCAUUUGAGUGGCUUGGGCCCACUUAGGCUUGUAGUGUGGUUGGGUGCGAAAUGACGAUUUCGUGCUUGGCAUGUUUUAAUUUUAUCAUCCUUGGGAAAGGCUGCGAUGUUUGAUUUCGGCAUGGGCUUGUAGAGCUGGUAUGCUUUAUUUCAACUCUAGCAUGACGAAUUAUUUAUUUAGCAUGGCACGUGAAUUACAACUCGCAUGGGGUGGGUUUUUGUGUACUACACCUUACGCCUCUUCUUAAUAGAACAUCGUUUUGGGCUGAUAAUUUAUUCGGGCCCAACUGUGAAUUUUUUGGGUCUCAAUAAUAACCAUCAUAAAAUAUUACAUUUUGACUGACGUCAAGAAAUGGGGUAUCCCUUUCCUGAUAGUGGCAUCCAUGAUGCCUUCCAAGCCGUCAAUUAAGGGCUAUCGUGAUGCAUUUUAGUUGUCAGCAAAAGGUGUUUUUCUUGUAUUGUAUUCACUCAAAAUCAUGUUUCAUUUAAGACUAGUAGUAUGGUUGAAUACCAUUUGUUUUGUUAAAGAAUAUUAUACAUUAGGGAUUUUUGUAGAAAUGUCAUUUGAACUUAUACCUUAGUUUCAAUUUGUUACCUUGAAGAAAAAUUUAAGAGAAAUGUCACCUUAAUUUUUAAAAAUCCAUGAUUUGUUAUAUGACUUUAAGAUCAUCCAAUUUUCCAUCCAUUUUAAGGGGAUUUUAGUCUUUUCAUUUUCAAGGAAAAAAAAGAGAUGAAAAAAGAGACAUCUCUCUUACUUUGUUGCCCAACCCAACCCAACCCCACCCGCCCCCCAAAACCACAUAGGAUUGCCUCCCCUUUCCCCACUUUUCUUUUUUCUUUUUGUCCUACUUUUCCACUGUGUUUAUGUUGAAGGAUCUAAAGUUUGCUUGGUCACCAUCUGUUACGUAGGCUUCCCAAUUGUUGGUUUGGGUGGGUUGUGGGAAUUUGUGUGUGGAGGGCAAGACCCUAUCUGACAGGACCUGCCUCGAAUUCCUCGAAACCCGAGACGAAUCUUGUGGAAUUCCCGACAUUACACCGAUGUCGGGCCCACUUAUGAACUAAAUCCUCCUUUCCAAAAUUAAGGAAAAAGAGUACGAGGCUUUCUGCCGAAAUUGCGGCAGUGUCUUCCUUAUAAAUUUAACAUUUCAGCUUUGGUGGCCAUUCUCUCAUUUUAGCUUUGGUGGCCGGAUGAGAGAACGGCCGGCUAAAACGUGGCCAACUGGCAUUGCCGUCGCGAGAGAGGAGAGAGAGAGAGAGAUUUUUAUCAAACCAUUUUUGCCAAAAUUACGAUUAUGCAACUGAGGGUAUUUUGAUCGUAUCUUUUUUGUUAUAACUCCGAUUCAAGCUCACUACAUGCCUAUGGAUUCAUCUCGCCGUGCUUUAUGCAAUUGUAUAGUUGAAAUUCCCAAAUUCCAUCCCAGUCAAAAGUCAACUUUAAACCCUAUAAAAUAUUCUAGGGGAAGAAUGGUCUUUUAUCUAAUUAAAUUAAUAAUUGAAAAUUUAUUUAGGAUCGGGUCGUUACACUGUCGUUGAUGGACUGUGCGAUGACACUCACACAAAGUCCUUGAGAAUAAAACACACACACACCGUGAAGAGAGUAAAACAAAUACACAAGUACACAAAGAUUUAUAAAGGUUUGGCCUCCUGCCUACGUCCUUUUGGUGAUCCACCCGAGAAAUUCACUAGUAUGUAAGAACAACUUUGGUUACAACUAAACCCCCUUAGCUUUCAUAAGAACCCUAGAUCUCUUUUCUCCCACCCUUGCUCCAACCCUUUGAUGCCCUUGUAAACACUCAAGAAUUCACCCUUGAAUUCUGUCAUGUGUUACAUCUUCUCUUCUCCCCUUUGUUAACCUAACCCUAAAAGUUAUAUUUAUAAUUCAUAGGACUUUAAGUACAAGUUAACUAGGAAUAGGAAACAUAAAAGACCCCCAAAAUUGGAGAAAAUAUGUCUAGAUCUCGUUAGGAAAUUGCACAACACGUGCGAUCCGCUCGAGCGCCUGCAAAAUCAUCCCUUUGCCGCUCGAUCUGCCGAUAGCUCAUGGGAUGGGGGAAUUAGAGAUUUUUUUUUUUUCAAUUUUAAUUGUUUAAAAGAUAUACAAUUUUUUAAUAAUAAUUUUUCCAUUUUUAAAAUACCCUUGAAAAUAGAAAGAUUAAAAUGCCCUUAAAAAUGGAUGGAAAAUUGGAUGGUGUUAAGAUCAGAUGACAAAUCAUGGAUUUUGAAAAAUUAAGGUAACAUUUCUCUUAAAUUUUUCUUUAAAGUGACAAAUUGAAAUUGAGGUAUAAGUUCAAGUUACAUUUCUGCAAAAAUCCUUAUACAUUAUGAUAUUCUAACAAUAAAAUUGGCUAAAAUUGAUAUGUUCCCUCUUUUAUUUUCUUUUUCUCUUUUCCUUUUCAUUUUAUGAUCCAAUCCUUUUCAUAUAUUUUUGUUCAAGACUUUGUUUUAGAAUGCUCUAUUACUAAUUUGGUACAGGUCCCUAAAAUCUCAGAGCCGCCUUAGUACAUUCAUAACGUACAUGUUCAGAGUUCAAGAAUAAUGUAUAGAAUGUGAAAUUGACGAUGCCGGCCUUUAUGAGGCAACGUCUUUAUUUCUUUGGUUAUUCCAGUUUAGAAUAUUUGCACAAAUGAGAUGACUCCAAGCAUAAAGUCACAUUCGACCAAAAAGCAUGAAGUCACACACAAAAAGAACACGGACAAUUGCUAAGUUUAUCCUUGUACCCUUAUUAUCCGACCCAAUUGAAAAAUAAAAAAAGAUGAUAAAAAAUAUUGUUCACUGCUUUAAAAUCUAUGAGUAGAGUCCUCCAUUUGAAAUUUCGUCAUUAUACAAAAUUGGAAUGAAAAAAGAAAAUCCUACAGCUAAAUUUGAUAUAUUUCCUUUUCAUUUUAUGCUGGGUGUUAGGGCUCGUCAAUGGGCCGGGCCAGGCUAGCCCGGCCCAAAUUUAAUGGGCUUGGGCCAGGCUGGGCCAGGCUUUAAAGAGGAGAGAGAAAAUAUCAGGCCGAGUUUUUUAAGAAAAUUCAAAGCCCAAGCCCGACCCAUGAGCCCGGCUUGAGAAAGCCCAUCGGGCCGGCCCGGGCCUAAACAGGCCCUACUUCGUUAAAAAAAAAUCAUAAACUUAAUCAUAAGGUCAUUUUAGUCCAAAUUUGAGAUUAAACUCACUUAAUUCCAAUAUUUUCACUUCAAACCAAAUUCAUAAAACACCCAAUAAAGUCACACAGCUUGUAAGAUUUUCCACAAAAAUAAUAAAACCAAGUACUAUUUUUGAGGUUAUUACAUAAUUAGAUCGUAAUAUGUUUUAAGAAAUAAUUUUAAAAAAUAAUAUUAAUAAGUAUCAAAAAAAUAAUUUUUUAAAGGAUGGUAUGAAUAAAUAUGCAAAUAUUUGGUGAUGUGUUCAAGAAAAGGAUGAUUAUAUUUGGUGGUACGAUUAUGUUUCGUGAUAUGAUUAUAAUUAGUGAUGUGAUAUGUUGUUCAUCUUAUAUAUAUAUAUAAUUGUUGAAUUAAUAAUUGACACAAAUUAAUGUGUUAAUCAUCCAAUUAUAAACUAGGAAUGAAUAAAGAAAAGUAAAUGAAAUGAAACAAAUUAUAUAUGUGAUUUAAGUGAUAUAAUCCUAAACCUAAACUCUUAUUUAUACAUAAUUAUAUAUGUAUGCGGGCCUAACGAGCCGGACUUUUGUGGGCGGGUAGGGCCGGGCUUUAUUGGGCUUAAUCGGGCUUUAUUGGACUUAAUCGGGCUGGGCCUAUAGGUCGGACCGAGCUUCAGACAUCCAAGCCCACGCCUAGCCUCGCCCGCCUUGGGCCGGGCCAUUCUUUUUUUGGGGUUCUAUUUCUCUUUGAAUUAACUGCUGAGUUUCAUGAACAUGUCCUCCUUUUGAAAUUGUGUAUUAUUCAAAAUUGGAAUUUGCUGGACAUACUUGAUAUUUUCGUGAGUAAAUUCUGAUUUGGUGGUUGUGCUCGUCACAAAUCAAUGAAAUGACAGCAGUGAUUUUGCAAGACAGCGUACCUUCUCUUGGGGUGCUUUUCAUUUUGCAACAUUUCUUUACGUGUAAUUUCCAGAGGAGGGUUUAUCAUUGUAUACAGCUCUUCGGGUGGUUUUUCUACAAAACAAAUGUCACAAAGAAGGAGGAGAAGCGGAAAAGAUUUACUUGGAAUGUCUCAAGUCUCCUUUGAGAUAAAGGCAUCGAAUGCACAACAUUGUUUUUGUGCUAUUUCAUAAUUAAAGUGUGCUUCCCAAGUCUCCUUUGUGUUUUGUAACUUGUAAUGUUUGUUUUUUUGUUUCCCAUGUUUUGUCUCUUAUAAAAGAAAGGCUUUUUAUCACAAAUGGUCCUUCAGGUUUACAAAAUUAUCACAAAUCGUCCUUCAAGUUUUUUUGUGACACUAAUAGUCCUUCAGGUUAUCAUUUACCCAUCAAAAUGGUCCUUCUGUCAGUUUCUGUCAAAACUGACGUUAAAUUCCUGUGCUCAGCCUGCUUUUGAAAUGAUAAUCUCAUCUUUUCCACUCAACCUUCAACCAAACUCAACUGUCAGAACCCUUUCCCUCCAUUUCCUCAUGGUCCUUCCAGUUUGGCGCCCCUGUAAUAUAUAACCAAUCUUAAAAAUUAAACUUCUGAAGAAAUUGAAACAAUCCAAGCUCAAGAGAAAGACCAACAAUUGAGAACUGCAGAGAAAGAUCAAACUCAUGGAUCAAUAUGGUAAAGCCAAAUUGAAAAACAUAAUUUGCUAAAGAUAAAGCCAAACUGAAAAACCAAACUGAAAAACAUAAAGAUAUCAUUGACAAAUAUAAAAAGUUAAAAAAUAUUGCACAAUCAAAAUACAACCACAUGUUUCACAAAACAAAACAAAACAACCACAUUUGCAGACAAGCUGUAGUUUACACUUUAACAAAGAUUAAAAAACUAACCUGUAUACUUUGGUUGUUUCCCCCCCUUUCGAAAGAACUCCUCGGACUCAUCCAUCUAGUCACUUUUGUAAGAAGAAUAAUGCGUAUUUGACUCUUACGAACCCAGAUAUUCCUUUUGCAGACCAGCUUUAUCAAUUAAAAACCCAAAAAACCUUAAUUGUGCAGGGCCCGAGGAUGAAAUGGAGGGAAAAGGUUAUAUAUGCGGUUUAGAGCGCCAAAAUGGAAGGCCCGAUGAAGAAAUGGAGGGAAAGGGUUAUUUCAGUUGGGUUUGGUCGAAGGUUGAGUGGAAUGAUGCGAUUAUCAUUUCAAAAGGCAGGCUGAGCACGCGACUUUAACGUCAGUUUUGACAGAAACUAACAGAAGGACUAUUUUGAUGGAUAGAUGUUAAACUAAAGGACUAUUAGUGACACAAAAAAACCUAAAGGAUGAUUUGUGAUAAUUUUGUAAACCUGAAGGACCAUUUGUGAUAAAAAGCCUAAAAGAAAUACAGGUCCAAACCACACGGAUCUACUUGCAUAAUAAUGGACCAAAUUUAUGAUUUUUAGAAAGAACCUUCUACUGGUGGAAUCUUGGGCUACUGUUGUGGCUCUCCUCUGUGUGCCUCCUUUUUAGAACGAUAAAAUAUUCAAAAUACCAGAAAAUGUUCAUGAUUAAUGCAAAUAUUAAGAAUUGAAAUUAUUAAUUAAAUGAAGAUAAUAUGGUAAAUUCACACUUUUUCAUAUUAAAAAAAUUAAAAUUAAAAGAAAUAUCAGAUAAUUACUCUUAUUUUUAUGGAACACAGCUACCCAUUAUCUUUUUUAAUUAUAAAAUAAAUUUAAAUUAAAAAAAAAAUCUCUCUCACAGACACGGAAGCGCGUGCUCAGAGGCUAGUUAAAAAUAAUGAACUUUGCUUUUGAAGACGUCUAUACCAGACCCACUCAACCUGCUUUAUGAUUAUGCAAAGAACAAACUCGUCCUUAGACUCAUUUGGUUAAACUUAGAAAAUAAUGAAACAAAAAUAUACACACCCACAAGUAACACAGCCAGGAUUGAAAACAACUGGAAAAAGAAAGGCAUGUCAAAACAAAAUUUUCAACAACUCAUCACCAUUAGACAAGAAAAAGAAAAAUCAAUACAGAAACAGAAAGAACAGAGAAUAAAUGUGGUGGAAGAAAAACGUUGAAGCCAUUUGUGAAUCCAACAACACUACCACUCUGUUUCUCUCCUUUUGUUCAGGCGGAUCUGCAUAUAUCCUAAGGCGUAUUACGGAAACAACUUCUUGCGGUUAUACUUGAAUGUUGUGGAUGCUUCAACGUUGCCAUCUGGGUGGAGUGGAUUUGUCCAAUUCACCUUCACUAUGGUUAAUCAACUAGACAGACAUAAGUCAGAAACAAUAGGUAUAUACGUCCAAAUUGUUGUUAUUUGAAAGGUUCUAAAUUUUAACAUUUUGUUGUAAAUGUGGAGAGAAAAAGUAGAGAAUUGGAAUAGAGAGGAGAGACUGAUUUUCUCAUUCAUAUGUUCAGAUGAAUGUCUUCAGUGUAUAUUUUACAAGUAGGGGGAGGUAUCUAUUUAUAGGCUAAGGUUUUGGUAAAAUACAGGGAAGGAAAGUUCCUGGAAGAUGCAAGGAAACUUCCUCUGUGGGCUCCACCUUCAAACUUUUACAACACUCCCCCUUGGAGACCACAAAUGAUAUGGAAUAUGCCUCGUUAAAAACCUUGCCAGUAAAAACCCAGUGGGACAAAAACUGGUCAAAGGGAAAAAGAGUACAUAAUGAUGUGUAACAUAAAAUUCUGUGUAUAUUGACGCGCGUGCGACACUGCCUCGUUAAAACCUUGCCAGGAAAAACCCAGUGGGAUGAAAACCUGGACGAAGGAAAAAGAGUACAGUGUUUGAAGAUCUUUAUUGAUAGCAUGCUCCCCCUGAUGCUUGGUAAAAUAUCUUUAAGUCAUACUGUUGAUCACCUUUCUGAAUAUCGUAGUUGACACUGCUGCUGUGAGUCAAUCUUGAGCGACACUGCCUCGUUAAAACCUUACCAGGAAAAACCCAGUGGGAUAAAAACCUGGAUGAAGGAAAAAGAGUACAGUGUAUGGAGGUCUUUAUGAAAAACCACGCUCCCCCUGAAAAAUAUCUCCCCCUAAAAAAUUUCAUGACUAGCUUUUCCAGUAUGCGACCAUAGAAAUUUUCAUAGUAUACUCUAAACCCUUGAGCGACACUGCCUCGUUAAAACCUUACCAGGUAAAACCCAAUGGGAUAAAAACCUGGAUGAAGGAAAAAGAGUACAGUGUGGAGCUGACCUCUAUCUGGUCUAGUAUACUUCCGGAAAAACAUUUAAGGUGUCCAACGGAUAAUCCUCAUAAAAAUGCUUCAAUACUUUCUUAGUAUAAGCAAGAAUCUCGUUGGCAUAAUGCUCGAUCUUUAAGUCGAGACAAAUAUUUCGUGACUUCUGCAGAAGCUUUAAUGUGUUGCAAACACAUUAUAAACAAUGUACUCACUGAGGUAAUUUAUGCAUAUUAAUAUUGAGUACAAAUUUUGUGCUUCAAGCACAUGUCCUUUAGGGACUUGCUUUAUGCAAUGUCAAUCCUCUCAACGGAUUUUGUUUAAAAGGGGAUUAAACUUUAUGACACAUUAUAUAGCUUUAACCCAGCUAUUUAUACAUCUUUAGGGAAUCACUUCAAGUGAUAUGCUCUGUGCAUUUAAUAACCCUUAAAGAUAACAUGUUGGUCUCCGUAAUUGUGCAGUAAGGGGGGAGGCACAAUUGAAUCUGUAAAUAUGGAAAAGACCCAACAUUCAUUGUUUCUGCCAGAAACAUUGUGUCAUACAAAGUAGGUAUAUUCCCUUUUAUUCCGAACACCCAAGUAUAAGUUUCAAUAUUAACAUCUUUUGGGGUUCGUACUGUGGGUUUGUUCUUUCACGUUCAUUCUCAUCUAUAAUGGAAUUACCUCUUUCCAUUUUGGCCAAUGAUAUUGUCGACAUCUAAUAAUUGAACGUGGUUCCAAUCAACACAGCCCAUUGAUGAUUUGAGUAGCUACUCCAAAACCAAAAAUUGUCAUUCAUCAAUUCAUUAUCCCACCAUUCUCAUGUGCAUGCGCAUGCAUCAAUUAUAAGCAUUUCUUUGCUUUUGGGUACCCAAGCCACUUCAGGGGGCUUUUAUUAUGUGAGAAUGUGGAUUAUAACCUCCAAUGGAGCGUUAUUUUGCAGUAGGGCGUGGAUAAUCUCCAUUUAGGGAGUUGGAACAUUUAGAACCCAUAUAUCUGUCAUGCUGCAGGCAUGCCACAGAUUAAUACAUACAUGUCAAUUAGUUUAUGGGACUUUAACCCAUAUGAUGGGACUUUAACCCAUGUAAUUUGCUACGCAUUCGGCGUGCAUAAUCUCAAUAUUGACAUGUCAAAGGAUUGUCCAUUCGGGACUUCAAUCCACAUCAUUUGCUACGCAAUAGGCGUGCAUCAUAUUGAUCACUGCUAUACCCAUAUUCUGUUCUUAUGGGACUUUAAUCUGUGCAAUGUAUUAUCAAUGUAUCCAACUUGCAAUCUGUAAAAUUUGCAUUAAUAAUACAUGGAUACAUACAAGCCAUUCUUUUGGGACGGACUUAUCUCCCCAUUUGGUUACCUUUCAAUAUAAAAUAUCAAAUAGGUAUAUAAGCAUAAAAUAACACAAGUAUUGCUUACAUCCUUAGGUGGGAGAAACUUUUCUCAAGUAUCGCUUGAUGAUCUUGUUAUAUCCUGCAAGAGCAAAAAUCACAAUUCCUUUCUCUGUCAAAAACAAAUAAGAGGAAUAGGUAGAACCGGUGAAUUUCAAAUUAACCAUAGGAAAAUUGCGAGAUUCUCGGGAUGCUUUUGAAAAAGUAGCUCCGUGAAAUCCGUAAAGCAAGAUUGGCUUUGAAAAUAAUACUUGAAAACGCCGAAAGUGCCGACAGGCAUUAUUAGAGGCCACGUGAAGUUUUGGACUUCUAGGAAAGAAAAAGAUAAUAUGGGGAUUCGAGAAGAUAUUGGGGUCUUGAAAAACAGUAGCCAUAUUUCCUCCUAUAGAUAUGGCCUUUGCAACAAUUGCGCACCUUCUUAAACUUGCACCUGUGGUUUUUACGCCUUUUCAAAAUGACGGUUUGGAACCUUGUGCCUUAUAGGUUCAAAUAACCACAUUGUUUCUCCCAAAUUUCAUAUUUUAUCGCAUGGUAGCCCGAAACUUUUGGCCUGGGCACAAAUUCAGAAUUUAUUUGCCCUUUUCAAAUGGACAUGAAAUAUGAAUUGAGUAAAAGCCAUGAUAAUAUCGCAAUAUAGUAGUGAAGAGCAUUAACUACUAUAUACCCACAACUUCAAGUUCAGGAUCUCUCAUAUAUUUGGAUCCAUGGGUUUCCGGCCCAGAUAUAACAAAAUAUGUGGGGAGCCUCAAUUCAUCAUUUGAGGUUCAUACUGAUAUUAUCCAUUUCACGGUGUAUUCUUGACAACCGGAAUUCACAAAAUAUAUUUCUUCCUUGAAGUGUCGAUUAUAACAAAAUCGAACUUUAAAUUCAUCAUCUUCUUAUGCCAAAGAAAUAUGUGGCAUACCACAAUUUGCAAUAAUACCUCAAGGGUUGUCCAUUUAAUUGUUGGAACUUCAGGUUCUCAACACUGUUAGAUUUUGAACUUCUGGCCAAAAUCACAUAUUCUCAUGGUAUGGACAUUCAAUCCCCUUAGAUUUUGAACUUCGGGCCAAAAUCACAUAUUCUCAUGGUAUGGACAUUUUUACAAUUUUCUGUACAUAUUUCUGGACUUCAAGCCCUUACAUAAUUGUCCAUAUUUUGAGGAACUUCUGGCAUCUCAUUUAAUUGCUCAUCCAUGAGUUUAAGGAACUGCAGGUUCCCUUUUGAAUGGUGAUGGUUUACCCAAAAUGGUAAAUACUUAUGCAUACAUCACUAUUCAUGUAUACGGCACUAUUUAUGUAUACAGUACAUUUGCCAGUACAGUUAUCAUCCAUGUGUACGGCAUUAUGAACAAAUACGGUACUGUUACAUCAUUAAGGAACCCCAUGUCCUUAUUUACAUGUCAGGGAUCAAGGACCCUCAAGUCCGAUCACAUGUUUACAAAUAUAGUACCGGAGAGACUGCCAGCUCUCAUAUUAACAUCAUCAUCAAGGAUCUUCAAGUCCUGAUGUAAUUGUAUGAUGAGGAUCAAAGAACUUCUGGUCCUGAUCUGUAUACUGUAAAAACUCAUCAUACAGCACAUUUAAUCCAUAGAAUAAAUUGCUGGUAAAUAAAUUACUGGUAUGGACGAUAAACUCGCACCAUACUUUAAAUAAAUAUUGCCUUACAUACACUUACAGCAUCAAUAAUUGAUAUCCAUCCAUGAUCCACCUGUAUAAAUGUAUAUAUAUAUAUGUAUAUAUAUAUAUAUUAUUUUUAUUUGGACUUAAACAGAAACAGGCAUUUUCUAUAGCUGUAAGUAUAAUUGUACCUGCCUACGCUGAAGAUUCCUUUCAUUGUUGCAGGAUGGUGGGCAUUCAGUUUAAAUAAAGCAAACACACACAUUUCAAAUUUUAAUUGAAUUUCAAAUUAGCAGUUUACUUACAUGCCCAUCCAUGACGUAAAAAGCAGAGACAAGUGAUUGUCUUUCGACAAUGACAUGAUAUCACAGUAGUGGGGAUAACGCUAUGAUAUUGGCCGAUCGGCUUCGCUGUAUCCCUGCACACCUUUAAUAAUUAUAUAAUAUUAAAAUAAUAUAAUUAUGUACCUGCACUAUAGACCUGCAUCUUAAGCUUCUUCCCUUUAUGGGGUCUGCCGCUUUGCCUUUUGUUUCCUUUGCUUUGCUUUCCACUGAAGCAAGUUGGCCAGCACCAAUAAUGCCGCCCACAAUGCAAAAAUCAAGUUGGCCAGCACCAAUAAUGCCGCCCACAAUGCAAAAAUCAAGUUGGCUACUUUUGCCUGUUGCUUUCUCAAUUUCCUCCACCCUUUCAUUGUCUUUUCUUCUUUCACUACUUCUCAUCUUCUGCCUCUCUCUUGCCUUUUUUUUUUCUUUUUUUUUUUUUGUAUUCGAUUUUCUGGCAAGCCUCCAAAGACAGCAACGACCAAGUUGCCUUGUCAUGGCUGGCGGCCAUUGCAAAAGCCUUUUCCAUGAAGAAAUGGACUUGGACACGAGGCUGGUUGAUUAUGUAGUUGGAGAUGAAGAAAGCAGCUGACAGUCUAGGGAGGGAGCGAACCAGAGAGUUUGUUACUCCACUGGUGUGGUUGGGAGGUAGGGAUCGUCUGUGGUUGGUACAGAGUUUUCUUCCUCAGCUCAAGCAAGGCAAUAGAGGUAGGUUUGUUUGCUCAGCUCAGCUCAACCUGUGCUCUCUGUGUUUGUUUGCUGGGUUAUCUGGGAGAGUAAUUUUCUUCGGGUUCGGUUCUGGUAUGCUUUUGCAUAUAGAAAACAGAGAACCCAGAAAGGAAAUCCAAGAGAGAGACUUUGGUUGAGAAAAUGGCAAUUUUUGAGAAAAAUGGAGAUGCUGAGGUUGGUUGGACAACACCGAAUGGAAGUUGUUGGGCUCGGAGCAGAGAAUUGGUUCUCUAGAUCGGAGGUUUUGUGUGAAAUUUUACUGGCAAGCAAUCCGUGUGGCUCUGUACAAAACUGGGUUGGUUUUGGGUGGGCAAUCUGGGCUUGGUUUCGAACUGGGUGUCUUGAUCAAUUUCUGGGAUCAAGAAAUCAGAGAUUUCAGCCGGUUAAAGACUCGUGCUGAUAUCGUGUUGUAAAUGUGGAGAGAAAAAGUAGAGAAUUGGAAUAGAGAGGAGAGACUGAUUUUCUCAUUCAUAUGUUCUGAUGAAUGUCUUCAGUGUAUAUUUUACAAGUAGGGGGAGGUAUCUAUUUAUAGGCUAAGGUUUUGGUAAAAUACAGGGAAGGAAAGUUCCUGGAAGAUGCAAGGAAACUUCCUCUGUGGGCUCCACCUUCAAACUUUUACAACACAUUUUGAUUUUUAAAUUUUGUUUUAAUAUUUCGGCCCACUUAGUUCUUCUCAAAAUAUGUCAUCAAUAUCGUUGAAAGGUUGAACUUAGUGAAUUAUUAUAGUGCAGUACGGUAGAAUAAGCACAUGAUAUAAUUUGUCCACAUGUUAUAAUAUAAGUGAAUAUUUAUUGAUAUUAUUUCCAAAAAUAAGAAAUAUCAACAAUUAUAUCCUCCUAUAUUAUAAUACAUAUACAAAUUAUACCACAUUAUCAUACUCUAAUACCAUUUUAUAAUUUCUCGUACUUAGGAGGUAUAGAGCGAGUCAAUGACAUUACAUAAUAUAUAAUUGUUCAUAUAAUGGGGCAACUAACGUGAUCAACAAGUUGUGGUGAUUAAUUUAACAUAAUAAAAAAUAUACCAUUUACUUGAGUGAUGUAACAAUUUGUUCUUUUAAAUUGGAUUGCCAUCACUUUAAUAUGUUAUGUUUCUUAUUAUAGUCUCCCAUGUUAAGUGCUUCAGCAUUGUUUGUGGUGUGUACACAAAUUUUCUUAUAAAAUGUUUUAAUGCUUCUCACAUGUAUAUCAGAUAUAGACAGUUGAUGUGACUUAGAAAUCAAAUUGUCAAUAAAACAAAAAAAUAUAAUUGGUGAUCGAGGUCCAAUUUAAUAGAAAAUAGUCUUAACUUGCAUAUUAAAGGUCUUAUAUUCGAAUCCUCACUGCAUUAUUGUUGUAUGCGUACACAAGAAAUUCUCUUCCCCAAUAAUUUAGACUAUCACUUAUACUAAAAAUAUAUAUAUAUAAUGACUUUUACGAAUGCAAACAUAAAAUUACAUCAAACAAUAAUCACUACUACAAAAAAGCAAAAAGACGACGGUAAAUCACCGUCGUGUAUUGGGGUUUUCAAUGGUCGUGGAAUCCACCGUCAUCUUUUCCCUCAUAAACCACGACGCUAAAUAACCGUCGUUGUUAAAAUAUACAACGUCAUCAACAAAUACAAAACGACGUCUUUGUACUGCAAAAAGAUCUAAAAAAAGCAAUCGAGGAUGAUAAUAGACGACCAACUCUCUAAAAAAACCGUCGUUAAAAAGAAAAAAUAUGACACAUAUUAAGAGAACAAGGCCGCAAGAUAGACAUACAACGACGAAAAUAAAAAUACGACGACGUUAAAUAUAAUUUUCACGACAAUAAAAAAUAUGACGUCUUUAAAUACAUUAGAAGACGACGUUAUUGAUACAUACUACGUCGCAUAUAUAAAAACAACCGUCGUAAAAUUAAUUUUCCACUUCGAUUUUUCGAUAAAAGAUGACGUGGAAAUAGUUGUCAGUGUCAUUAUUUACGACGUAUGUGUUUAUAGAUUAGACGUUGAAAAACUAAACAACGUCGGUUACAAAUAUAUGAGAGUCGUAUUACAAAAUUUAUACGUCCUAUUUUCAGAAACAAACAACGACGAUAAAUAUUAGACGUUGUUAAACAAAACAACGUCGGAAAAAUAAAAACAGACGUGUUUAGUCUGCUAAAGUUCUAGAAAAUAGUCGAGGAUGAGAAUAGACAACCAACUCAAAAAAAUCACCGUCGUUAAAAAGGAAAAAUCUGACACAUAUUAAAAGAACAAGGCCGCAAGAUAUACAUACAACGACGACAACUAAAAUACUACGCCGUUAAAUAUAAUUUACACGACAAGAAAAAAUAUGACGUCUUUAAAUACAUGAGAAGACGACGUUAUUGAAAUCUACUACGUCUCUUAUUUACAAAAAACCGUCGUGAAAUAAAUUUUCCACUUCGAUUUUUCUAAAAAAGAUGACGUGGAAAUAGUUGUCAGUGUCAUUAUUUACGACGUACACAUUUAUAUAGUCGACGUUGUAUUUAUAUGUAUUCAUUACUCACGACGCACUUAAUAAUAUAGACGACGUUGAACUUCUAAACAACGUCGGUUCCAAAUAAAUGAGAGCCGUAUUACAGAACAUAUAGACGGCGUAGAUUAUGAUGAGAGCCGUAUUACAAAUAACGUCGUUUAAUUGUUAUUAGACGGCGGUUAUAAUGAAUUUCCGUCGGAAUUCAUUUCGUUCCUCUUCGUUUAUAAAAGAACUUGCGACGUGGAAAAUGUAUGAUGACGUCGUAUUUUUUAACGUUCAGAUUAUAUAUCUCGUUUUUAGACGUCGGUAUUAUGGGAUUGGAGUCGUGUUAUUUUGAAUUACAUGGCGGUUCUUAAUCCUUCACCGACGUGAUAUCCUGAAUAAUUGCUUCACAAUAGCGUCGUGGUUCUUCAUUGUUACGUUGCUUUAAGACGUCGGUAAAUAUGCUGAAUAACUGAUUCACAAUAACGUCGUGUUUUAUUUGAACGUAGAAAGUGAAGAAAUCACAUUACAAUAUAUUACAAAAUUAAUGUCAUACACUGCCAAUUACAUAAGCAUCAUUCAAUCCAUAUAUCUUCACACCCAUCUCGAAUAUUUUGACCGCCUAACUCACCCACCAGUUCAUCAAAUGUGUCAACAUUUGGCAUCCCUCUAGUAAAUGGCUCACACUCAAUUAUCACAUCACCUAAGACUUCAUCACCAAUAACAUCAUUAUAUUCUCUAUUAGGCAUUGAUAACACUACCGACCAACCACGAUGCAUCGGGUCGUCAACAAAAAAUAUUUGUUUGACUUGAGAAGCCAAAACAAAUUGGUCAUUCCUAUGUCCAAUUUUACUCAAAUCUACAAGGGUAAAUCCAAGUUCGUCGACUACAAGACCAGAACUAUCUAUCCAAUCACACCUAAAGACUGGGAUUGUAAACUUUUGGUAGUCAAGGUCCCAAAUUUCUUGAAUGACACCAUAGAAACCCAUAUUUGAGAGAAUUGGGUUUUUAUCCUUGGCACUAGCAACUUGCAUGGUAUGUGCAAGUAAAUAAACUCCACUAUUUUGAGUUGUCCGCACAUCAUCUUGUGCCUUGAUAUUGAAUUUAAUACCUUUAAUAAGAUAGCUCCUAUAUAAUGGCACUGACAUGUUUGGACCAGCUGCUAGCCACCUUAAAUUUUCUGAUACGCCAUGAUUGUCUUCCUCAAGUUCACUUUGAACCUGCAAAUUAAUCAUAUCUUAAUUCAAUCUAACAUAUAAAUAAGAAGAAAAUUAAAAGAGAAAUAUGUUAUUCAACAACAUAUACCUUGAAGCGUAGCCAUUGAAUGAAAGUGCUAUUGUGCUUAUCCUGCAGCCACUUUGUUCUCUUUCUAAAUUUUGGAUAAGCAGUCUUGAUGUGGAUCAUAUGUUGCCCACAUGACACGAAAAAUUCAAGCAUUACGAUCCUAAAUAUAGAAGAUAAACAUAAGAAAUAAUUUAAAAUGGAAACUUAAAGAAUAAAGCUCAUACGUACUCGAUAUAAGGUAGGACUUCCUCCGUAUUCUCCAAGACAUAUAGAUGUGCUUGAUUCAACAGGUCCUGAUCAACUACGCUCACUGUGCAACCUGAUAAUGGCUUUGAAAGCCCCAUCUUUUGGCUUGAAGGCACUCCAACUGUACUAACAUCAGAUAAAUGCUGAGUACAACACUCUACCGCUUCUUCAGCUAUAUACCGCUCAGCAAUGCAACCUUCGGGACGAGUACGAUUCUGAACAUACCCCUUCAGCACUUUCAUAUAUCUUUCAAACGGAUACAUCCACCGAAAAUAUACUGGCCCACAUAGACGAACUUCUCUGACAAGAUGUACUACUAGAUGAACCAUGAUAUCAAAGAAUGAAGGGGGAAAGUACUUCUCAAGCAAACACAGAGUAACUACUACAUCUUCUUCCAACUUAUCUAGCUUGGAAACAUCAACAGUCUUUGCACAUAUAGCAUUGAAGAAGAAGCACAAACGAGUUAUUGCAUACCUUGCAGGCUUCUCCAAAACAGAACGAAUUGCCACAGGGAGCAAUUGUUGCAUUAAGGUAUGACAAUCAUGUGAUUUAAGGCCAAGAAGUCUUGAAUCUUGUAAAGAUACAAGAUUUUUAAUAUUUGAAGAAUAACCUUCAGGGACCUUCAUACCAUAGAAAGAAUUGCAAACCUCUCUCUUCUCUACUCUUGACAAAUUCCAAGGCCCAGGAGGCAAACGAGUACGUCUUUCUCCAUACUCGGGUUGCAAAUCAGUUUUGACCCCCAUGUUCAAUAAAUCUAAUCGAGCAGCAAUCCCAUCUUUAUUUUUUCCAGGGAUCUCCAGCAAUGUACCAAUGAUACUAUCACAAACAUUCUUCUCAAUGUGCAUAACAUCUAGGGCAUGCCUUACAGGAAGGUAUUUCCAAUACUCGAGAUCAAAGAAUAUUGAUUUCUUCUUCCAACAAACUCUGUCACCAUUUUCAACCAUAUGCAGCACUUCUUCUCCGGUUAAUGGCUCGGGAGGUAUGCCAUAUUCAGGUUUCCCAUUAAAAGCUGCACGUUGCCUCCUAUAUGGAUGAUUGAUUGGUAACCAUUUUCUAUGCCCAAUGUAACAAAUUUUGUGGCCAUUUUUCAACCUGUGACUAGGUGUAUCAUCGCCGCAUAUUGGACAAGCUUUAUAUCCUUUAACAACACAACCAGAUAAGUUUCCAUAGGCGGGGAAAUCAUUAAUUGUCCACAUUAAUGCAGCUCUGAGUGUAAAGUAUUCUCCAUUAUGUGCAUCAUACACUCCUCUAAUCCCAUCCCACAAAGAUUUUAAAUCAUCAAUCAAAGGCUCCAAGUAGACGUCUAUAUCAUUUCCGGGUUGUUUAGGACCGAAAAUCAAUAAGGUUAACAUCAUGAACUUUCGUUUCAUGCACAGCCAUGGAGGGAGAUUAUAUGUAACUAAGAUAACCGGCCAACAACUAUAUCUGCUACUUAGAGAACUGUGGGGAUUGAAUCCAUCAGAUGAAAGAGCCAAUCUCAAGUUUCUCGGCUCAUUACCAAACUCAGGCCAUUUAUCAUCAAGAAGUUUCCAAGACGGGGAAUCCGCCGGAUGAGACAUCUGACCGUCAAUUGAUUUUCUAGGAGCAUGCCAAGUCAAACUCUUAGCUGUCUCAUGUGAUUGAAACAUCCUUUUAAACCUUGGAAUUGGAGGAAAAUACCACACCACCUUCGCUGGCACACCCUCUUUCAAGAUUGAAUCUUUGCCUUCCUUCCACCUUGAGAUACCACAAGUAGGACAAUUAGUUGAAUCCUCAUACUCCUUCCUAUACAAGAUGCAAUCAUUGGGGCAUGCGUGCAUUUUCUCAUAACUCAGCCCCAAUGCACACAAAGUCUUUUUAGCCUCAUACAUAGAGGUUGGUAUUGUAUUUCCUUAUGGAAGCAAAUCGCCUUGAAGUAUCAAUAAUUCUGUAAAACAGACAUCACUCAUCCCAUGUUUUGCCUUCAAAUUAUACAACUUCACUAAUGCCGAUAACUUCGUGUACUUUCUACAACCAGGGUACACUGGUUGAUCUCCAUCCCCAAUCACAUUGGCAAACUCAUACGGAUCGGAACCAAAAUCAUUAUCAUCCAUAUCAAUUUCUUCAGACACAAAACUGUACCUACUAUGGCCAUCAUCUUCUUCAACAUUUCUACUAGCAUUAGUAGUUGCUUCCCAAGGUUCUCCGUGAAAUGUCCAAUUCUUAUAGCUUUGGUCAAUUCCAUUAAAGUAUAAGUGAUCCCUUAUAAUUCCAACCCCAAACAACUUCAAAUUAACACAUUUAACACAUGGACAACGGAUAUGUGUUGUAGUUAGAAGAUUUUCUACAGCAAAGUUCAAAAAUGCUUCCACCCCAAACUCAUAUGCCUUCGAUCUUCUAUCCGAGUGCAUCAUUGACUUAUCCAUCUCCGACACUAUAACCUAUUAUCUAUAAUAAAGUGAAAAUACAGGCAAUGACCAUCACUAUAGCAGAUUAUACAAAGAUCUAAUAGCAAGUAAUACACAACAAAGACGACGGGUUUUAAACAAAAACAGACGUAUUUGGCAUAUAUAGACGACGGAUUUUCAACAGACGUCGUCUAAUAUAAGUAAUACAAACGACGGUUUAUGAAAAAACCGUCGUGUAUAAGUAAUACAACGACGGUUUUUUCAUAAACCGUCGUGUAAUCGUCGGCGUAUGCCUAAAAAGGCGUCGUGUCUCAGUUUAUUUUCAAGAACCCAAAACCCAUUAAGAACACAACAUAUAUAUGAAACCAAGCAAGAAAACAACAUAUACAUGAAACCAAGCAUGAAAACAAUAAAUCCAUUCCCAAUUCAACAUAACAUAGGGUGAUUAAAAGAUCCGACAAAAUUAAAUCCAUUCCCAAUUCAACAUAACAGAUAAUGUAAUCCAUGAACCCAUUAAACAGAAAAUCCAUGAACCCAUACUUAUAAGCACAUUAUUAACAGAUCGCAAAGCAUAUACCUAAAACCCUUUAACAAAACAACCUAAUAUCAUUCAAUGAAUUUACAAGGGGAAGAUAGGGUUUGUACUUACAGGUUGGACGAGCUCACAGAUUCGACGGAGCAGAAGUGAGAGAGCAACUUUUAAUUAGAGCAGAAGUGAGAGAGCGAAAUGUUAUGUUGCGCGAAAUCUGAAAAUUUUAGGGUUCAGGGUUAGAAGAAUAAGAAUAAGAGCCAAAUAUAAAAAAAUUUAGGACGCGUGAAAAUUUUUAGAGCGCGCGCUCUUUAAAACUUCGAAAGAAAAACCAUGGCGAAAGUUCUACAAGAACCGACAUAAAUGUAAUAUUCCACGACGGAAACACUGAACGUAACGCCGUUUAUUUUGACGCUUCAUUUUUCGGAUUAAUUUUAAAUUUAUUUUCAAUAUUUUGAUAUAAAGACGACUGAAAAACCACGUCGGGGUUAAGAAAUUGAAAACGUUGUAAAUUAUAAUAGACGACUUACAUAUUAAAAUGACGUCGUUUAAAGUAGAAACUAUGUCGGAUAAUUUACUGCACGACGUAACAUAUGUAUUCCACGACUCAACCACCGUCGUUAACAAUUAAUACCCUAAACCCUUAAAACUAAAUUAUAUAAUUUUAAAAAUUAACUUUAUAAAAGGGUUUAUGGUUUUACAGCCUAAUAUAUACCCUAGACUACCCAAAAAUUAUACUUUAAAAAUAAACCCCAAUAAAUAACAACCCUAAUCUCUAAACCCUAGACUCUAAACCCUAAACCAUAAAACUAGAAGUGAUUUUAUGACUCAUCAAAACAAUUUUGUUUUGGAUGUUCAUUUUAAAUUUUUGUAAUUCAAAAUGAAUUUUUUCAAGGUUUAGGGGGAAGAAAAUAUAUCAAUGACUUCAUAGGAGUUGACUUUGCAUUUUUCUGAUUUAUUUUAAAUUUAUUUUGAAUAUUUUGAUAUAAAAAUAAUAAAAUAUUCUUAUCACAACAACAAACCACGUCGGUGUUGAUAAAUUGUAGACGUUGUAAAUUGUAAUAGACGACUAAGUUGUUAAAAUGACGUCGUUUAAAUGAGAAACGAUGGCGGAUAUUUAACUAUCCGACGUAAAAUAUAUAUUCCUCGACUUAACCACUGUCGUUACAAAGUACUACCCUGAACCCUUAAGAAAUUGAAGACGUUGUAAACCAUAAACGACUCCAUUGUUCAAAGAACGUCGUCUAAAUAUCCUUUUACGCCGGAUUUGUUUAAAACGAAACCACAAAAAACGACGGCUUUUGACUUUAUUACGUCGUUGGAAAAUUAUUACACGUCGGUUACGCAUUUUGUAUGUUUGUUUUUGUUUUUACUUUAAGAAAACCUCAACAAAUUUUUACAUUAUAUAUUAUAGACAAAAUUUGUACAUUAUACAUAAAUAUCAAGUGUUCAAUAAUUCCCCUAUUCCAGUUGAAUGCAAACAAACUCUGCCCAUUCAUUCCGGACUUCAUCAAUUGCUUCUUGGGGGUAUGGCUCUUCCUGUUUUCCCUUCGCAUACUGCAUAAAAACAAUGACUAUUAGGGUUUAUAAAUAAAAGGAAAUUCAAUCACAGACGACCAUAACCGACGUAGUAUAUCUAUUCAACGACGGUAAUUUUACAUGACCGUCGUUGAUAAUACAAAAAACGACGUAAAAUGUUUGAAGGUUAUUUCUUCUUACCUUCUUCUCAAACCCCAAGGAAGGAUCCAUGAUGAUGUCCUUCAUGAAGCGCAUCACGUAAUACCCGCAUUCGACAUUGCUGGGUUGCUUUGGUGUGCCUGACAGGGUUUUCCAAAUGACUGCCUUACGGCCUGAUCUGGCUAUGUGGGAAUUAUAAAUUUUUAUGGCACUGUUCACGAUGUCUUUGGCCUCUUCAUCGACCACACGAUUUCCUGGCAGAGGAUCCAGAAAAUAGACUGUUUCCCUCUUUGCUCUUACAAUCAGCAAGAUCCAAUGACGGCUGCACAAAAUUAAUAUAAAAACGACGGUUAUUUACAAAAACGACGUAUUAUAAUAUUUCACACGACGAAAUAAAGUAGCAAUCGACGACAUUAUAUAUUUAUAACGACGAUAAAUAACUACCGACGUGGUUAGUCGUUUCAAACGACUCAAUAAAAUAAAACACCGACGUGGUUAGUUUAUACGCUGUCAUUUAUUGAAAAUCAUAAAAACAAAAUCCUGUUAAGGAGACUAACCCUGGAUUGUAAGGCAUGAGGAAAAUCUGUUCACCGUCAGUCUUCUGAAGUCGUGAUGCUACAAGCCGUGAUCUGUCAGCUAUUGUGCCAGAGCUGGCACUAACUGUAGCAGGGUCGAUAAAGCCAACCAUUGUGCACAUAUUUGCUUGUUUUAAAACAUCGUGUAAGUACCUAAAUAUAUAAAAUAAUAUAAACAAGUCAGCGCAAAAAAAACACACGACGGUUAUGUAUAACAAAACGACGUAUUAUAAGGUUUCACACGACGUACUGAAAUAGACAACGACGUUAUAAUAAAUUUAUCACGACGGUACAUACUAACGACGUGGUUAGUUAGUUAAGACGACGCAAUAAAUAAACCAACGACGUAUUAUUUUAGAAUGACAAACCUCAUAUAUACAGCAAUGACUGUAGCUCCUAUUUCCUCCAUGCCUGCAAAUUGUGUAAUAUCUUCAGGCAGGAGGAAGGUAUCGCGCUCUAGACCAAACACCUCCUUAUCAAUUGUAAAGUGCAGGGUCUUAUCUUGAGUUACGAGUGUCGUUUCCACAUAACGACAAAGGGUUUGUAAAGAAGAUGGCGCCUCCAUAUUUGAAUAAUCAACAACUUUAGUAACCUGUUUAAAGAAAUAAAAAAAUGACGUGGUAAUUCAAUAAAAACGACGGUUUAAGGAAUAAAAUGUCGUUUGAAAACAAUUUAAACGACGGUGAAAAAACCGUCGUGGUGAAUUAUUUAUUACGUCUUAGAAAACAAUUCCGCCGUCUAAGUUGUAAACAAACGACGGUUUAAAGAAAAAUAUCGACGUCUGGAAUUUUGAAAACAAAUAAAAAAGGUAAAGUUAUGUGAACAUACCUGGUCGUCAUCUUCUUUCUCCUUUUCAUCUUGUUUUUCUUCCUUAUUCUCUUCAUAUAUGACGUCGGGAAUGAUUAACUCCGUCAUCUAAAAACCACAAAGUUUUAAAAAUAACGACGUUUAAUGGCGUGUAAAACAAGUAAACUAAAUACGACGUGGUAUUGAAAUACAAACGACGGUUUAUUUUUAAAAUCGUCGUGGUAUGUAUUUCAAACGACGGUUUUAUUAAAAAUAACGACGUCUAAUGGUUUUUAAAAAAACAGAGAAUUCAAAGUUCAGAUAUGUUACCUUUUCUUCCUGAUGUUUCCCAUUUUUGGCAGUAUCAUCCUCAAAAUGCUGGGAUCUCACAUCACCUCCAGAGCAGCUUGCUUUGUCAGACAUUGGAUUUUUGGGACUUUGGCUAAUUCUGGGUUUAAGCAUGCUUGGAUCAAAAUUGGGAAUUAAUUGGGAAAGCUGACUCAGGAAAUGCUCCCUCUCAGCCUCUACCAAUUGUUUCGUUCUAGCCUCCAUUCUUAAAGCCUCUUCCCUUGCCUUAGCCUCCAUCUUUUUAGUCUCUUCUUGAAGGAGAACUCUUAAACUGUCCUUCAAACGGUCGUCAAAGCUCACUCUCUGUGGUUUGGGUAAAUUGAAAUAUUGCUUUGGUGAGAUCCCAGCACCUACUCCUCUGACUCUGCCUGGAUGCUCGGGGCCCAAAGCCAUGGUCAGCACAUCAUUGCUGCCAGAGACGGUGACUUUGCCUUCCGAGACUUGUUUUUGCAAAUCAUCCUAAAACAAAGAUAUAUAAAAAAGUAAGAACAAAAACACACGACGGUUAUUUAUAUACAAACGACGUAUUAUAUAAUUUCACACGACUCAAUAACAUAUAAAUCGACGUUAUUAUAAUUUAUCACGACGGUAGUUAUACCGACGUGGUUAGUUCUUUAAAACGACGAAAUUAAUAAACCACCAACGUCUUAUGUAACAGAGGGAUGAUUCAAUAUUCACACCUUUAACGACGUUGUUUAAAACAUUUCGACGUAGUAAUUUAAUACAGACGACGCGAAAUUGAACCACCGACAUCUUAUGCUAUAAUUACAGAAAACAGAGUUCUGAUUCCUAUUUAGACCUUUAACGACGUGUUUUAAAAAAUGUCGACGUGGUAAUAUCAUUCACACGACGCAAAAUAUAACAUAAGACGUAAUAAGAAUUAUUCACAGUUUAAUAAAAAUUUAAAACAGAGUGAGUAGGCUUACAAUUAAUUUUGCUUUCUCUGCCACCUUUGGAUCAGGGAUGUUACCAUGUUUGUCAUGUCUAGCUCUCUUCCAUAAGGUAGAUCGAUCAAUUUCUACCCCAGGCAUGGUUUCCUCUAAUUGAUCCUCCAAACCGGCAUAUCCUUUUCGAGACAAUCGAUGAUUGUACUCGAGUUUCUCCCUAAUCUGUGCAUGUUGAGAAUGCACAGACUCAAAAUCUUUGGAUAGCCUUGAAGCUACAAAGGCAUCCCAUUGUGCUUUCUCUAUGAAUUUAUAUGUUUCAGGGGGUUGGCUUAAUCUCUCCCUGUCAUUGGUGUAUGGAAGGAUAUAAUGCCUCGUUAGUGUAGACUUGAAAUCCUUCCAUUUCUUGGCAGCAGAAGCUAAGACAGAGUUCUUGCCCCCUUGACCUACUACAAAAGCAAUGUCAACUGCUUCCCAAAUCUGCUCCUUUAUAUCCUUGGGGAUUUGAGCCCAUUUCAAGUCCACAAGUGGAACUCUGGAGCGUGCCAACACACCAAUAUAGGACUGCAUCUCACUAUGAGCUUGGCCAAUUCCUUUCCCCCUUUUAUUGUACUCAACAAUUGGCCUCAGUUUCUGCAGUUUUCUCUUCACAACACGAGGCAUUGUGCUCAUACCUCGACCAGCCUUUGAAUCAUCAGAUAUUGUUGUCCCGCUGGUUGGUUCUGUAUCAGCAGAUGAUGAAGCAAACUUCAUCUUCUUCGAAGACUUCAUUAUCUUCGAAGACUUCUCUUGAGGAGGUACUUGCUCCUCACCUCCAUUUUUCUUGGAGCCAGAAUCCUUACUUUAGUCUUGUUGAGAAACCAUUUUUACAGACAAAACUGCAAGUGAAAAUAUUUCAAGAAAAGAUUAAGAACACAAACGACGGUUAUUAAUAAAAUACGACGUAUGAUAUGAUUUUAAACGACGCAAUGAAAUAAUAUCAGACGUAAUAAAUUUUUAAAACGAAGGUAAUUAAACAACGACGAAAUAAUUGACUACAAACGACGAGAUAAUUAACUAUAAACGACGGAAUAUUUAUAUAACGUCGUGGUAUUGAUGUUCACACGACGUCAGUAGUAAUAUACCGUCGUCUAUAUAAGGAUCCAAAACCCUUCUUUCUUUCUCUGUGAAUGUUUGAUUGCAGAUUUGAUUUUUCUGAACCAUGGUUUUUGUUUUCUAAUUUGAUAAAAUACAAGGCCAAGAAAGAAAGUUUUGGAAUCUUAUAUAGACGACGGUAUUUUAAUAUGACGUCGUGGUAUUAACAUUCACACGACGUAAAACAAUAAGAUACUGUCGUCUAUAUUAGAUACCAACCCUAAUUUCUUUUUCUUUAUAUUUUAUCAAAUUAGGGAAAAACAAAAACCAUUGUUCAGAAAAAUCAAACCUGCAAUUAAACAAGCAAAUAAAAAAAAGACUAAAAUUUUAAAAACAACUUUGUCAAUUUUCAGACGACGCUAGAACGACUGACGAACCGUCGUGGUCUACAUAUUUAACCACGUAAAUAAGAAGCUACCGUCGUCUUAUUUAGUUAAGGUAGUUGUCUUCAAAGUUGGAAACUUUCCCUCUUUGUCUGUAUAUUUUAUCGAACUUGGAAAGAAGUAAAAUGAUUUUGGCCAGAAAAAAGGUAAAAAGAUUUUUCAAACAAAAAACGUAUGAGCAUGCAAAACAGCAACCAAAAUAGUGAAAAUGAAAGCUUACCUUUUGUGUGCAAUGAAAGCAAGAGGAAGACGAUCGAUGUUUAAAUUCAGAGACGACGAAGAAGACGAGAGGAAGACGAUGAGAUACUCUGAAAGUGCUCUGACAAGGAAAAAAGUCUAAAAGUUUUCUCUGGGAGAUUGAAAUUUUUAAUCGGGUUUGGAAAAAGUGCAUGUGUAAGUCAGGUAGACGAAAAGUUGCUUAUAUAUAAAACCAUUUCAAAAAAAUAAUACGGCGGUUACAUAUAACUACGACGUAUAAAUUACAAAAUACGACAGUACGUUUAACUUCGGACGUGGUAAAUAAUUACGACAGUAGUGUUAUAGGUACCGUCGUAGUAAACUCAAAAUUAAAGUACAUAAGUAAUAACUCGCGUCAUGGUAGAUCAUUUAACACGUCGGUUUUAUUAAUGUACCGACGUGGAUUUAUGUAAUAUACGUCGGUAAUACCGACGUUGAUUUUACAAUUUAAACGGCGGUUUUUUUGUAAGGACCGCCGUUGGUUUUAAAAAUUUAUUCUAUAAAUUUGUUGCUUUCAUUCAUUUUCGGUUUACAUUUAGGGUUCCAAGUUCUUCCUCUCUCAGAGACACUAUCUCUCACAUCUCAAAGACAGUAAUUUGGAUGUCUUUCUCAAAGAGAAAUUGAGCUUACUCGCAUCAAAUCUAUGUCCACAAGAAGAAGCUUGUCAACUAGCCUUCUCACUUCCUUGAUCAAGCCUGAUAGGACACUUAGUGCUUCUGAAUACUCCUUGCUUUCCAUCAAAAGAGAUGCAAGCCUGGCCUCCACUCGCUGUCGAAGGAAAGUUCGCUUCUCAGGGAAAUCUGAAGAUCAGAUGUGCCUGAUCCUCUGCUUGAUUUUCUUGGCUAAGAAGAUCCGUCAGAUUUGUGAUAGCCUCUUCCUUUAUCCGUAGAGCUUCAGAAGAAGAAGAUGGGUUUCAAGAAUGCGAUAAAGAAUAGAAAUGGCUUCAGAUGGCCUCUAAAGCAUGAGCAAUCGAAUCAGUGCUUUGAACUAUACUUUGAACUAUACAAGUCAAUGCUUUGAACUAUACAAGUCCUGCAGAAAGAUAAAGGACCAAACUAUUAAAGAAACCCCAAACUAACACGACGCAAUAUUUGUUUUGCGACGUGGAAUCUUUUCAUUUAACGUCGUUAGGUUUAAUAUAACCGACGUGGAUUUGAAUUUUUAAAUUAUGAAUAGCAUUUUUUUUCCCGUGACCUUUCAGUUUAUUUUUCAAUUACAGUGCGUUAUAAAUAGAGUUUUUUUUCCGGAGGAAAUUUAAAAUGAAGGAAAUUAAUGUUCUGGAAUAUGUAAAAUUUCUUUUUUGGAUGACAGAUUUAAAUAAAAUAAGAAUAUAAAAACAACGACUGUUUUUGUAUUACUGUCGUCGUUUUUCGUCGUCUUAAGUAAGACUAAGACAACGUAAUAUAUUUGUUGAGCGACGUUGAUUUGUGUUUUAAACGUCCUUAGGUAUAAUAUAACCGUCGUUGAAAAUUGUCUCUCUGAUUGCAAAUUUGCAACGACGUUAGGUAUAAUAUUUGUAGAUACACAAACGCACACACAUCAUCAACUUCCAAAAAAUUGUCUCUCUGAUUGCAAAUCUGUGUCAUCUGUUAAGAUUAUGAUGUGGAACAAAGUUCCAUUUGGUAAGAUUUCGUAACCCUUGGGAUCUCAGAAAAAUCUGAUUAUGUCGGCGAUUUUCUAUAUAAACCGUCGUGGUUAUUUCAAUUCUUGUCAUUAAGUAGAUCUACCGACGUAGGAUAAGAAAAUCAAAGAAAAAAAUUGUUAACAAAAAUUCUUAUUAAGACGACGGUUUAAAUUAAAGGUAAGACGUAUAAAAUGAAUAAAUACGACGUUAAAUUUUAUAGUACGAUUUAAAGAUAACGUCGUAGAACUAUACCAGAAUGACGUCGAUAUAUUUAUAUUUUUCGUCGUUGUACAUUAAUUUAAUACGGCGAUAUUUUGUAUUUUAAAGUCGUGGAUUUGUUUGUAAUUAUACAGCGUCUUAUACGAAAACCUCGUCGUGUUAUUUUAUGAGUAAAAACGGCGGCUUUUAUUGAAAUCGUCGUCUUUACUUUCUACGUCGGUUGAUUCAUAACUUCUGUCGUUCUUUGUUGGCUUUGAUUUUACACUGCGGAAAUCUGUUUCAAAUAGACGUCGGUUGUUUAAUUAAGUACGUCGUUGUUUUUGAACAGCCAUUUGAAUCUCCAUUUUUUAGUUGUCUAAGGUGGUAUUACACGACGGUGUUUUUAGAACCGUCGUCUUUUUAAAAACCACGACGGUUUUCACUGAGACCGUCGUUGUUUUCUGGUCGUCUUUUUCACUUUUUGUAGUAGUGAAUGGAAUAGAAUGAUGGAAGUUAUUUUUUUUUUUUCCUACGUCUAAAGUAUACUUUAUAUAUAUAUAUAUAUAUUUAUAUUUAUUAUGGAAGUUAUAACCGUUUAAUUUUCAGUUUUUAUUUUCUAUUUAUUGUUUUAAUUUUUAUAGUUUAAUGUGUAUGGAGAUUUCAAGUAUUGGAUGUUUAUAAAGGGUCACUCCUCCUUCACAUCUGAAACAAACCACCAUCUCAUUUCUGUAUUUUCAUACUUUCAUAUAUUUUCUACUUUCCAGAUUAUUAUUUUUGGGCAACGGUUCUGUGACUUGGAGAUUUCUAUCCGAUUAUUAACAUGCUCAUAGCGGACCUUGAGCUUGCGUAUUGAGGAUAGUAUCUUGGAGCCUUGUAGACCUUUAUUACCUGCAUGUAGGGAGGCUAUAAAUGCUUUAAGUCAGCGUCUUUGACGUGCUUUUGCUUUCUUUUUUUUACUUAUUUCUUCGUUACUUUAUUUUUACUUUACUUUUAAAUCUUUAUUUUAUGUAUUAUUUAUAUUUAAAAAUUUUGAAUAAGAGUUUUACAGAAAAGGAAAAACACAAUUUCAAAUAACACAAAUUUCUCGUUUUUUGUUCUUAAAAAAGAAGAAGCAUUGAUUGGGGAGUUAUGGUAAACUCAGUUUCAAUGGUUGCGAUGAGAGGCGGUGGCGGCGAGGAGAGGACGAAGGCUUUGCUGCCGACGGGGUGGUGUGGGUGGGUGGAGACCUCGGCUGGCUGCUUGGUCCUGGGUUCUCCUUUAAUUCUCUGUUUUCUUUUUUCAUAUUUUUCUUUUUCUCUUAGAGUUAUUGAUGUUAAGUGAAUGGACAGAUGCCAAGAGAAGAUGUGAACCCAAUUAUAUACAGCUGAUUACAUAAAGUAACAAAUUAAUUAAUACUUGAGUGGAGGACAGGCUCGAGUGGAAGAAUUGAUUAAGGCUUGAGUGGAAGACAAACUUCAGUGGAGGAAAGUACAGAUAAGGAAAGCAUGCCACGUUUAACGGCUUUAUCUCAACAAAUUAGGAAUGCUGGUUUUGUUUCCUCGGUGGUUGAAAGGUGGUGCCUUGGCUCGGACAUCUCCCUAGUAAUUAAUCGAAGGUGGAAUCUUACAAGACAUUCAGCUGCUCAUUAGCUGAAUAUCUCGCUCUCUUUAAAGAGAUCGAAGCAAACUGCAAUUUGCAAUUUGUGUGAUUCAAGCAUGAAUAUCUGACAUAGUAACUAUACCAUUUGUUGGUUUGAUGAGAAAAGUUUGGUUAGCGAGGAUGAAACCAUAAAGUUCCCCAAAACACACAAAGAGCACGGACAAUUGCUAAGUUUAUCUUUGAGUUCACGCAUAUUUGCACAAAUGAGAUUACUCCAAGUAUGACUAUACCAUUUGUUGGUUUGAUGUGAAAAAUAUGGGCAACGAGGGUAAAACUAUACAAACACACACAAAGAAAGUGGACAAUUACUAAGUUUAUCUUUGCGUUAUUCAUCCGACCUAACUGUAAAAUAAAAAAGAUGAAAAUAUAUAAUGUUCACUACUUAGAUCUAUGAGCACUAAAGUCCUCCUUUUGGAAUUGCACAAAACGUCACUUUUGGUCUUUGACAAAUUUUUAAAAUAAAUGAAUUUUUUACUUAUUUGUGGACUGAAAUGCCUCAAAAAAAAUAAUGAUAAUUUGAAGAAUUUGAUAGAAAUUAAAAAAUAUCCUCAAAUUACUUGGAAUUGAAGACCACAUAGGCAAAAACACCACUUUGGACAAAGGCUGGUGAUAAUAGUCGAUAUCAUCUUUUGUCGGUCCGACCUAAAAAGAAGAAAAAGUUGAAAGCAUCUUGUUACCAUUUUUGCCAAUGUGGGUCCAGACAAUUUGAAGAAGUCCACCGACAAUUUCUCAAAAGCUAUUGUGUGAGUGUUUUGAAGCUAAACCAAUAUUAUUUUGCACAUACGACCCCACAUCCCCAUGUGAGGCUACAGAAGUGUUUCCAAAACGAAACAUGAUAUUUCAAAACAAAGCUAUGUAUAGAAUAGAGUCAUUUGUAUUUGCUUUCACAAUAACAUUUUAUUUGUGAAAGCAUUUUAUAUUUUUACAUUAUGAUGUUCUAACAAAUAAAUUGACUAUAUUUGGCCAACAGGGUUUAACCGAGUAAAAAAGUCCUUAUUUAUAAACUACUGGUUUCAUAUUUGAACUCUAUGACAUUCUCUUUACCCUUAAAGUUUAGACUAUCGCAUGUAUUAUAAAUAAAAAAAAACAAUUGGCUUAAUUUGAUAUAUUUCAUUUUAUGCUGGGUGCCGUUAUUAAGUUUUAUCCUUGUUUCUUGUUGAAAAAAAAUUGAUAAAAAAUAAGAAUUCCUAUAGCUAGCAACUUCUCCACCUUCCCUUCUUCGCAACUAGGGAUGCCAUUGCAAGGUCACCAUCUCAGAUUAAGUCCUCCUUUUAAAAUUGUGUUGUUAUUCAAAAUUGGAAUAUGCUGGUCAUUCUUGAUAUAAUCUGUUCCACAAAAAGAAAAAGAAAAAAGUUGAUAGCAUCUUUUACCACUUUGGCCACUUUUGAAGAUAUUCACCGACAAUUUCUCAAAAGCUAUUAAGCUGUACGUCCACAAUAUUAUUGCAUCCAACUUUGCAUAUACGACCCCAUCCCCAUGUGAGGCUACAAUAUUGUUAAAAAAAUAUGCUAACAUUGUCAUUCAGUAUGCUAACAUUGUCACUAUGUUUGCGAAUUGCAUAUUAUCUAGAACAUAAAGGCUUUGGUGUUUUGUAGAUCCUCAGGGAGCCAAACCCGUCUUUAUAAAAAUGGUCCUUAUGAUACUACUUUAACAACAAUAAAGUAUAAUAAACUAGGCCUUUGUAGUCACUGAACGAAUGUUUUGUCAUAUAUAUGACUAUUUAAAUGUAAUUACGGGAUUAAAACAUUAUAAUAAAUUGGAGUGAACCAUAACAUUAUAUAUGAUCCAAUCCUUUGCAUAUAUUUUUGUUCAAGACUUUGUUUUAGAAUGCUCUAUUACUAAUUUGGUACAGGUCUCUAAAAUCUAUGCCUUUAUGAGGCAACGUCUUUAUUUCUUUGGUUAUUCCAGUUUAGAAUAUUUGCACAAAUGAGAUGACUCCCAGCAUAAAGUCACAUUCAACCAAAAAGCAUGAAGUCACACACAAAAAGAAUACGGACAAUUGCUAAGUUUAUCUUGUAUCCUUAUUUUAUUGAUCCAACCCAAUUGAAAAAUUAAAAAGAUGAUAUAAUAUACUGUUCACUGCUUACAUCCAUGAGUAAAGUCCUCCAUUUGAAAUUGCGUGAUGAUAUAAAAUUGGAAUGAAAAAAGAAAAUCCUACAGCUAAAUUUGAUAUAUUUCCUUUUCAUUUUAUGCUGGGUGUUAAGUUUUCUUAUUUCUUGUUGAAAAGAAAAAUGAAAAGAAAUAAAUAAAUUCCACAGCUAGCCACUUAUCCACCUUCCCUUCUUCCCAUGUAGUGACAACAAGGGAGGCCUUCAAUCCAAAAUAAAGACAAGGGAUGCCAGAUCAGCAUCUCAGAUAAGUAUCCCAACCAAAACCAAUCAAAUAAUGACAUAUGUAUCUCUUUUUGUGUUUUGUUCUAUUUCUCUUUGAAUUAACUGCAUAGUUUCAUAAGCGUGUCCUCCUUUUGAAAUUGUGUAUUAUUCAAAAUUGGAAUUUGCUGAUCAUACUUGAUAUCAGCUAAAAAAGUUUCCAACAUCUUGUACCAUUUUUUUCCAGUGUGGGUCAUAACUUGAAGAAGCCCACCGACAAUUUCUCAAAAGCUAUUACCAUCCAACUUUGAAAAAUAAAAGUUUUCAAAAGUUACCCCAAACAACAGUCCUUGAAAGAGAGAGUUUUCCAAGGCUAAAGAUUACAAGGAUGUUAUUUACAGUCUCGACAACGACAAGCUUCAUAUUUGUUUACAAACCUGUAUUUUCAAGUUGUGCUAGCCUAGCUACUUGCAAAAAAUAUCCAGUUGGCACAUGCAUUAACGUGUGACAAGAAGUUAGUUAUAUUUGUAAAGUAAAAGAACGAAGUACAUAGCAUGUAAGUUGAUGCUAAAUAUUUGAUCAACAGAGUUAAACAUAAAACCACUGACAAUAUAACGUUGUUCACCAAAAAUUGCAUUUCGUUGAGGGUCAGUAGUGUAGGUUUCAAGAUACGAUUUAUUUUGUUAAAGAAUAUUCUGAUAUUCUAACAAUAAAAUUGGCUCAAUUUGAUAUGUUUCUCUCUCUUUUUUUGUUUCUGUUUUCCCUUUCAUUUGAUGCUUUGUUGUGCUAUUGCUAAGUUUAUCUUAGAGACCAGGGAUGCUUAGCAAGUUUCUUCACCUGCCCUUCUUCCCAUGUACUAACUAGGGAUACCAUGUCAGAAUCUUAGAUAAGAAUCCCAUGCUUUGUUGUGCUAUUGCUAAGUUUAUCUUAGAGACCAGGGAUGCUUAGCAAGUUUCUUCACCUGCCCUUCUUCCCAUGUACUAACUAGGGAUACCAUGUCAGAAUCUUAGAUAAGAAUCCCAACCCAAUCAAACUAUGACAUCUGUAAGUAUUCAAAAUUGGAAUUUGCAUUGUGAUAGUUGAGUGGAAGAAUCGAUUAAGGCUUGAGUGGAAGACAAACUUCAGUGGAGGAAAGUAAUUAAUUAGACCAUUAUUUGUUGGUUUGAUGAGAAAAGUUUGCUGGUGAUAGUCCAUAAUCUUUGUCCGACCAGAAAAUAAGAAAAGUUGUCUUGUACCAUUUCUGCCAGUGUGGGUCCCACCCACCCCAUGCGAGUAAUUUGAAGAAGUCCACCGACAAUUUCCCAAAAGCUUUGGCGUCCAACUUUGCCGACCCCAUCCCCAUGUGAGGCCAUAGAAAAGUUUUCAGCCACAAUCAAAUAAGGAACAGUCCUUGAAAAGAGAGGGUUUUCCAAGGCCAAGAUUACAAGUUCAUGUUAUUUACAGUCUCAAAAAGCUUCCAUACUUGUUUACAAACCUGUAUUUUCAAGUUGUGCUAGCCUAGCUAUUUGCAAAUCUUGGAAUAUUUUACUUCAUCCAAAUCCCUUGAAGUCUGCAGAGAAGAUAAAAGACAUGGCUUUGAUUGGAGAGGCUCUUAUCUCUGCUUCCGUCCAGGUGUUGUGCGACAGAAUUACUUCACCCGAGUUCGUUGACUUAUUUCGGCACAAGAAACUCGAUGAGCCACUCCUCAGGAAGCUGAGGACGACACUGUUGGCCUUGAACUUGGUGCUCAAUGAUGCAGAGGAGAAGCAACUUGUGAACCGAGAUGUGAAAAAGUGGCUUGACGAGCUCAAACAUGCUGUCUUUGAUGCGGAGGACUUACUGGAUGAGAUUGACACUGAAGCUUUGAGAUGCAAGCUGGAAGAAGGUGAAGAUCAAACUCACAAAUUUACCAAUAAGGUGCGGAACUUGCUCUUUUCUUCUCGUAGUCAUUUUUAUCAGAGCAUGAAUGAUAAGAUAAAAGAGUUACUAGCAAGGUUAGAAAACUUUGUACAACUGAAAAGUGCUCUUGGUCUGGGAGAAGUUGCUGGGAGGAAGGUUUCGCAAAGAACUCAAACAACCUCCUUGGUUCUUGAACCUUAUGUAUAUGGUAGAGAUGAAGUCAAAGAAAAGUUAUCAAAAGUUUUGCUAUCUGAUGAAGCAGGCAAGGAUCCUGUGUCUUUCCUCACCAUUGUUGGAAUGGGUGGGGUUGGCAAGACAACCCUUGCUCGAAUGCUUUACAAUGACGAUAAGGUGAAAGGGCAUUUUAAACUUAAAGCUUGGGCUUGUGUUUCAGACUACGAUGAUUAUAUUAAAAUUACUAAAACUCUCCUUGAGGCAGUCACUUCAAAGCCUUGUAACACGGCAAAUCUGAAUUUGCUUCAAGAAGAUCUAAGAGAGCAAUUGAAGGGAAGGAAAUUUUUAUUUGUGUUGGAUGACCUAUGGAAUGAGAAUAAUGAGGAUUUGAACUACCUUAGAGCUCUUUUUAUUACUUUAGGAACAAUGGGAAGUAAAGUCAUUGUAACAACACGGAGCAAAAAUGCAGCAUCUGUCAUGCAAAAUGUUCAUAUUCAAUACUUAGAACCAUUGUCGCAGGAGGACUGCUGGUUAUUACUUGCAAAACAUGCAUUUGGAAAUGUAAAGUGUAGUGCACAUUCAAACUUGGAAGAUAUUGGAAACCAAAUUGCACGCAAGUGCAAAGGGUUGCCUUUAGCUGCACAAACACUUGGGAGUUUGUUACGUUGCAAUAUGAAUUUCGAGUACUGGAAUAGAAUACUAAAUGAUAGUUUUUGGGACCACCCCUAUGAUAAAACUAACAUUCUUCCGGCUCUAGGGUUGAGUUACCAUUAUCUUCCUACUCAGUUGAAACGAUGCUUUGCUUAUUGUUCAAUUUUUCCAAAGGAUUAUGAGUUUGAAAAGGAAGAUAUAGUUCAAUUAUGGAUUGCAGAAGGUAUAAUUCCACAAGCUGAGAAUGGAAAUAGGAUGGAAGCAUUGGCUAGAAUAUACUUUGAUGAGCUGUUAUCACGAUCGUUGUUUCAAAAGUCAAGUAAAUUCAGCUUCAUUAUGCAUGAUCUCAUUAAUGACUUGGCUAUGUUCAUGUCUCAGGGGUUUUGCCUUAGGCUCGAAUAUGGGGUAUCCCAUGAAGUUAAAAGAGCUCGUCAUUUGUCAUAUGCUAGGGGAGCAUUUGAUGCUGCUCCAAGAUUUGAACCAUUAUAUGAGGCUAAAUGUUUGCGGACCUUCCUACCUACCUCUUUAAAUCCAUAUAGAUUUUAUGAAAGAUUUUUUGUAAGUAAAAAAGUUCUACAAGAUUUGUUGCCAUCACUAAGAUGUUUACGGGUGUUAUCAUUGUCACGUUAUCAAAAUGUUACUGUGUUACCUGAUUCUAUUGCAAACCUCAUUCACUUGCACUACUUGGAUCUUUCCCAUACCGCAAUUAAAAGGUUACCUGGGGUACUUUGCAAUCUCUUCAACUUGCAGACAUUACUAUUGUCAAAUUGUUCCUCACUCCAUGAAUUGCCUGCAGACAUUAGAAAAUUGAUUAAUUUACAGAAAUUGACAUUGGGCGGUUGUAGUUCUCUUAAUAAAUUGCCUGCAGGCAUGAAGGAGUUGACUAAUUUGCAUCAUCUUGAUGUCAGUGGAACUGAAAUAGUAGAGAUGCCGGUGCAAAUGGGUAGACUGAAAAAUUUGAGAACAUUGACUGCAUUUGUUGUGGGCAAAUCUACUGGGUCAGGCAUAAGAGAACUGAGCGAGUUCCCGCAACUUCAAGGAAAACUAUCAAUUUUGAAGCUACAAAAUGUAGUUGAUGCGAGGGAUGCACUGCACGCCAAUAUGAAGCUCAAGACAGAUCUCAAGGAGUUAGAGUUUUCAUGGGGUGCGCAGGAUGCUGAUGAUUCCCAAAAGGAGAAAGAUGUACUUGACAAGCUCCAGCCUUGCGUGAAUUUGGAGAAAUUAACCAUUGGAUUCUAUGGUGGAACCAAUUUUCCGAAUUGGUUAGGAGACUCGUCUUUUUCUAACAUACAAGUCAUGCAUCUCAGUGACUGUAGUUAUUGUUGGUCGCUCCCACCAGUUGGACGGCUGUCGGCACUCAAAGAGCUCUGUAUAAAAAGAAUGAAGUCUUUGAGGACGAUUGGCGUUGAAUUCUAUGGCAGAGAUGGAGCUUAUCUGACUCAGCCAUUUCGAUCUCUGGAGAAGCUAGAGUUUAUAGAGAUGCCGGAGUGGGAGGAAUGGGUACCAAGUGGAAGUGCAAGUGGUAGUGAAUAUGGUCCAGACUUUCCUCAUCUCCAGGAGCUGAUUCUAAACGAGUGUCCGAAGCUAAGAGGAAGUUUGCCUUGUGAGUUGCCUUGCUUGAAGAAGCUUACGGUGUAUGGGUGUAAGGUUUUACAUGAUGGAAGGGCCGCUACCGCAACUACCAAUAGUCUUAACUAUAAAUCUCUGGAAGAAUUGGAUAUAAGGGGUGGAUGCCAAACUCUGUUAUCAUUAUUAGAGACAAAGCUCCUGUCCCGACUUAAGAUUGAAAAUGUUGACGUACAGUGCUUGCCCAACUGCAAUCGUCUUCAACGUUUGACUCUUUUGAAUUGUCCAACGCUGUCGUCAUUCCCUAAAGAUGGCCUACCCACUACAUUGACAUCACUUACUAUACUCAAUUGUAGGAGAUUAGAAUUCCUACCUCAUGAGAUGUUGGCCAAAUUAACAUCGCUUGACUAUUUGGGCAUACAAAGUAGCUGUGAUUCAAUGAGGUCCUUACCGUUGGGCAUUUUUCCCAAAUUGACGACGCUUCAAAUUCUUGGUUGUGAGAAUCUGGAAUCUUUUUCCUUGAUUGAAGAAGAAGGAGCUGUUGAGAAUCUCAGCCAUCUCAAUUCCUUGCAAGUCAUUAACUGUCCAAAAAUGGUGUGUUUUCACGAGGGAGAAUUGCCCUUUCCCAACCUGAGUCACUUUGUAGUCAUUGACUGCGAGAAUUUGAAGUCAUUGCCCGAACGCCUUCACACCCUCACUGCCCUUCGAUCUUUGAAUAUAUGGAAUCUUCCGAAUCUGGAGUCAUUUGCAGAAGAUGGGGGUUUGCCUCCCAACCUCCGAUCUUUUAUCAUUAGGAAUUGUAAGAGACUGAGGGCACUUGACUCAGUGGGUUUGCAAGCACUUGUCUACCUUCAGAUCGAUGGAAGUGACCAUGUCUUGGAGACGUUGCUGCUCCCUACCACUCUUCACACUCUCUGCAUCUCUGAUCUAUCAACUCUGAAAUCUUUGGACGGAAAGGGUCUUGGACACCUCACUUCUCUUCAAACUCUAAAAAUUUACAGCUGUCCAAGUCUUCAAUGCCUGCCAGAAGAGGGUUUGCCGCCAUCUCUUUCUCAUCUGAGUAUCCGCUGUUGUCCUACCCUGGAGGAAAGGUAUAAGAAUAAAACGGGACAAGAUUGGGCAAAGAUAUCUCACAUUCCUUGCAUCGAGAUAGGGGAAGAAGUGAUCAUAUAAUAUGAGCUAUUCCAUAUUUCACGCUCAACCCUCAACUCUCAAAUCAAAGUCAGGUGAGGUAUGUGCCUUCUCUUACUUUAAAAAACUGCUUCUCUUCUUCUAAUUGAAUACAAAAACCAAAACACAUAUUCUCUUUCUCUUCCAAAAACCCAAAUACAUGUUGGACAUAGCCCAACGCUGUACUUUCAUAGGUACUGCAUGUAUAUUAUCUUAGUAUCAACAGGUGGUCUUAUGUGGACGAGAGAGAACAUUGAGGAAUUACAAAAUCUUCUUAGUGAAUUAAGCUUGCUUCAGCUCUGUUUGUCAUCCCUCUCAUUUUCUUUGUUAAGCCUUGGUUUUUUAUUAGGAGAUGAAUGCUUUUAUAUAUUGAUGUCGUAGUCAGUCUUCAACCACACUCCGUUUUUAGAAUUCGUUUAUGUUACUAGUGGAGUGCUGCUGUAUUUUAUAUUUCGUUCCUGUAAUGUUUGAUGUUUAGUUUGAGUAGUCUAGCUUAUCCAGUAGAUAACUCGUCCCCUGUUUUGUAAUGUUUUUGUUUCCUCUAAUGAAAGCAGGUUUUACUUAUCUUAAACUUUUAUUUUUAUUUUUAAAUAUCAGUAAUAACUGGGAAAGCUUGCAUCUCCUUAAAUUGCUCAUUCUUACAUCUUUUAUAGUUUGUCGAUCUUGGGCAAGUGGAGAGAGAGGCGUCAAGUGAUACACAACAACCAUUUUCUGUGAGCUAAUUUGAUAAUGAUAAAUGGUAUGCUUUCUUGUCUUAAGCUGUGUGUUCUGCAAUUAUUUAAAACAAAGAGUGCCGCGCUUCAAGUUCGAGGAAAACAGGUAUUUUAGGUUAGCUGUAUAAUUCGUGGUAAAUGCCUUUUUCUAAGGUUCAUUUAGACUCCUAUUACGAUUAAUUUGUUGUUUCUAAUUUGGACUUGUAGGAACAGACCAAAUAUGUUCACACGUGGCAUCGCUCAAGUCAUCAUCAUUUCCGACAGAAAAUCAGCCUUCAAGUGUCUGCUGAGUCAAUGAACCUUUCUAGAUAUAUCAAGUGCAAUGGAAAUUCAUGAGUUACAUAGAGAUUUGUAAACAUUUUGAAGAUUGCAACACCUGCAAGUGAGAUAGGUGGUGACGAAAUCAGAGCUGAUCUUGAAGCCUCUGAUGCCCCGGUUGUUGCAAGUUGCACCUGAGAACAUGUUUUUUUGGGGUAAAAAACUGGCAACAUGUUCGGAGCUGGCAAUUCAGUCAGUGAUGAAGUUGAGAAGCAAAGCUCCAGUAAGGAAAUUGGUCGAGGUCGCCACAGGGAUGAUUGAUGGUGAAAUGGAUGCUAUUUCUUAUUGCAGCCUGUUCUCAAAGUUCUUGUUGGCAAAUGCAAGAAAUGGAGUAUUUUGAUUGGAAGGAGAGAUAAUGACAUGUCUUGACAAUUCUAGAACAGCCCAUCUGAGUUCUUUUGUCAGGCUGCAUCAUUCAAUCCCGGCAAAUAUCCAGUUUCUGCUAAACAAUCACUUAUGGCAAGGCCAACUCUGGUAAACAAUUACAUUUUUUCUUUUGAGGAAUUUCACUUUGUCAUCAAACAGUAUUCUAAUGCAUUAUGGUAGCACUACACGCUUUUGUUGUAACAAAUUACAAUGAGGAAUUUGGAUUGAGGAAUUUGGAUUGAGUUUCUUUUAUGCUUUGUUUAGAUUAAAAAUAUCAGUUUCCUGUGUUAAUAACAUUACAGUUUUAUGGAAUGGUUUAUCUUGUUUUUCUGGACAAAAAUAUUUAGAGAAAUUUUCAGUAUAGCUUGUCCUUUAGAUUAAUUUCUCCUGUAGGGUGUUAAAGUUUGAUCUUUUUUUUUGUUUUUUGUUUUUUGUUUUUUGUUUUUGUUUUUUUUUGGUAAAUAAGUUUGAUCUAUUUAAAUUGAAUAGGGUGUGCAUGAGACAUUUUUCUUGGAAUAAUUUUUUAAUUGCAGUGGCAAAAAAAGGAAAAUAGUAGUCUUCAAAACGAAUCUUAAAUCCAGUUUCCUCUUCUUGGUCGUCACUCUUAGAAAUUGCUAACCAUAUAUAGCCUGGAGUAAGCACUGCACAAAACGGCAUACCAUCACAAAUCCUAAUUCCAUACAAUCUGUUGAAGGAAAAUGUGAUCCUCCUAAUAUAAUUUCACCACCACUAAUUAAAUAACGGGGUUUUAUUAUUUUAGGUUCGACCCAUUCGAGACGCAAGUCUCUUAAUUACAAUCCCUUGCUUCAAGGGAACACCCUUUGAUUCCAUCAUAAAGAAACAGAACGUUUGUGUUUGAUUUUGCAACUGCUCCCAAGUCCAACCUCAGGAUGCCUACGUAUCCCUUGCGGGAAUCAAGCCACUCGUAGUUCAAAGAAUCGCAAUGAAUAAAUGACUCAUUGCGAGGGAAAUUUGAUUUGAAUUGUACUGAGAAGUGUUUGAGUGAAUUUAGCUGAAUAAACCAGGGAUUCGAUAUGGGAUUGCAUUUGGGAUGGUUGCAUCUAGAUUGAAUCUCUAGAUUGCCUACGUACCCUUUCAAAGGGAUCAAACCAACGUAGUUCGGAAUUUGGAAAUCAACGGGCAAGUGUGGCCCACUAAUUGAGAAUUUCUGUUUAAGAGACUUGGAUUUAAUCUCAUUAGAGUUUUCAUGGGUAGAUGACCCAUGGAAAAUUGGAUGGUUUUGUACCACUUUCGUUGUUGUCCAUGUCCAAGAAAAAUAAUGAGUAAUUUUAAUUAUCCCAUUAAUUUUUCCUAAACAUUGACAAUUGCGUUUGGGGAUUUCCAUAGGUAGAUGACCUAUGGGAAAAUUUGGAAAUUAAUGGAUAAGUGUGGCCCACUAAUUAAGAAUUUGUAUUUGAGAGAUUUAGAAUUAAUCUCAAUGAAAUUUUGCAUGGGUAGAUGACCCAUGGGAAAUAUUAGAAAUUAAUGGGUAAGUGUAGCCCACUAAUUGAGAACUUGAAUUUGAGAGAUUUGAAUUUAAUCUCAAUGAAAUUUGUAUGGGUAGAUGACCCAUGAAAAAUUGAAUGGUUUUGUACCAUUUUUCUGGUUGUCAAUGUCCAAGAAAAAUAAUGAGUAAUUUUGAUUAUCCCAUUAAUUUUCCCUAAAAAAUUGACAAUUGCACUUGGGAAAGUGUUUUUUUUUGGCGAAAUCUGGUUAAGAUAAGCCAGAGAUUUAUACUUGAUUGCGGUUGCGUCUAUUGGGAUGUUAGACUGCCUACGUACCCUUGACGGGAUCAAACCGACGUAGUUCCAAAUUUAGGAAGUUAAUGGGUAACUGUGGCCCACUAAUUGAGAAUUUGUGUCUUUGGGACAAUUUGGAGAUUUUCAUAGGUAGAUGACCUAUGGAAAAAAUUGGAAAUUAACGGGUAAGUGUAGCCCACUAAUUAAGAAUUUGUGUUUGAGAUAUUUGAAUUUAAUCUCAUUUGGAAUUUGCAUGGGUAGAUGACCCAUGGAGAAAAUUGGAUGGUUUUAUACCAUUUUUCUUUUUGUCAAUGUCCAAGGAAAAUAAUGAGCAAUUUUGAUGAACCCACUAAUUCUCUACAAUUGACAUUUGCAUUUGUAUCCAUGCAUGAUUUGGAGGAUUUGAGAUUAAUGGGCUUUUUUGAUCAACAAAACCCAUUAAUCCAUAUUGAUGCUCCUUUAAAAUCUUUUGGGAGUUGAGCUUAAUGCUCCGCGUGUGACAAAUAAUUUAUUUGGACUGGAGUCACCGUCACAGCAUGGUUGAGUCACUUGGCACUCUUUUCUGAAUCGCUUCUUUGCCACAAUGGUUGAUUCCCACAUUUCUUAGUGUGGCUUUUGAAGUGGUUUUGUACCCCUUGACAUCUGGUGUGGUUUUGUACUACUUGAGUCUUCACUUGACGUUGAGUCUUCACUUGACGAUUUGAGAAUUAAUGGGCAUUUUUGGAAUUUAAGCCCAUAAUCCAUCAUUUGCGGACUUCAGGAAUUGGAGACUCAAAGGAAAUCUCAAACAAAGUGGCUGACGCCAUUUGACUUUUCUUCCCUUAUUUCGGUGCGAGUCUUCCUCUUCGUUUAUUUGUUGUUGCCAUGUGCAGCACCAAGCCAAUCCCUCUUUCGUCUUUCUUUGGUUUUGACUUGUUUUUUUUUUCUUUGUUUUUGGUUUGCUGCACAACACCAAGCUGCCAACAAGACGUGGCUAUCCUUUUUUCUUCAUUUUGUUUGUUUGUUGUUGCUAUGUGCAACAACACCAAGUUGCCAAAACGUGGCUGUCUUCAAUAACUUUUUUUUUUUUAGUUCACGUGUCUGUAUGGCAACAUCAGUGGUUUGAACAAGUUGGUUGUCUUGAGCCUUUCCUCCACCCCAUAUGACGAGCAGCAUUUCUUGACUUCCACAAGUCUGCAAAGGGAACUAGCCUUUUUCUUGAUGGUGGAUCAUUGUUAUCACAAAAAAAAUGAUAUUUGUGUGCCUUAUCCAGCUGGUUCUUUUCGGCUUGGUGCCAAAAGUAAAUGUCUUUUAAUUUGAUCAAGACACCCAAGGGAUAGAAAUUCUUCUCCAAGUGAAGUAUGGAUUAAACUCCUUAUUGAUUUGGAGCUGGUGGAUCAUCCAGUGAAGUAAACUUCUUGUCCACAUAGGAUUGGGUUGUCUUCCUUAUAAAAAGGAAAACAUGUGUGCACCAGCAAACAGCCACAAAACGAAAGUCUUAACAUUAUUCUUCGUUUGCUUCUCCAGACCAGCCCAUAGCUUUGCUCAAGCCACCUGUUGCACCAUCAAACAGAAGAGGAUUUCACGUGGUAACCCACAUGCCAUUCCUUAGUUCUUCUCUUUUAUUUUAUUUAUUGAUUGAACUAACUAGGAUUUUUUUGGCAUGGGCAGCAAUAGCUGUAGCAAUUGAAGAGCCUCCAAUUAAUUGGAUGCUUCCAGGCUGACUUGGAACCAAAAGAGACAAUUUCUCUUAUUGUCCUUUGUGUGCUGUAACCUUCCCAAGGUCAAUAACCCAAGACAAAGGGAAAGAGAAAUCAUCUUGCGUUUCACGUGGUAACCCACCCCUUGACAAAUGUCUUUUUUCUUUUGUCUGUUUCCAUGUUUCUGACCUCUUGUCUUCUCUUUUGUAUGUAGAGGCUGUGCUGCCAGCUUGAAGGCUUUGGAGUUUGGUGGAGGAAACCAUCUGUCAUUUUGCUUCAGAAACCCAAGAAAGAACUUGUGGUACUUGCUUUGCCAGCUCCUCUUUUUUUUUGUUUGCUAUUGCUGUACUUUUACCACUGCUCAUAUCCAUUUCUUUUACUCAAUUUCCAGUCAAAGAAACAUUCAAGAGGGGGAGGAGGGGCUGUGCGAUACAGCCCCCCUUUUUUUUUUAUUCCAUCACCUUUUUUUAUGUCCCUUGUUUUGUCUCUUUGCAUACAAAACACAAGAACAAAGUCAGCCACCAUUUUUUUACUCCAUUAUUUCUUCUUCCUUACUCCUUUUUUUCAAUCAAAGCAGACCAAUGGAACUAAUCUUUUUACCUUGAAAUGGCUCUUUCCUUUCUCAAGGCUGCUUGCUAAUUUUUCUUCUUGCUAUGACUGUUCUCCUUUCUGCUCUUUUUCUGUCCUCCUGCUGUUCUCCUCCCUUUCUUCCUUCUUUUUUUUUUCUCCUGCUGUUCUCCUCCCUGCGUUUUUUCUUUUUUUUUUUUUGUCCUCCCCUCGUGUCAUGCCUCUUAUAGAGGCUAUCUUAUGAUGAGUUUUAAUUCCAGCUGAUGACCACUUCUCAACUGAGAUACUUAUCUCUUGUUGUUUCAAAACCACUGAAAUACAUCUAUUUUAUUUUUAACUGUUUUUCUUGAUAAGAUUGCAGGGACAAAACAAAUUCAAUCCUAAACCAAGUCAAACUCUUGGCUAAUUAUUUUUUGUGAAAAUUUUCCGUUCAACAGAUGCCUUCUCAAGCGUUGUGCAUGAAAUGACUUUUUAUGUGCAACGCUUGAUAGCUUUUCCUUUGAACUGCGCAUCCCCUGACUUUUCUUGUAUUAAUUAAUUUUUUUUUUGGUUGAAAAAUUCAGGAAAUGGACGCGCAAGGUCGAUUCGGGUUUGAGCGAGUCUUUGAUUCGCAUGGUAGGGAAUUUGUCUCUGGCCCCCAAUAUGCGAGAUCACUGCCUUUGAGAUCUGUGAAGCUUAAUGUACCCCCUGAAGGCCGUGCAACCUGGUAUACCACCGCCUCCGUAAAUUCGGGGUAUCUUGAAUUCAAACCCCACGCAGAAGAUAAGGUGAUUUCAGUAUGCCAAACGCAUCGUGCUGUGUUUACCGCCCAUUGUUUGGAGGAUGUGAAUAAUGAAGUGGAUGGAGACAUGAAAUUCCAAAUCAAAGAUCUUCCCACACGUGAUGAUUUUUACCCCGCUUUGCAUAGAAUGAUCAAGAGUAAGUUGGAGUGGGGGCCCCAGUAUCAGUUCUAUGGCCGAGCCACUUUUGAAAUUGGCGUUGCGGAGUGGACAAAAUGCGUUAUGAGUGACUUUGGAGACAUAUUGCAUAAGGCAAAAAUAUAUUGUGCCGUAGCAAUUUCCCGAUAUCCUUACGAGUGUUGCCCAAAUAUAUGGAGAGCAUUUUGUGAAUUAUGGGGGCCCUUGUGCAACACCUUUCAUCAUGGCAAUGGUGAGAUGGGGAUUUCUCUCUAUGACAUGAAAGUCAUUUGUGGGUUGCCAAUCUUGGGAGAUGUCCAGUAUGAGGAAUUUAUUCCCCAAAAUAAAGACUUGCAACAAAAUGGAGCAUAUCCUCCGACUAUCACUGAACUUUUGAAGAUCCACUCCCAAUUAUGUAUUUAUCAUAAUCAGUCUACCGUCAGCUGGGCCCAAUGGAUUGGGCACUUUUAUCGGGCGAAGAUUAUUUAUAAGGCCUUUGGGAAUGGCAAGAGGAAACCUCAAGAUCAACUUUUAAGGGCUCCCGAAAUCACUUUACGUAUUUCAAAGGAAGGGGGGUUGGCUGCAUUCUUGGCACUUUGGUUGAGUAGAUUUGUGUUACCUUCCGUGGAUCGCAACGUCAGACCUGAAACUUUUCAUAUGGCAUGUUUGAUGGCACAAGGGGUCAGAGUUUCACUUGCACCACCUGUUUUGGGGUAUAUUUACCAUGGUCUUGGAGAAAUUGCCACUCACCCAGAAGGUCCCAGCUUGUCAAGUGCUUCCUUCCCAAUUCAUUAUGUUAUCGGUUGGUUAGGCGAACAUAUUCCAGGAUUGUACCUACCACAAACUGACAAGGAAUUUGUCAAAGACUACCCUUUUUUGGUGAGGUACGCGGGUGUUAAGCCAAAAGGUUUUAGGCUUAAUCAUGCCAGAAUUAUAUUCCGUAGUGACAAAGAAUUAAUCUAUCGCCCAACCACGUUUACUGAAGAUGAAGGCCGUUCCUUUGUUGACAAGAAGGCUCUAUCAGACAGAAAAUUUGAAUUUCUAGUUUGCACACGUUAUGCGCUUUUGCCGGUGAGGGUGAACAACAAUCUUUGGUUGGAACCAUACUACCCGAAUAGAUUCGCGCGUCAAUUUGGUUUUGACCAAGGUGUCCCUUCGAACAAGCUUUCCUUUAGCGUUCGUGACAGGUGCAAGUGUGGCAUGGAGGAUUUGGCCAUAGCACAAAUCACUUUACUUAGAAGAGAUACCACAGCUGGAUUUUAUAUCCCACGCUAUACUCGUGUUGGAGUUUGCACUUGGUGGUAUUGCAAAUGGUGGAUGGGGUCAUCAGCACCAUAUAUGGGAUUAUCUGUAGCUAGAAUUUUCUUGCCUUCUAGAAAACACCUCGAAAGGCACGAUAAUAUUUUUAUUGUUAGGCCGGAGAAUCAAGGCCCCACAAGUUGUCAAAAAGAGGUCUCCAACAAACGUCAUUCUUCGCGUAGUGACAACAACAAGAGUCCAAAACGAAUUCGAAGCCAGAAUCUUGACCAUCCAGUUGAUGAGGGAGUCAGUUCCUCCCAUGCCGAUGCUGCUACUCUUAUCAGAGACUUGGUUUUCCCCAUGAAUGACGGGCCAUCCGAACAAGGUAGUACCACGAACUUCCCAAGUGAAGCAGAUGAUGCUCAAGAAGUGAGCAAUGAACUGAAUGCUACAGUCGUUGCUCCUGAUGUGAGUAAUGAUCCAAAUGAGACAGACGAUAUUGUUGAAGAUGACUGCCCCUUGCCAUUGGUAGAAUACUUGCCCUCCUCACCUUAUGUGAAGAAUUUCAUUCACCGCAUUCUUGGUCCAAGUGUGGCUCCACGUAGGCGAAGGUUCAUUGCUGAGGAAAUGCAAGACAUCUUUGAUAGAAUUUCUUCUUCCAAAUCACCUAUAGACCUACUAGCUCACCGUGAUCAUAUUUUGGGGGCACUUGGUCUCUUGCGACCUAUGAUUAAUACCCUUGAAUCAGGCCAGGAUGAGUUUCAGGAAUUUGAAACGACUAUCCAACACAUUUUCGAGUUGGUCACUUCAUUUUCCAAGAACGUUGCCUUUGUGGGAGAACAUGCCCAUCUAGAUGUUGACCGCAUCAAUGCUUUGAUCACCCAAUAUGAGCAGUGCUUCGCUGCCAUAAAAACCAUGAGCGUGCAUCUAAUAGAACUUAAUAGUGAGCUUGCUGAUGUGAAUGCCACAGUGGUUGAUGUUGAAAAGGCAGAGAAGGAAGCUGAAGAGGCAGCAAGACGAGCUCAUGAAAUGCGACAACAGUUUGAAUCGAAGACAAGUGCCCUUAAAGAACGUGCAAACGAUUUGCAGCAAUCUUUAGACCAACAAUUCGAAAAGGAAAUUGGGCUUCGACAAGCUAGAAUUGAUGCCAAUGAAGCAAUGCUCCCAAAACUCAUAGAGGCACGGAACUUAGGCUUCACGCAAGAGAAAGAAAUUCGCCAGUUAGUUAGCUCAUUGAUUUCCCUUUGCAGUAGAGUGGAGUAGACUCCUUUUUCCAUUUUCUUUUCUUCUUCUUUUUUCCUUACCUCUUAGUUAUUGUAAACUCAUUCGUCCACCUUAACUAGUAUUGAAUGAAAAUUUUUUUAUUUUUUUAUUUUUUUAUUUUUUUAUUUUUUUAUUUUUUGUAUACAUACUCAUGCUAAUUUUUUGAGCACUUACAUCAUUUAGCAAAUUUGCCGCAUACAAAACUUGACUGGAUGAUAGGGUUUUUUUGGUGGUUUACGACUGCACUCAGCUUUUUUUACUUUUAAAAAAAAAGCUAAGUUGCCUACGUACCCUAUAAAGGGAUCAAGCCAUACGUAGUUCACCCCUUGAUUCUCAGGGGAAGAAAGGGACAAAUGGAUUUUGUGGCCGCAUCUAGUGGCAAGACUAGACUGCCUACGUACCCCUUUUGAGGGAUCAAGCCGCCGUAGUUCCUUUCCUUGGACUGCCCUCUCGGGUUUUCAGCCCACGAAGGUUUUUUUUUUUUUUUUUUUUUUUAGCUCUAACUUUUGCUUGGACCGCCCUUUUGGGUUUUCAGUCCAACGAGCCUUUUUUUUUUUUUUCUCCAUCAGGCAUAAAACUUCUUGACGAAUUUCCCAUUCACACAAGGGUAUACGCACUUGCCUUCGGCGUUUGACAACUCAUAGGCACCCCUGGAGAAAACCUUAGUAAUGACGUAGGGCCCCUCCCACUUGGGUUCAAACUUACCGUGCAUUUUCCUGGUAAUGACAAAUGGUCUUCGGACAGUUAAAACUAAAUCUCCAAUUGAGAAAGAUCUGAACUUAACUUUUCUAUUGAAUGCCCCUGCAACCUGAGCUUGAUAUAUUUCGAGCUUUUGUUGAGCUGCCAGUCUUUUCUCAUCGAGGGCUUCCAGCUCUGCCAGUCUCACAUAUGCGUUUUCGUCAGGUGUACAUCCUUAACGAUGGCAAUUGGACUUCUAACGGUAGAACAGCCUCGGAGCCAAACACCAAAUUGUAGGGUGUACAUCCUGUUGAAUUGCGUAUGGUCGUCCUAUAAGCCCAUAAUGCUUCAGGGAGGCGCUCAUGCCAGUCUCUUUUAUUUCCUGAGACCGCCUUCUUUAGGAUGUUGCACAGUACCUUAUUGAAAGCUUCAGCUUGACCGUUUGACGACGGAUUGUAACUCGCGGAAAACGAGUGUUGAAAUCUAUACUUCUCGCACAACUUGGUCAUGGACUUGCACUUGAAAUAUAAUGCAUUGUCGGAUAUUAUCUUCGAUGGAACCCCAUAACGGUAGAUGAUAUGAUUUCUUAUGAAGUUUGUGACAUCGUCUGCUCGUACCUCCUUUAAAGGAAUCGCUUCAGCCCAUUUAGAGAAGUAAUCGGUCGCGGCCAAGAUGUACUGAUGUUGACGUGAUGACUUAGGCUUUAUCAUGCCAAUAACAUCUAAUCCCCAAGCUUCAAAUGGCCAAGACAAAGUAGUCGGAUGUAAUUGUUGGGGUGGCUGGUGAAUAAAGUCUCCAUGUAACUGGCAAUCUUUGCAUGUGGUUGCAAAUUUUAUUGAGUCUUGGACCAUUGUUGGCCAGUAAUAACCCAAUCUCUUCAGUUGGUUUGAGAGUUUUGGACCAGCUUGAUGAGCACCGCAAGUGCCAGCAUGAGUAUCAUGAAAGGCCUUAGUUGAGUCUUGUUUCGACAGACACCUUAACAACAUACCAUCAAAUGAUCUUUUGUACAAGGUGUCAUUUAGGUACAGAAAUUGAGUGGCUCUGCGUCGGACUUCAGCCUUUUUCCUUGAGUCAUUUGGCAACUUGCCUUGUCGGAGAUACUCGAUUAUGGGAUGGCGCCAAUCAAGAUCAUCUGGUUCCCCCUCACAUUCGGAAGCCGUAAUGACGUUUGAAUCAACAACUUCCUCAAUUCUCUCUAUAGCUGGGAGUAGUAAGUGACGUUCCCCAACAGUGAUUUGGAUAUCCCUUUCAUCAGGUAGUGUUAACGAUGCAGCCAAAUUAGCUAGUGCAUCAGCUUUAUCAUUUUCCGACCUCGGGAUGUGACUAACAUGGAUGUCUUGGAACUGCGACAUGAGAUACUUUGCCCUUUCAUGGUAUGGGACGAGAGUAGUAUUCCUGACAGCGUAUUGGCCAUUCAACUGUCUAACGACUAACUGUGAAUCACCGUAUGCUUGCAAAUAAUCAAUAUGCAUCUCGAGAGCAAUUUCAAGGCCAAUGAUGAGUGCCUCGUAUUCUGCCACAUUAUUUGAACAUAAAGCUAGUAAAGAGAAUGAGUAUGGGAUUAAGCCCCCAGACGGCGUGAUGAAUACUACUCCUGCCCCAGCUCCUUUUCCUCUUGCUGCCCCAUCAAAAUAUAACUGCCAUAUAAGUGCUUCUGUCGUGAACACCUCUUCGUCGGGCAAAUCAUUAGAUAACUCCAUGUUGUCAGGAGUAGGAUGAGCAGCCAAGAAAUCAGCAAGAGCCUGCCCUUUGAUUGCCUUUUGUGGCACAAACUUUAUCUCGAACUCGGAGAGAAGGAGAGACCACUUGGCUAUUCGCCCAGAGAGCACAGGCUUGGACAUUAAAUAUCGGAGUGGAUCUGCCUUGGAAAUCAAAAUGACUCUAUGAGAGAGGAUGUAGUGUCGUAGUUUCUGUACAGCGAACACCAAAGCGAGGCAGACCUUUUCGAUCGGGGUGUAAUUUUGUUCUGCCCCUACGAGAGUUCUACUCAAGUAAUAUAACGCAUUUUCCUUUCCAUCCUCGUUGUGUUGGGCGAGCAAUGCACCUAAUGAGCGUUCUAAUGCCGCAAUGUAUAGGAUUAAAGGCUUCCCUUUGAUUGGCGCCAUUAGAACUGGCGGAUUUAACAGGUAUUGUUUAAUGCUUUCCAAAGCAUUUUGGCAUGCUUGAUCCCAUAUAAACGGAACAUCCUUCUUCAUUAGCCUUGAGAAUGGUUGACACCUUCCAGAGAGAUUUGAGAUGAAUCAUCGUAUGUAAGCUAGUCUUCCUUGCAGCCCCCGCAGCUCCCUUAAAUUUCGAGGGGGAGGCAUCUCACGGAUUGCCUUGAUUUUUGAGGGAUCAAUUUCAAUUCCACGAUGUCGGACGAUAAAGCCAAGGAAUCUACCAGAACUUACCCCAAAUGCACAUUUUAAGGGGUUCAUUUUCAACUGGUGCUUUCGGAGUCUAUCAAAAACUCGUUUUAAGUCCCUCAAAUGAUGUUCUCUUUUUCUGGUUUUGACAACCAAAUCAUCAACGUAGCAUUCAAUGGUAUUGUGAAGCAUGUCAUUGAAAAUUACCGUCAUGGCUCUUUGGUAAGUCGCCCCUGCAUUUUUCAACCCAAAAGGCAUCACAGUGUAGCAAUAUAUUCCUUUUGGAGUGCGGAAGGCAGUUUUCUCUUGAUCCUCUGGAGCCAUUUUUAUUUGGUUGUAACCUGAGAAUCCAUCCAUAAAUGAUAGAGCACCGAAACCGGUUGUUGCGUCUACCAAUAAUUCUGUAAUUGGGAGUGGAAACUCAUCUUUUGGGCAUGCAUCAUUGACGUCUCUAUAGUCCACACAUAUGCGUAGUGCCCCAGUUUUUUUGAGGACUGGGACGAUAUUGGACAACCAGGUGGGAUAUUGGACCUCUCUGAUAAAACCCGCGGCAAUAAGCUUGUCAAUCUCGAUUUCUAUUUGGAUUGUUAGCUCUGGCCGAAAACGGCGUGGAGCUUGCUUCACCCAUCGAGCCUCAUCCGGUAUCCCAAGUUUGUGAACUGCAACGUUUGGGUCUAAACCUGGCAUGUCUUGAUAACCCCAUGCAAAUACAUCUCGGUACUCUUGUAACAGUUGUGUGUAUUCUUCUAACUCUUGCGGUGUUAACAAAGCACUGACAAAGAUAGGCUUUGGGUUGUCAACCGUACCGAGAUUAAUUUCUUGCAGAUCAUCAAUUGUGGCUUGACCUCCCUCCUCCAUUUGUGGUGGAGCUGGUUGGACUAUGUCGAUGAAUUCCUCAAUAUCUUGAGGACUAUCAUCUUGGUCCACUGUUUCUUCGCAAGAGGUGCAAUUGACCUGGACAAGGUCAUCCUUUAUUUUCACCCUUUUGAUCGUUUCGAUCACAGCUUUCUCUUGACUCUUAACUUUCCAUUUCCUUUUAUUAUGGACCUUUCCUUGUUGAGAACUGGAAGGGUUCUCCAAGCGUUGAAAGACUGAGAUGCGGGGUGGUUGUCUGCCCCCUAGGCGUUUGAACACGGAGAUGCGAAUCGGCUUUAUAUUCACCUCAUCUUCUCUAAACAUGGCUUGUUCCAUAUUAGUGAGUAUCUCAGGCUCGGAGGCUUCUAGAUGUGGCCUUCGAAGAGCCACUUUGAGUCCACUACUCUCAUUUUGAACUGUGAGGCCAACAUUGCUUUUCUUUGCUUUUCGGCCUUUAAGUUCUAUCUUUAAUGGAGCAGAUGUUGUUUCUGACAAUGAUGCCUUUUUGUGAAAAACUACACGUUUACUUGGGCCAUCGUUUUUGCCAAAAGUAGUCUAAAUGACCAAACUGCCCCCAGGGAUAGACUGAUUGAUCUUACGAAGAGGACGAGUGUAACUUGCUGUUAUCAGUGACUCCAUUGUUUGUUUCAAUGAGCUUGUUUCCUUUUCACUAGGCUCCUUUUUUGAAGUCUUCACAAUUAUCUUUGGCUUGGGAGCCCUUGCAGUCGGGACUUCUCCCACUUUUGAGGAUGACGCACCACGAGGUUUUAGCUUCACUCGGAUUACUUUUGAAGGUUUAGAUACUUCUACAUUUUGGGCUUUUCCUGUUUCAACAGUCGCUCUUUUCUCUUUAUCAACCUUUGAUGGCUGUGUAAAUGAGAGACCAAGUGGGCUGUAAAACUUCGCAUCAGAGUAAUUUACCUCUUCCCCUUUGAACGGGUCCAUGUCAGCUGAAACACUCUUGACUUCCCCAUCCACCAAGUAUUUAAAGCACUGGUGAAGUGUAGAAGGGACUACGCCAUAUGUAUGGAGCCAUGGACGUCCUAGCAGGACGUUGUAUGAAGUAUCAGCCUCGAUCACAUGGAAUAGGGCGUCUGAAUAUAAGUCUCCUAUUUCCAUUUGCAAUGCGAUAGAGCCCAUGGCCUUUUGCCCAAGUUGAUUGAACCCUUGAAUAGUCAACAUAGAGGGAGACAACUGUCGGGCACUCAUCCCUAUAGCAUGGAGCGUCUUUAAUGGGAUAAUAUUCACGGCCGAACCACAAUCUAACAAGAUUCGAUUAAUGGUUGUGCCUCCAACUUCGCCAGUGACAUACAGAGGUCGAUUAUGGAAUUUGGACCCAAGUAAAAAGUCAUCUUCACCAAAGGUAAUUGCUGCCAGACAUGAUGCACAAAACUUCGAUGUUUCAGUUGUGUGGACAUCUGCUGAUUUGAAACAUGACUUAUACAAAUCUGGGUUCAUUAAAGCCAUUACAAGUGCCUCCCUAAGUUCCCUCGACAUUUGUAAAGCGUCGUAGACACUUAGAGGAGCGGGGAUGCGCUUAAGAUGAGCUAGAAUAUCAUACUUAACUAUAUGUGAUUGUGAUGGCUCCUUUGCUUUACUAGUAUCGGGCUUAGAAUCCUUUGCUUUUGGAGAGGAAGGUGGAACUUCCCCUGCAACAGUUUUUCCUGACAAGAAGACCUUAAUCUCUUUCGCCUUUGGCUUCUUCUCGGUUUUAGAGGGAUCAACUUCCUCAUUUUGUUGUGCUUUAUCAGCAGAUGGGAUGCUUCGACCGGAGCGGAGAUUAACCUCAUCAACUUCUGUGUCGACCUCAUAUUCCUCCAAAGAAACCAUGUUGCAUUGAAUGAUUUCUUCCUCACCUUCAGAUUCACUCGAGAAAAACUCAACUGGCAAAAACUCAGUGAGUGUGACAGGGACCCUUGCGGGUUGCUCAUAUUCAUCUUCUUGGGUGAUUUGAACUUUCUUUUGCACUCUCUUCUUCCUCCUCUUAUUUUUCAAGGGUGGCAUGCCUCGAAUCUUGACACCCGGACGAGUCGUAAAUCUGUGAUUGGGUGGGAGAUAUUUAGCCAUGUGCUUGGCCCUUUUAACAAAUGUCGUCCACCCCUCAGCAAAUUCGUCGGUUGAAGAAUCUUCCCAUAUUUCUAGACUAGGGGCAGCCACGAGCUCAUGAAGAGUAGGAAUUUGAAGAUCAUUAGACCAUGGUGCCUUCGGACAAGUAUGUACGAUUGUACCCCGAUGGUCGGUACUAAUACCUGCAAUUUUCGCUCCAUCUAGUAAUGCAGUGAUGGGUGUGAGCUUUUCUUCUAUCAUAUUUGCCGUAGCUGAAUGAUGUCGGGAAGAGGAGUCUAUCUCCAAGCCGCCAUUGUUGAGGAGCUCUUGGAUUUUAUCCUUCAGGAUAUAACAAUCCUUGAGCGUAUGACUGACAAGGCGAUGAUAUCGACAAUACCUAGGGUCAUCUGUCUUGUUGGCCUCAGCAGGACGUUUUGAUUCUGGCAGAGCAAUAGCAUUGGAGGCCAGAAGUUGGUCAAAGAUUGCUUCUACAUCAUCAUCAUCAAAAGAAUAUUUGACCUCUUUGCGUUCUUUAAGAGUUAGCCUUUUAGGUGGGUCUUUGUUUUGGCCUUUGUCAUUUUUCUUUUCAGUUUUGACGAAAGUGGCCAACGACUCUCCUUUCAUGGACUUCUUGUCAUUUUUCUUUUCCCCAAAUUGAAUUUUUUGGGACGCGGACUUUUGGCGAGCAAUUUGUCUUUCAACAUUGCUCGCCUUUGACACCAAAGCGUCAAAUGAUUAGGGUUCAGCAGUGGCGACAAAAGUCGCAAUGUCUGGCAUGAGGUUAUUGUAGCACAUUUGCACUGCUGAUAGCUCAGUAAUUUUCUCAGGGCAUUGAAGAUUGAGACUCCUCCAUCUCAUAAUAAAGUCAUUAGCACUUUCCCCUGGCUUUUGGGCAGUUUGAGCUAGGUCCAUGAUCGAGACCUUCUUUUUAGAACUGACAAAUUGUGCCAAAAAUGCUUUUUGCAUGUCGUCCCACGUCAAGAUAGAGCCUGGCGGUAGCUGUGUAUACCAAGUGAAAGCUGAUCCUUUUAGGGAUUGGACAAAUUGACGCACCAGGAGAGCGUCUGACUGAGAUGUCUCGCCACAUGCUAAGUAAAAAUGUGCCAGAUGUUCAUGGGGUGAGCUAUUUAUGCCAUCAAAUUUAUCAAAUAUGGGCCGUUGAUAACCCUUCGGGAAUGGUAUGGCGUCAUAGUGAGAAGGGAAGGGUUUUCGGUACCCUUGAACAGGAAGCGCUAUGGACAAUUGGAACUCACGAAUCCCCUCAGCAAUUAAUGCCUUCAUGUCGUUUGGGGAAAUUGUGCUUGUAGAGCUCUCUGCUUUUUCCUCUUUUGUUUGUUGUUCAUGGGUCAUCGAUUCAUUUGUUUUGCCCCUGUCUUGCUCUCCUAUGACGGCUUUCCCUUUCAACUUAGCUGAUAGUAACGCUAUUUCCGCGUCUUUCUCUGCUAACUUCUGCUGCAUUUCCUUUCGCAAGUCUUGCAUCAUCUCUUGGAUUAAGGGCAACUGGUCCUCAGUAUUAGAAGUACCAGUCAUCAUGACUUGCAUGCUUUCCACCCCGUCAUGAAGUUUGGCCCCUUGGGAUACUACACAAUCAUUCUCUUGAUUUUGAGAUACAGGAUCAUCAUAAAGAGGAUUCCAUUGCAAAUAAUCGUCCAAACGGGUUGAGUUUGGAGCGGAUAACUCGGGAAUAGUCAUCCCCAUCAUGUCUCGGGAUUUGGAACGAGUCAAUGGACCCAUGUAGGGCCUUGACAGCUCUUGAGAUUUCGGGACUCCCCCUUGUGAUACGGGAUUUUGAUCCCUUGAAGCAUCAGUUGUCGUCACCUUUUGCAUACGCCUUCUUUGUGGAUGAGGUAUAUUCACCACCUUCUUCUCCAUGAUGAUGGCUUUGUUUUUACCCUUAGAAGAGCACGGGUAAACCUCUUGUGAUAUGGAUUCCACAGCGUGGGUUUUUGGACUUGACGGAGGUUCGGCCCCCUGGGCCUCAGCGUUCUCCACAGAGUCGUCCUUUUGACCUUUCUCACUAGUUUCAUUGGUGGAAGUCAUCAGAACAGAAUCUGUAGGAUAUAGGUCGACCGGGAUUGAUCCAAUCAUGAUUUGGACCAAUUGGGUAGCAUUUGUCCUCUUGGAAGUCGGCACAGCCAGGGUGCUCGAGGUGUUCUUGCCUUCAGUCACAAACGGGCUUGUCCCCGAAAGCUCAACCAAAACUGCCUCAAUAGACUCCCUCUUUGCUUCUUUCUUUCCUAAAGCACGCGCAGCCCUCUUUCUUGCAUUUCGGAGAGCGUUCUUGGAAGGUGCUUUCUUCAAUUGGGUCUUGACAACCUUAGGAGUGACCUGAGGCUUGACCCUCUGAAUGGGCUUUGGAACGGCGCACUUGAUGAGGCUCUCACCAACAAUGAAAGUCUUUUUGAACCCCACUCGUUUGGUGCACGCAUUCCAGGUAGCUUCGAUCUUGUGGAAGAAAAUUGUAACUUGUGGUGCCAUCGAAUAUGGUUUUGUUAACCUGUGGCAUACACAAAAAUAAAAACAUUAGUCACUUUAUGAUUGGAGAUGAAAAGGUAAAUGGAUCCCACCGGGCGUGCCAAAAAUUAUGUUGAAGGAAAAUGUGAUCCUCCUAAUAUAAUUUCACCACCACUAAUUAAAUAACGGGGUUUUAUUAUUUUAGGUUCGACCCAUUCGAGACGCAAGUCUCUUAAUUACAAUCCCUUGCUUCAAGGGAACACCCUUUGAUUCCAUCAUAAAGAAACAGAACGUUUGUGUUUGAUUUUGCAACUGCUCCCAAGUCCAACCUCAGGAUGCCUACGUAUCCCUUGCGGGAAUCAAGCCACUCGUAGUUCAAAGAAUCGCAAUGAAUAAAUGACUCAUUGCGAGGGAAAUUUGAUUUGAAUUGUACUGAGAAGUGUUUGAGUGAAUUUAGCUGAAUAAACCAGGGAUUCGAUAUGGGAUUGCAUUUGGGAUGGUUGCAUCUAGAUUGAAUCUCUAGAUUGCCUACGUACCCUUUCAAAGGGAUCAAACCAACGUAGUUCGGAAUUUGGAAAUCAACGGGCAAGUGUGGCCCACUAAUUGAGAAUUUCUGUUUAAGAGACUUGGAUUUAAUCUCAUUAGAGUUUUCAUGGGUAGAUGACCCAUGGAAAAUUGGAUGGUUUUGUACCACUUUCGUUGUUGUCCAUGUCCAAGAAAAAUAAUGAGUAAUUUUAAUUAUCCCAUUAAUUUUUCCUAAACAUUGACAAUUGCGUUUGGGGAUUUCCAUAGGUAGAUGACCUAUGGGAAAAUUUGGAAAUUAAUGGAUAAGUGUGGCCCACUAAUUAAGAAUUUGUAUUUGAGAGAUUUAGAAUUACUCUCAAUGAAAUUUUGCAUGGGUAGAUGACCCAUGGGAAAUAUUAGAAAUUAAUGGGUAAGUGUAGCCCACUAAUUGAGAACUUGAAUUUGAGAGAUUUGAAUUUAAUCUCAAUGAAAUUUGUAUGGGUAGAUGACCCAUGAAAAAUUGAAUGGUUUUGUACCAUUUUUCUGGUUGUCAAUGUCCAAGAAAAAUAAUGAGUAAUUUUGAUUAUCCCAUUAAUUUUCCCUAAAAAAUUGACAAUUGCACUUGGGAAAGUGUUUUUUUUUGGCGAAAUCUGGUUAAGAUAAGCCAGAGAUUUAUACUUGAUUGCGGUUGCGUCUAUUGGGAUGUUAGACUGCCUACGUACCCUUGACGGGAUCAAACCGACGUAGUUCCAAAUUUAGGAAGUUAAUGGGUAACUGUGGCCCACUAAUUGAGAAUUUGUGUCUUUGGGACAAUUUGGAGAUUUUCAUAGGUAGAUGACCUAUGGAAAAAAUUGGAAAUUAACGGGUAAGUGUAGCCCACUAAUUAAGAAUUUGUGUUUGAGAUAUUUGAAUUUAAUCUCAUUUGGAAUUUGCAUGGGUAGAUGACCCAUGGAGAAAAUUGGAUGGUUUUAUACCAUUUUUCUUUUUGUCAAUGUCCAAGGAAAAUAAUGAGCAAUUUUGAUGAACCCACUAAUUCUCUACAAUUGACAUUUGCAUUUGUAUCCAUGCAUGAUUUGGAGGAUUUGAGAUUAAUGGGCUUUUUUGAUCAACAAAACCCAUUAAUCCAUAUUGAUGCUCCUUUAAAAUCUUUUGGGAGUUGAGCUUAAUGCUCCGCGUGUGACAAAUAAUUUAUUUGGACUGGAGUCACCGUCACAGCAUGGUUGAGUCACUUGGCACUCUUUUCUGAAUCGCUUCUUUGCCACAAUGGUUGAUUCCCACAUUUCUUAGUGUGGCUUUUGAAGUGGUUUUGUACCCCUUGACAUCUGGUGUGGUUUUGUACUACUUGAGUCUUCACUUGACGUUGAGUCUUCACUUGACGAUUUGAGAAUUAAUGGGCAUUUUUGGAAUUUAAGCCCAUAAUCCAUCAUUUGCGGACUUCAGGAAUUGGAGACUCAAAGGAAAUCUCAAACAAAGUGGCUGACGCCAUUUGACUUUUCUUCCCUUAUUUCGGUGCGAGUCUUCCUCUUCGUUUAUUUGUUGUUGCCAUGUGCAGCACCAAGCCAAUCCCUCUUUCGUCUUUCUUUGGUUUUGACUUGUUUUUUUUUUCUUUGUUUUUGGUUUGCUGCACAACACCAAGCUGCCAACAAGACGUGGCUAUCCUUUUUUCUUCAUUUUGUUUGUUUGUUGUUGCUAUGUGCAACAACACCAAGUUGCCAAAACGUGGCUGUCUUCAAUAACUUUUUUUUUUUUAGUUCACGUGUCUGUAUGGCAACAUCAGUGGUUUGAACAAGUUGGUUGUCUUGAGCCUUUCCUCCACCCCAUAUGACGAGCAGCAUUUCUUGACUUCCACAAGUCUGCAAAGGGAACUAGCCUUUUUCUUGAUGGUGGAUCAUUGUUAUCACAAAAAAAAUGAUAUUUGUGUGCCUUAUCCAGCUGGUUCUUUUCGGCUUGGUGCCAAAAGUAAAUGUCUUUUAAUUUGAUCAAGACACCCAAGGGAUAGAAAUUCUUCUCCAAGUGAAGUAUGGAUUAAACUCCUUAUUGAUUUGGAGCUGGUGGAUCAUCCAGUGAAGUAAACUUCUUGUCCACAUAGGAUUGGGUUGUCUUCCUUAUAAAAAGGAAAACAUGUGUGCACCAGCAAACAGCCACAAAACGAAAGUCUUAACAUUAUUCUUCGUUUGCUUCUCCAGACCAGCCCAUAGCUUUGCUCAAGCCACUUGUUGCACCAUCAAACAGAAGAGGAUUUCACGUGGUAACCCACAUGCCAUUCCUUAGUUCUUCUCUUUUAUUUUAUUUAUUGAUUGAACUAACUAGGAUUUUUUUGGCAUGGGCAGCAAUAGCUGUAGCAAUUGAAGAGCCUCCAAUUAAUUGGAUGCUUCCGGGCUGACUUGGAACCAAAAGAGACAAUUUCUCUUAUUGUCCUUUGUGUGCUGUAACCUUCCCAAGGUCAAUAACCCAAGACAAAGGGAAAGAGAAAUCAUCUUGCCUUUCACGUGGUAACCCACCCCUUGACAAAUGUCUUUUUUCUUUUGUCUGUUUCCAUGUUUCUGACCUCUUGUCUUCUCUUUUGUAUGUAGAGGCUGUGCUGCCAGCUUGAAGGCUUUGGAGUUUGGUGGAGGAAACCAUCUGUCAUUUUGCUUCAGAAACCCAAGAAAGAACUUGUGGUACUUGCUUUGCCAGCUCCUCUUUUUUUUUGUUUGCUAUUGCUGUACUUUUACCACUGCUCAUAUCCAUUUCUUUUACUCAAUUUCCAGUCAAAGAAACAUUCAAGAGGGGGAGGAGGGGCUGUGCGAUACAGCCCCCCUUUUUUUUUAUUCCAUCACCUUUUUUUAUGUCCCUUGUUUUGUCUCUUUGCAAACAAAACACAAGAACAAAGUCAGCCACCAUUUUUUUACUCCAUUAUUUCUUCUUCCUUACUCCUUUUUUUCAAUCAAAGCAGACCAACAGAGGGAGGGAGGGCUGUGCGUCACAGCCCCCCUUUUAUUUAUUUUUUUUUUCAACUCCUCUUUGCAGCAAAACACAAGAAGCAAACCCACCAUUUUCUUUUGCUCCAUUACCUCUCCCUCCGCUGGCUCUCUUCUCCUUCUCUUUUUGUCUUUUUUUCCUUCUUUGUUGACUUGCUGGCGGCAGCUGCCCAUAGGGAGGCAAUUCAAUUGCCGUGCGCCCCUUUUGGUUUCGGAUGCUUCAUACAAGCCUUCUCUCUUUUGAUUUUGAUCCCAUGGUGGGUUCAUCUCUACAUCCAUGAUUUGAGGGAUUCUUUGCUCCUGGAAGAGCUUAUUUGAUGGUGCAUGAUGGAAUAGACUAUGCCAUAAAACAUGAUGAUUGAAAUCAUCAUGUAAGGCAAACUUGAAAACACUGCUGGAGUUCUUUGAGCGGAGCCAAGCCUCGGAGAGAUUCUUCCUUGGUUAUGAUGAUUUCAAUCAUCAUAGCCAAGAAUUUAUGUGGACCUUUUUAUGAUGAUAGAAAUCAUCAUGGUCAGGAACCCUUGAGUUGAAUGGAACCUGAAAUCUUGAGCAAAAAAUCAGAACAUGGUGCCAUGGAACUAAUCUUUUUACCUUGAAAUGGCUCUUUCCUUUCUCAAGGCUGCUUGCUAAUUUUUCUUCUUGCUAUGACUGUUCUCCUUUCUGCUCUUUUUCUGUCCUCCUGCUGUUCUCCUCCCUUUCUUCCUUCUUUUUUUUUUCUCCUGCUGUUCUCCUCCCUGCGUUUUUUCUUUUUUUUUUUUUGUCCUCCCCUCGUGUCAUGCCUCUUAUAGAGGCUAUCUUAUGAUGAGUUUUAAUUCCAGCUGAUGACCACUUCUCAACUGAGAUACUUAUCUCUUGUUGUUUCAAAACCACUGAAAUACAUCUAUUUUAUUUUUAAAUGUUUUUCUUGAUAAGAUUGCAGGGACAAAACAAAUUCAAUCCUAAACCAAGUCAAACUCUUGGCUAAUUGUUUUUUGUGAAAAUUUUCCGUUCAACAGAUGCCUUCUCAAGCGUUGUGCAUGAAAUGACUUUUUAUGUGCAACGCUUGAUAGCUUUUCCUUUGAACUGCGCAUCCCCUGACUUUUCUUGUAUUAAUUAAUUUUUUUUUUGGUUGAAAAAUUCAGGAAAUGGACGCGCAAGGUCGAUUCGGGUUUGAGCGAGUCUUUGAUUCGCAUGGUAGGGAAUUUGUCUCUGGCCCCCAAUAUGCGAGAUCACUGCCUUUGAGAUCUGUGAAGCUUAAUGUACCCCCUGAAGGCCGUGCAACCUGGUAUACCACCGCCUCCGUAAAUUCGGGGUAUCUUGAAUUCAAACCCCACGCAGAAGAUAAGGUGAUUUCAGUAUGCCAAACGCAUCGUGCUGUGUUUACCGCCCAUUGUUUGGAGGAUGUGAAUAAUGAAGUGGAUGGAGACAUGAAAUUCCAAAUCAAAGAUCUUCCCACACGUGAUGAUUUUUACCCCGCUUUGCAUAGAAUGAUCAAGAGUAAGUUGGAGUGGGGGCCCCAGUAUCAGUUCUAUGGCCGAGCCACUUUUGAAAUUGGCGUUGCGGAGUGGACAAAAUGCGUUAUGAGUGACUUUGGAGACAUAUUGCAUAAGGCAAAAAUAUAUUGUGCCGUAGCAAUUUCCCGAUAUCCUUACGAGUGUUGCCCAAAUAUAUGGAGAGCAUUUUGUGAAUUAUGGGGGCCCUUGUGCAACACCUUUCAUCAUGGCAAUGGUGAGAUGGGGAUUUCUCUCUAUGACAUGAAAGUCAUUUGUGGGUUGCCAAUCUUGGGAGAUGUCCAGUAUGAGGAAUUUAUUCCCCAAAAUAAAGACUUGCAACAAAAUGGAGCAUAUCCUCCGACUAUCACUGAACUUUUGAAGAUCCACUCCCAAUUAUGUAUUUAUCAUAAUCAGUCUACCGUCAGCUGGGCCCAAUGGAUUGGGCACUUUUAUCGGGCGAAGAUUAUUUAUAAGGCCUUUGGGAAUGGCAAGAGGAAACCUCAAGAUCAACUUUUAAGGGCUCCCGAAAUCACUUUACGUAUUUCAAAGGAAGGGGGGUUGGCUGCAUUCUUGGCACUUUGGUUGAGUAGAUUUGUGUUACCUUCCGUGGAUCGCAACGUCAGACCUGAAACUUUUCAUAUGGCAUGUUUGAUGGCACAAGGGGUCAGAGUUUCACUUGCACCACCUGUUUUGGGGUAUAUUUACCAUGGUCUUGGAGAAAUUGCCACUCACCCAGAAGGUCCCAGCUUGUCAAGUGCUUCCUUCCCAAUUCAUUAUGUUAUCGGUUGGUUAGGCGAACAUAUUCCAGGAUUGUACCUACCACAAACUGACAAGGAAUUUGUCAAAGACUACCCUUUUUUGGUGAGGUACGCGGGUGUUAAGCCAAAAGGUUUUAGGCUUAAUCAUGCCAGAAUUAUAUUCCGUAGUGACAAAGAAUUAAUCUAUCGCCCAACCACGUUUACUGAAGAUGAAGGCCGUUCCUUUGUUGACAAGAAGGCUCUAUCAGACAGAAAAUUUGAAUUUCUAGUUUGCACACGUUAUGCGCUUUUGCCGGUGAGGGUGAACAACAAUCUUUGGUUGGAACCAUACUACCCGAAUAGAUUCGCGCGUCAAUUUGGUUUUGACCAAGGUGUCCCUUCGAACAAGCUUUCCUUUAGCGUUCGUGACAGGUGCAAGUGUGGCAUGGAGGAUUUGGCCAUAGCACAAAUCACUUUACUUAGAAGAGAUACCACAGCUGGAUUUUAUAUCCCACGCUAUACUCGUGUUGGAGUUUGCACUUGGUGGUAUUGCAAAUGGUGGAUGGGGUCAUCAGCACUAUAUAUGGGAUUAUCUGUAGCUAGAAUUUUCUUGCCUUCUAGAAAACACCUCGAAAGGCACGAUAAUAUUUUUAUUGUUAGGCCGGAGAAUCAAGGCCCCACAAGUUGUCAAAAAGAGGUCUCCAACAAACGUCAUUCUUCGCGUAGUGACAACAACAAGAGUCCAAAACGAAUUCGAAGCCAGAAUCUUGACCAUCCAGUUGAUGAGGGAGUCAGUUCCUCCCAUGCCGAUGCUGCUACUCUUAUCAGAGACUUGGUUUUCCCCAUGAAUGACGGGCCAUCCGAACAAGGUAGUACCACGAACUUCCCAAGUGAAGCAGAUGAUGCUCAAGAAGUGAGCAAUGAACUGAAUGCUACAGUCGUUGCUCCUGAUGUGAGUAAUGAUCCAAAUGAGACAGACGAUAUUGUUGAAGAUGACUGCCCCUUGCCAUUGGUAGAAUACUUGCCCUCCUCACCUUAUGUGAAGAAUUUCAUUCACCGCAUUCUUGGUCCAAGUGUGGCUCCACGUAGGCGAAGGUUCAUUGCUGAGGAAAUGCAAGACAUCUUUGAUAGAAUUUCUUCUUCCAAAUCACCUAUAGACCUACUAGCUCACCGUGAUCAUAUUUUGGGGGCACUUGGUCUCUUGCGACCUAUGAUUAAUACCCUUGAAUCAGGCCAGGAUGAGUUUCAGGAAUUUGAAACGACUAUCCAACACAUUUUCGAGUUGGUCACUUCAUUUUCCAAGAACGUUGCCUUUGUGGGAGAACAUGCCCAUCUAGAUGUUGACCGCAUCAAUGCUUUGAUCACCCAAUAUGAGCAGUGCUUCGCUGCCAUAAAAACCAUGAGCGUGCAUCUAAUAGAACUUAAUAGUGAGCUUGCUGAUGUGAAUGCCACAGUGGUUGAUGUUGAAAAGGCAGAGAAGGAAGCUGAAGAGGCAGCAAGACGAGCUCAUGAAAUGCGACAACAGUUUGAAUCGAAGACAAGUGCCCUUAAAGAACGUGCAAACGAUUUGCAGCAAUCUUUAGACCAACAAUUCGAAAAGGAAAUUGGGCUUCGACAAUAGUCGCAUUUUCUUAGAAUCCAAACGGAGCCAAAAUUAAAAGAAAAUCAAACAAAAACAAAAAUUAGGAGGAUGAUGACUGACUUGUUGAGGAGGCGCAUACUCGGACUGGUACUCUUCCUCGUUUCUGAGGAUUCUGAGGAUGUUAGCUUCCAUGGGCGACUUGGGAAGUGUCUCAGACGCGUAAGGUCUGUUUUGGAAGAAAAAGGCUGAGAUUGCUUUCCGCAGUUGCAGCGGAGGAUUUCGGUGGUGUUGAAUGCCAUUGGUUUCCUUUAACAAAUGGGUAAGUUUCUGAUUUUGUGCAGAGUUUGGUUCCCUAUCACCAAAAGAUCAACAUUCAAAGUCAAUCUCCCACCAUCUGCCACUGUCAUCCUUCCCUAAAUUAUCAUUCACUCCACCACCAACAAUGCCUUCAAUUUCCUCCUCUUCGCUUUCACCAUCAAUCUCAUCAUCCCAGUUAUGCACACUUUGGUCCUCAUCUGGCUUGUACGUCUACUCCAAUCUCUUCAACACAUCACGGUCUUUCCAUUUCCCCACAACCGACACUGCCUCCUUCUUCGCCUUCCCAAUUAGAAUUUCGUUCCAAGAAAACCCCGAAUCCGCAACCUUCUUCAGAGCCCCGUCGCCAAAUCCCCCAUAACCACCGUCUUGAGGCAUCUCAGCUUGGCCUCCAUCACAACAUCCACGAAAUCCAAAUCAUCCGACACAAGCAUCAAACACUCAGCUCUCCUGUGAUCCAUCAUAUCCACAAUGUGAUUCCUCAAUGCAGCAUCCGCCCUCUGAGGUUUAUCCACCACGCUCCGAACCCAAAACCAGCCCGCUUCACCUCAUCCGCCAAACCCCUCCCUGCCUUGGGUGUCAAAACAUCCCUUGCAGCAUUCUUAUACUUUUCCAUCUUCAUUGAAUACUUACCAACCAGCUUCACCCUCCUGCUCCCUCUAGCAGACUCAAUCUGGCUCAACCUCUUCAUAUGCUCUUUUUCAUGAAUCUUAAAGUGGUUCAAAAGCUUCUCAUUAGUAUAAAAUCUCCUCCCGCAAACCCUACAAACGUUCAGUUCACCAUCCCUAAUCACAACCCUGUUCCUCUCUUUCCUUUCCCUAACAACCUGUGGAACAUAAUCAAGUGCAUGGCGGUUUGCAUAUGCUAUCAUAUGCCGAACAAGCCUGAAAGACGAAGCUGCCGUCUUGAGCUUAACGGCAGCUUCGUAGGGCGAGACUGAUUUGGGUGGUUUGGUAUCCAAAUCCCAGAAAAUCGCAAUUUCUGGAAUUUUUUCGGGUGGCAAACACGAUGUUGGGCUCGAAGAAUUAAAACCCGGUUCUGAUUGGAAAUGGCAAUAUCUAAUCAACAGGGUAAAUGGGUUUAGGGUUUCUGACCUUUUGGAUUGAACUGUACAGAAAAUGUGGUGAAAUUUGAGAUGUUUAAGCAUUUCCACGGGUUUCAAGGUCGGUGUUUUUUAUUUUCGAUGAACUGCAAAAAGAAACAAGAGACCAAUAAACGAUAAUAGAGAAACCAGAGGAAACAGAGAGCCUUGUGAACUUGAAGCUUACGAGUAAGCAUUGAGUUUUCGCCGAGUUCGGCUCGUAUGAAUGUGACUUGGUUUUUUAGCGGGUUUUUCCUUUUUCUCGUAAAUUCGUUUUAAAACCCGAUUUUACAAAUUCGCUAAUUUUUCCUUCCUCUAUAAACUCAAAAUGGAAAAACAAUUUCACUAAACUCAACCAAAAAAAAAAAGAAGAAUUUAUCUUGCCUAUCCUCUCUCUAGAAUGCUAGGUAUGAUGAAUAUGGCUUUUUUUAUCUUUUUAAUUCUUUAAGUUUUAGUAACGAUUGUGAUGAAAAUUAUACUUAAAAAAUAGUAAAAGAUAACAGUGAACAAAGCCAAACAAUCCAAAUAGUAAUAUAAACCCAAAUAUUAAAUUGCACUGAAAUUUCGUACCUGGAGGCAACUGAGGAAUGGGAUCAGGCAGAGAGAAAGGUUCAGGCUCUGGAUCAGGCAAAAAUCAAAGCUUUUUACUCUGAAGGCGCUCACGAAGGCCAGAUACGCCGUGAGAGAAGGAGACUUGGGGCAAUUCCUUCAAAUUGUACACAUGUUUUCUUUGAGAAGCAAAGCUCUAGUAAUAAGGAAGUUGGUCGAGGUCGUGACAGGGAUGAUUGAUGGUGUGAAAUGGAUGCUAUUUCUUAUGGCAAGGCCAACUCUAUAAAUGAAAUUUGCUAUCCCUUCAAAUUGUACACAUGUUUUCUCUUUGAGGAAUCAAACAGUAUUCUGAUGACAUUAUUUACAAUGAGGAAUUUGGAAUUAGUUUCUAGAAUAAAUUGUUUGGUUGGUCAUUAAAAAUAUUAAUUUCUUGUGUUAAGAAAAUUACACUUUAUAUGUAAUGGUGGGGUUGGGGAAAAGAAAGAAAUCUGCAAAUAAUAACACACAUAACACAAGUCAUGUAGAUAUUAUGUUGAAGUUUUGAAGAAGCUCAUCUAUAUACUGAUUAUAAUAUAAAAAAAGUUAAACAUUCAAAAUUCCACAAAUUGUCGUAGUUAAUGAAAAUGUUAAAGGAGAAUGCAAUUCAUUAAUUAAGAUAAAAUAAUACAUUCACAAUGUGUUUAAAUUGAAAUAAAUAAAUAAAGAACACAAGAAAAGUUGCUCAUAAAACUAAGAGAUAAUCACUUUCAAAACUUUACACUAUUUUGGAUAAAUUUUAUUUAAAAAGUUAUAAACUCAAUUUUUAACAAUUAAAAAAACAAAAUAAUAAAAAUAAAAAAUAUCCAAUUGGCACACACUAAUGCGUGUGGCAAGGAGCUAGUUAUAUUUAUACGAUGAAACAACGAAGUACAUAACAUGUUGAUGUCAAAAUUUGAUCAACGAGACUAAAACCAUAAAGCCAUAAAAACACACGAAAAAACACUCACAAUAUAACGUUGUUCACUCAAAUUCAUGUUUCGUUUAGGAUCACUAGUGUAGGUUUCACCAUACAGUUUAUUUUGUUAAGGAAUAUUAUAGGUUCUUAUAUUCUUACAAUAAAAAAGAAUAUUAGGUUCUGAUAUUCUUACCAUAAAAUUGGCUCAAAUUGAUAUGUUCCCUCUUUUUUUUGUUUCUCUCUUUUCCUUUUCAUUUUAUGCUUUGCUGUGCUAUUGCUAAGUUGAUCCGACAGCUAGCAAUAACUUCCCCACCUUUCAUUUUAUGCUUUAUUGGUGACCAGGGAUGCUUAGCAACUUUCUUCAUCCGCCCUUCUUCCCAUGUACUAACCGGUGAUAGGUCAGCAUCUUAGAUAAGAAUCCCAACCCAAUCAAACAGUGACAUCUGUAAAUAUUCAAAAUUGGAAUUUGCUGGUGAUAGUUGAUGAUUGCAUCUUUGUCCGACCAAAAAUAAAAAGAAAAAAAAAAUUGGAAUUUUGCUGGAGUUGCUUCCUUGACUUUUCCACCUUUGUAUGCAGUCCAUUUUACACAAGGAGCCACGUUUGAGAGAUAGCAAUAAACAUGUAGAGAUGGAUAAAUAGAGAGGGAGAAAGAGAGGGAGCGAGCUUUCUGUAUUUACACCGUUCAGGGGAAAAGAAAAAAAACUAUUUCAUGCCAAACUAACUACGGAUUCUUUAAUUGAAAAAAUAACCACAUAUUAAUCAUCCUUUGGAACAUAAAUGCCCCGGUAAUUGGCACUAAAGUAUCUAAAGUUUACGAAAUUAAGGAUUUUGAUGCAAACCUAAAUUUGGAAAAGAGGGCACCAAUUCAUGUAAAAUAUGGUGUACUUAGUAUUAGGGUAUUGUGUGAUAGAGUGCAUUAAGGUAUUUUUUGUAUACCAUAAGGUGUACUUAGUUAAUUUUACAUUUUGAUUUAAAUAUUAGGGUGUAUCUAUAUCAUAAGGUGUACUUAGUUAAUUUUAGAUUUCGUUUAACAACAACAACCACUACUACAUUUUAGUAUUUGCGCGACGAAUCCAAUUUCGUCGCGUAGACUAACUUCUAGUCGCACGAAUGCAAGCGCGACAUAAAAAUCGUCGCGCGUUAUCUGUCGCGCAAAGAUCGUGAAGAAAGACUUUGAGCGACCGAUUCUACGACUCGUCGCGCAAUUUUGUGCGACGGUUAUCCUUCGUUACACAAAAGGUUCAGAGACGACGAAAACGUUCGUCGCACAAAAUUACGCGCGACGAAAGUAGAUUCGUCGCCACAACAAUGCACGGCGAAUAAUUUUCAUCGCGCAAUACGUCUCGUAGACAUUUGCGGCACCAAGAGUUCAUCGUCGCGCAAUUCGGUACACGUAUUGCGCGACGAAACAAUCACUACAAGGAAAAUCCCUUUUAGCGACGAAACAGGAUGGUCGCUAUAACACCAAAUUUCGUCGCCAAAGAAAAAUAGCGACGAAUAUUUUUGGUUGCCAAGGUCGUCGUGGAAAGCUCGUGGCUAAAAGAUACAAUGCGACGAAAUAGGAUUUCGUCGCUAAAAGAUUUUGGCGACCAAAUGUGUCGUCGCUAAACAGCUCUAAGUUGGUCGCCUAUAGAAAGGGAGUUGCCACCAAUACCAAAAAUUCCCGCGAACAUGGAAUUAUUUGGCGACGAAAUAAAUAUUUGGUCGCCUGAAUAUUUCAGCGACGAAUUUUUUGGUCGUGAAAGAUGUAGUUUAUUUGUAGCAUAUGUUAGUUGGUUUGGUUAUUUUCAUAAUGAGCGACGAAACUGAUUGGUCGCCAAAACUAUAGGUAUUGGUAUUAUCAGAUGGAGCGACGAAAACUAAUUCGUCGCCAAGAUGUGUAUUUAUUUAUUUAUUCUAUAUAAUUAUUUAUAUUUCAAUCUUUGUAACAGAAUAUUAAUUAGUCCAUAAAGAUUUUGAAAAACAGUAAAUAGAUGAAAUUAAUAGAAAUAGGAUAAUUACUAUUCAAAAAGAUACUAGUUGUUUAAGCACACAUCAGUGUAUUCUAGAUACAAAAGUCCCCAAGGUAUGUAUGCUAGAUACAAAAACCAUCAAGUAGCUGGAUACAGAAGCCCCAUAGAACCCCCAAGGAAGGCUAGAUACAAAAACCAUCAAGUAUGUAGAUGUACACACAACCUAAUGACUAUUUCCAAUAUCAUCAAGAUCUUCAUAAACAUUACGUGAACCACCACUAUUACCUUGAUCAUCAUGACAAGGAUAAUCACCAACAUGCUGGGACGGAACUAAAUGUGAGGGUAGAGGACCAUCAUGGGUUCGCAUCCACUCAAUGACAUCCAAAAGUUUACCCACUGUGCCCUGAAGCUCACUUACUGUGCCUUUCAACUCACCAACUGUGCUUUGAAGUUCCUCAACCUUUUGCUCUGUAGCACAAGAAGAGGCAAAUCCACCACUAUGCGAACUCUCCACUCGGAGACUAGAACCCAAGCCUCGAAUCCUCUUGCCCUUUGCAACCCCAAGUUCUACAGUCAUGAUCUCUAACUGUUGUGGGAUAGGGAGUAUGACUUGAUCUAGUGGAGUUCCUGAACUCUCUGCCACUUGUUGCUUGGCUUUCUCAUACUCUUCAUUCAUCUUCUUCUACAAAAAGAAGCAAAAUAUAGAUAUGUCAAUAUAUAUAAAUGCAUAAAAAGAAUGAAGUAAAUGGGAUGCCAGUAUGAUCAAUUGUGUUCAUAAACUAGCAAUGCCAAUUAUCCUAAUCAAACAGUCACAAUUAAAAAAAAAAAAUUCAACUUGAAGCAAAUAAUAAAAGGAAAAGGCACAUAAAAAAUGGAAUAGAUCUCUUCGGAUAUGCAGAUUACAGAAAGUUUGAAAAUACUCACAGAUCUUAUAAGAUCUUUUUGAGCAUCUCCUGAAAGCAACAACAAUACAAACAAGAAAAUUCCAAAAACAGGGAUUAUAAAUAUUUGCCCAGCAACAUGGCCCCCUUAUAAUUGGGUCUAUUUUAACUUCUAAGAGCACAACGGGUUAUUAGAACUGAAUAUGUUUAAUAGGUGUUUGGAAUUGGGCCUCCAAAGAGGAAGAGAAGUACAACUGCAGCAGCUCUGUUUCAAAACGAUCUUAGCAUGCACUUUUUUUGGUUGUCAAUAUAUAAGAUCAUGAAAAAUUUAGAAAACUCAAGACACAUAUCUUCAUUGUGUUUCUAAUUAAUUAGUUCUAUUUGCAAUGGAUAAAGCCUUUAUAUGAUGCUAAAACCAAAGUACACAAUUAGCAUCUAAAAUAAUGGGCCGUCAAAAACUUGCAUGACCAGUUGGCUGAUCUUUUGGAUUGCAGAUUAUGCAAGUCAAUAGUUAAUUGUUAGCAGGUUUAUGUAUGCCUUACCCCUUUAAUUUCAGCAGCCUCGUUGAUCCACAUGCUCUUACCCUUAAGCAUAUGCAUGUUGUUCCAAUUGCUAAUGUAUGUAGGAUUUUCACCCUUCUACAUUUUCCCAACAAAAAGAAAAUUAGAAAUACUUGAAAUUAUUACAAUAUAAUAAAUAAAGAAAGAUUUAAAGUGACCAAAAAUUAUAAACCUCUCUAGCAGCUUCCAUAUGUUUUAGGAAAGGACGUGACCCCCCUGUAUGAUCGAACUCUUUCUUUUUUCUGUUCUCAGCAUUGGUCUUGCAGCGUUGCUGUUUUGAUUAAAUACAUGAAUUGUUUUUUUUUUCUUUUUUCUAUUUGAUACUUAGAAUAAGUUCCCAAUCAAAAAAAAUGAAAACAGCAGAUGUUAUGAUACAUUAAAUACCUGAUAUUGCUCAUUUGUGUACAACGUAUCAACCAAAUAAUGCCACUCUUCUAGAGUCCUUCGAGUACCAAAGAUCUUUUCAGGGGGAGGUGUUUCUCGUGCAAGAGCAGGGUCAGAAGCAUAUUGCUUAUAGUGUCUGUGGAGCUUUGCUUUCCAUUCUUUAUAAGUUGAGUGCAUAUGGUCAUUAAUAAAUUUCCAUAUAUCCGGAUCCAUUAAGUCCACAUCAAACAUGAACUAAUAUCAAUUAACCAUAAACAAAACAAGUAUUAGUUAUAAUUUUGCAAUGCAAAUAGAAACAUUGAAGGACAAAUUUUUCAGUUCCCCCUAGAAUACAAUGAAGAAUUGAAAUAAAAAGAGAGCUAAAUGAACAAAAUUAAAUUAUAAUCAACGAAGAAUUAGAUAAGAUUACCUGCAAUCCCAGUGCCAUAUCUUUCUUCAUCUCCAAGCUCACUUUUUUCAUCCCUAAAACAUUCAAUGGAGCUUUAUUGCGAGUGAUUAACCCAAUCUCAGAGACGAACAGUUUCUGAGCCUCAAUAGUCGCCACCAAUUUCUGGGAUGGAUCCAUCCGUAUUGGAAUCAAACUCUUCCUUUUUUUCACAACAUCACAAGUGCCAGCCCCCACAGUUCGGCCACGAGUGUUCUUCCUCUGUGGAGAAGUUUGAGUAUGCGUUCCCUCAUCUAGAGACCCAAAAAAAAAAAACAAAAAACAGUAACUAGAGUGCACCAAAUAAAGGUAUAAAAAUUAAAUGCACAAAAUAUGGUAUCAGUUACCCUGUUGGUGGGAACCCCCUCCUGAGGCUGAUGAAGUACCUUGUUGUGGCUGAGUUGAUUGUUGUUGUGGCAGCUGACAUGGUUGCUCAAGUGGUUGUGGUGGUAGUAGAGUUGAAGUUUUCUUCCUAUUGUUAUUGUUGCUUAAGGUAGCAGCCCUCGUAAGUGUCAUUCUACAAUUACAGACACAUAAACAAAGAGAGAAUACAACAAUAUACUACCAGAUCAUUCCUUGAAAAAAUAAACAUAAAUUAUUGAACAUCAUACUUCAGCUGUAAUGAAUUGAUUCUCAUCACAAACAUGCUUGAGAUAAAUGAAUUAUUCAUCUAAAAAUAAUUGAACAUAAUAUUUUAUCAAUAGGAAAGAAAAAUAACAUGCACAUGCAUUUCAUUACAUGGGGGAGGACACAUGCAAACCUUAUCCGAAGAUAUUUCUUCAAUAUACAGACCUUACCCCUUAAAACAGAUUAAGAAAAACAUAUAGUAACUUGAAGAUAAUUAAGAAACAUAUAGUGCCUAAACAAAAGACAGCCUAACACUUCAAUCCCAAAUCACUAUAAUCAUCACUGUGAACACUGCCUUCAUCAUCACCCGAAUGUAUUUCUUCAAUAUCAUCAUCAUCAAUAAAAUCUUCAUCCUCCAUAUCAGUUGGGACAUGUUCAAAAUUAAUAUCUUCGACAACAAUUUCAGGUUCAACAUACUCUCUACGAAGUGAUGGACUGAGUAGAACAUUAUCUUCUGGUGCAUGUCUGACACUAAUAUGUGCAAUUUGGUCCACAUCAUCGUUGUAUAGUGUUUCUGCCUCGUGAGCCACCUCAUUCUCAAGAACAUCCCACACAUGUCUAUGUGGAAUUUUUUGAAUUACCUUCCAACCAUGACCCAAGGAUGGGUCAUCAAGGAAAAAGAUUUGCUGUGCUUGUUUUGCUAGCACAUAAGGAUCAUCUUUGUACCAUAAAUUCAUUGAGUUCACUGACGUGAGAUGGUAAUCAUGAACAAGCCUAACAAUCUUUUUCUUUCGCUUCACAUCUGUACUUGUAUUGUACCACUCACACUUAAAAAGGAUAACAUGAUAGCCAUAUGUGAAUCCUAUUUUAACAACACUAACUAAUCUACCAUAAAAAUUACUUUCCUGAUCAGCAUGAGUUCCUGGUACCAUGACCCCACUAUUUUGAGUUGUGCGAGUUUCUUCUAUAUCUUUGACAUGCCACCGAAUUCCGUUCACAACACAUCCUGUAUACGUACAAACUCUUUCAUCAGGACCAUAUGAUAAUGCAUACACUUCUUUAGUCACCAAUGUUGAUUCCUCACUAUACAAUGCUUUGACAUGAUGCUUGAACCAUUGGGGAAACGACUGCCUAUGUCUAUGUUCUAUGUUAAACAAGCUUUCACGCUCUAAUAUUUGACGAUGCUCACUGAAAAAAUAAAUAGAAAGUUAAAUCAAAGCAAUAAGAAAACAGAGUGAUAAAAAUAGAAUUAAUUACAUUUACAUACUUUCUAAAUGGUUCAAUUUCCUCGCAAUUGUCCAAGAUAUACCAAUAAAUUGGUUCCAUUUCUCCUUCAGACAAUUGAAGAAAUUUAUAGCCAUUAAAGGGCCGUGCAUUUUGAGAAAAUACUGAGAGCUUAACAUUGGCUUCGCCACCAUCAUCAUUUCGUUCAGGACGAGAGAAAACAGUCUCCACAUUACGAAAAUACAUUGAACAAAAAGUUAAUGCUUCAUUUGCAAUGUAUCCCUCAACAAUUGAACCUUCUGGUCUAGCUCUAUUACGUACAUAGCCCUUUAACUUUCCUAGCAUCCUGUUAAUCAUUGUAUAUUAAUAUUUUAAAUACAAAUGAAAGAGAAUCUAAUCAAAAUAAAUAUAAAAAGAUGAUGACUGAGUAUUACCUCUCUAUCGGGUACAUCCAACGAUAUCCUACAGGUCCCCCAAGCUUGGCCUCACGUGGUAAAUGAAAGGCCAAAUGAACCAUGACAUCAAAAAAGGCGGGUGGAAAUAUUUUCUCAAGUUUGCAUAAAAUGACCACAAUGUCAACCUCUAAUCUGUCCAAAUCUGCAACAUUCAACGUCUUUGCACAAAUUUGUUGGAAGAAACAUGCCAAUUCUACAAGUGGCGCGCACACUUCUUUUAUCAAGUAUGGCCGAAUUCCAAUAGGUAAAAUUCGUUGUAACAAAACAUGACAAUCAUGAGUCUUCAAACCUGAGAUCUUCCCAUCUUUGACAUUUCGUGAUAUAUUAGCAGCAUAACCAUCCGGAAAUUUUAUAGAUUUCAAAAAUUCACAAAAUGCUCGACGAUCAGCCGGUUCUAAUGUAUAUUCUGCAGCAUACUUCUUUAUCUUGCCAUUUUCAUCUUUAUCUAAAUGCAGAUUUCUUCGUAUAUUCAUGUCUUUCAAAUCCAAACGAGCAUUGGGUGUGUCUUUUGUUUUUCCUUCUAUGCUCAACAACGUUCCAACAAUGUUGUCGCAUAUAUUCUUCUCAAUAUGCAUUACGUCCAAGUUAUGUCUUAUUUUCAACUUGGACCAAUACUCCAAUUCGAAAAAAAUACUCUUAUUUGUCCAAUUUAACUCCAUAGGUGUCCGCUUUCUCUUUCUGUCCAAAUUAUCAGGAUGUUUACCAAGUUUACGAUGCACAAGGUGAUUAAACUGAAGUAAUAUGUCAUCACCAGAGAAUUCUCUUGGGGGAUCCCUCAUCUCAAUAGUUCCAUCAAAAUUUUCAGAAUCCUUACGCCAAGGGUGAUUCUUUUUCAAGUAGCGACGGUGCCCCAUAUAACAAAUUUUAUUUCUCAGCUUGGUAGAUGUUGUAUCCUCAAGACAUACGGGACAUGCCUUGUAACCUUUUGUACUCCAACCGGAUAAAUUCCCAUAAGCAGGAAAGUCAUUGAUUGUCCAUAUUACAGCUGCCCUCAUGUUAAACCUUGUAUCAGUAAACUUAUCAUAAGUUUCAAUACCUUGUUCCCAUAACUCUUUUAGCUCAUCAAUUAAAGGACGCAAAUACACAUCCAACUCCUUGCCUGGUGCCUUUGGGCCUGGAAUAAGCAAAGUCAUUAUUGAAUACUGUUGUUUCAUACACAUCCAAGGAGGUAGAUUGUAAGGAACCACCAUCACUGGCCACAUACUAUAAGAUGUGCUCAUAUUCCCGAAUGGGUUAAACCCAUCUGUUGCAAGGCCUAACCUUAUAUUUCGUGGCUCUUCUGCAAACUCAGGGUACAUCUUAUCAAACUCUUUCCAAGCAAUAGAAUCUGCUGGAUGCCUCAUAACACCUUCAUCAUCAACUCGUUUAUUCUUAUGCCACCGCAUGUGACCUGCUGUAUGUUCAGACAUAAACAACCUCUGUAAUCUUGGCUUUAAAGGAAUAUAUCGCAACACUUUUUGGGGCACCAUUUUUUUCUUUUUACUAGUACUAGGUUUAUACCUAGGCUCAUCACACACUGGACAUUUAUCUUUACUUUUAUGCUCUUUGUAAAACAAAGCACAGUCGUAAAUACAUGCAUCAAUUUUUUCAUGCCCCAAACCCAAAUCUUUCAACAUCUUAUUAGCGGCAUAGAAUGAUGGAGGAAUGCUAUGAGGCUGUGGACAAAUAGCACUGAGUAUUUGUAACAUUUGAUCAAAUGACUUGUUGCUCCAAUGAUGAAGUACCUUCGUAUGCAUGAAUUGUACCAUUGCUGUCAAAACUGAUGCAUUGCUACCGGGAAACAAUUGUCGUUGAGAUUCAGCAAUCAACUUCUCAUACUUAUCCAUCUCAACCCUAUGUACAUCGGUAUCAUCCCCCACAUCUUCAUUGUCCCCCAAUGUAUCAUCUACAACUCCCAAGUCUGGUGGGAAUGCAUCAUUCAAAAUAUUAUGCGUAUAAUCAUCAAGACGAGGUGCCUCUUGAGCAGUUGCAGGAGGUGAAGCUUGUCUUGUUAUCUCGAAUUGUUCCCCAUGGUAUAUCCAUGUGUGAUACACCACUGACAUCCCAUACUGCCAUAAAUGUGCUUGGACAACCGGAAGAGAAUGGCAAUUCAUAUUCUGGCACUUCAUACACGGACAUGGAGUCUCAUUCUUCUCAUCCACAUGUUGGCUUGCAACUUCCAUAAAUGACUGAAUUCCAGCACGAUAUUGAUUACUCAACCUGUUUUUAUUAUGUAUCCAAUCCCUGUUCAUCUCUAACACACCUUGUCUCUGUCUUCUUAUACCUCCUAUAAUGGGCCUUAUCCAAUUCAAUCGGUGAUGACUUGAAGCAGUUCCAAAAUUUCAUAACAUGAUUAGAUCGAACACAUUUAUAGAUAUAAGCAAAUAACUCUUUCACAGAAUGACAAGCUAAUAACUCUUUCACAUGAAAAUUAUAAAAAGAGAGAUUCCAUAUUAAUUAUGCUUUUCAAGGGUAAGUAUCAUGGUGACAAAUUUUUUUUACAAUUAUUUCAACAUUAUUUUGCAUAAUUUAGUUGAACCCAUGAAAACAGUUUAAAAAAAAAUGAAGGCAGGCACAAGAUUUGUAGCUAUUCAUACCUCUAAAGCAAAUAUAGCCUCUUAAGCAAGUAUUCCAAACAACCUAUUGGAAAAAAAUAUAUAUAUUCAGUUAGACACAGUAAACCCAUGACACAAGUCAAAAAAAAGAAAAAAAGGCAGAUGCCAGAUUUUUAGCUAUCCACACCUCUUAAGCAAGUAAUUCAAACACCCUACUGCAAAAAAGAAAAAGAAAAAGAAAAUCUGUUAGACAAUGUAUCUUUGGAGGGCUUGAGUCCAAAUUAGUCUUCAAACUCAAAAUAGUAUAUGCCUUCGCCUCUAAGUUUAACCACUCAUCAUUAAACAAACAAAAACAUUAUUUUUCUGAGUUAACUCAAAACAGUAACGUAAUAAGACAUCACAGGAAGCACCAAAUAUCCAAGAUAAAAGUCUCAACAAAAAACCAAAUGGUUCAAAAUAAUAUUGUAAUCAACGCAUCCACUUUAUACAGUUAUAACAUGUACAAUGAAUAAAGUCAGGCUUAAGGUCACAUGUCUCUCAUGUAGUAUAUGAAUUAUCUGAAAUUAGUAAUUAGGCUCUUCAUCUCAAUUCCAUAACAAAUUAUAAUUCAUUACAGUUCUUAAUUAUUAUGCCUUAUAAAUUAUUAUAAAAACCAUUUCAAAUUAACAAAAAUUUACCCUUGAAGCUAAUUGAAUGACCUUCCAUAAUAUUCAAGCUACCAAUGAUCAUCAUAUAAAGCCAAAAUGGUUUGUUAAAAAAGAAAAAAAAAACGUAGCUGGAAGAGCUUGAAAAGGAUUUCCAAAACAAUCAAACCAACAUUGAAGGAUGAUACUCCAUCAGUUAAACUCUAUUGUCCAAUUAAGUGGUACUACACUCAGACACCAAUACUAAGGGAAAGAAAAAUAAUUCCUAAACUGACCAGUUAAUCUAUGGGACGAUGGCCCUGCAGCUAUAGCUUAUAUAUAAAAUAUAGAGACAACUUUGCAGCUAGUUUAUACCUAAACUAUAAAGAGAACUCAAUAAGCUACAUUGGCAAAAAAAUCAAUAACAAUAACAAAAAUAAAAAAAACAUAAGCUCACAGACAAAGGCAAACGAACCUUGAAACGAAUACACCCACAGACCAACUUCCAACUUCUAACUUUUUACUUCAAUUAUAUAAAUGAAUUGUUAUAUUCUUUCUUCCAAUAGAUAGUAAAGAAAUUCAGAAUUAAUCCAGAAGUAUCAAGCAAACAUUCAAGACUUGGAAAACAACCAAUCAGACUCAAAGCAUUAAAACAUAAAAAAAAUGAAAUAAUUAUUGGGUACGUGUGCAAGUGAAACAUCUCAAAUUUGAACAGAACCCACAUCAAAUGCAAAACAGGGCAUUCAUAUCAGACACAGAACCCUACUCAAAUUUGACAUAGAACCCACAAUAAUUAACUACUUGAAAAAGAAAAGUCAUUUUAUUCAGAAAACUUGGACUGUUGAAUGUUCAAGCAUUUAAGAUAUCAAAAAGGAAAAAUCAAGCACUGAAAUUCAGUUUCGAUUUAAAUUCCUGGGUAUCUAUUUUCGAUUUUCCUUGAUUAUUUUCUCAACAACCAAAUGGAAUCCACAACUGAAAAUCAGAGCUCAAAAGAAAAUGAAGGUAAGAGAGACAAGAUAGACUCACCAUAAGCUUUCCGUUGAAACACGUAGUGAGGAGGACUUCGGAGAUGGAGUUUUCAGAUGGCCGUCGAUUCCUGACCGUGGUAGGGAAAGGCGUGCGAGAUGGAGUAUCGCUUGCUGACGUUGGUGGAGGAUUGCUCUGCCGACGUCGGUGGAGGAUUCCUUUGCCGAUGUAAAACAGUGAAGAGUGGGUCUGAGAGGAAAUAACCAAUCGGGAACUUUUUAGUUCAUAUUUUUGUAUUUAAACUCUCCAGAUUAGCCCCAAAAACUAUUUGGUCGCCCAUAUGCUAAUAUACAUAAAACUACGUCGUUUUAUGGCUUACAUUUUUAAAAGCACAAUGAUCUGCGACGAAAACCAAAUAGUCGCUGGCCCCACGAAAUUUUUACGCGCCAAUUCUAACUUAGCGACAACACAUUAAAACUCAGCGACCCAAUAUUUUCGUCGCCAAAACUUUUGAAGUUUCGCGCGCACUCAAUUCCGCAAAUCGCGACCAAAUAUACGUUUGGUCGCCAAGUCCUUGCCUAACCACCAAAAACUUUCGUCGCCCUUAGUUGAUAAAUUAGUCGCUAUUUAGUUGACUCAAGUCAUCACGGAUGUCUAAAAAUCACAAAUCUUUUGGCGACCAACUGGAAAAAUUUUGUCACCGAUUCUCUUUUUGGCGACGCAAAUAUGGUGCGUCGCUAAAAAUUUCGUCGCAAAAGAGGUUUUUCCUUGUAGUGAAUGUUGUCGCGCAUAACCUUUUGCUCGACGGCAAAUUGGGUCGCGCGAUACGUGCCCACAAAAUUUGUGCGACGCAAUACUGUUGUCGCAGAAAUCCAUUUUAGCGACGAAAACGUUCAUCGCGCAAAAAUAAUUAUAUGUAUUUAAAAAAAAUGAAACAUUAUUUUUUCGGAAUAUAUAAAUUUGCGCGACGACAAAGCUUUCGUCGCGCAAAAUUAAUAUAUACAUUUAUUAUAUAAUUAUAAUAUUACUUUUGUUUUAUUUUAUAAAAAAAUAAAUUUGGUUUUCUUUUUUGGGUAAUAAAAUGAAAUUCCAAUAAUAAAAAAAUUGAAGUCAAUAACAAAUUUAUUAUAUAAAAUAAAUGUAUGCUACAAGAGAAAGAUUUAAAAAAUAAUUACGAAAAUAAAAAAACUAAUCGAAUAAUGUUCCAAAAUCUACAUUAUCGUCUGGCACAUGCGGUUCAGAGGUCUGGGGGUCUACAGGGGCCGGCGUCUGGUGGGGAUGCUCGGGAUGGACGGGCUCGGAGGUCGGCGCAUCAAAAUGCGGAACUGGAAUGCCGGACUGUGCGAGAGACUGCAGAAUGACCGACAUCUGACUCUGAAGAGUGGCCACCUAUGCUGUCAAAGCAGUGACCUGACUGUUUGACUGCUCUGAUGAACGGGGUUUGGGUUCCCUCCGCCUGGCAUUCCCUAUCCCUUGACAAUAUGUCCCCGGUCUCCUCCCUAGAGUCUGAUCCAAUGUCUCCGUCAAGAUCUGAAACCCAACAUCCUGUGCAGGAUCCACAGACUCGAUCGGAGUAUCGGGAGGAAGUUGGGAGGCGGACUCCUGAAGAACCAACUGGCUCCUCUCCACCAUCGUCGUCUGUUUAGCAUAACAUAAAAUAUAAAUUCAAACAUUCAUAUAAAAACCUUUAAAGUUGAAUGCGUAACAUAAGAAUUAAAAUUAAAUAAUACUUACAUGAAGGGACUCGGCCAACUCAUUCCCAGGUCGAACAUAAACGUCGCCAAAGAUGUCGAUAUCUGAGAAUUUGGACCCCCCCAAAAUUGAACAAAAGAAGAAAAAUAUUAGUACGAAAAAAUAAAUUAAGAAUAAUGAAAAAGUAAAAAUUAAAUAAAAAUUAUUUUAUUAUUACCUGACGCCGUGCAUCCAUCCUAUACGAGAAGGGCCUGGAACCCGAAUGAUGGAGAAGAGUCUUCUUCUUCCUAUUGCCCUUAUUGAUUUGGGCUUUAUUCUGUUAUACAAAAAAUAAAACGUAUUAGUUGAAAUUGAAAUUAAAUAUAAAAAAUUAAAAAAACAUUAGUAAGAAAAUAAAAUAAAAUAUAAAAAAUUACCACAAAAGCGGGCGCCUGAAAAUGAGCGCAGAGCCACGCCCAACUAUCCUCCCGGCCCUCAAGCUCUUUCGGACAACCCUCUUGAAGAGCGACUUGCGGAUCAUCAAACGCCUCAAAAUGGUGGUUCAAGUCGCUCUUCCACUGUUUGUACCUCUCAGAGAAGAGUCUGUUGACGUACGCCAAUGACUCUUCGUCAAGGUCCUCCAAGUUGUAGUUCGUCUGCAAUAAAUUAAUUACAUACAUUUAAAAAAUAUAAAUAUAACGUUUGAAAGAAAAAGAAUGAAAAGGCCUACAUACCGACAACUGGCCGCGAACCUCAGUCUUGGUCUCGUCAGGCAUCACCUUCCAAGACUUCCAUUGCAUCGGGCAAUAGCUCCGAAUGACAUGACCAAUGUCGUCGGCCAAGGAGCUAUGCAACUCCGCCGUCGGUGCAGCUCGAUGUCGCUCGUCGUAACCGAUGUUGAUACGACUGUUGGUCACUCGGGUGACCUUCGCCGUCUUCAACUGCCGACACGGCCCUCGGGUGUUCUUCUUGGCUGCAAAGAAAGAUGACAUGAAUGUUAAAUAAAUAACAAAUUUAACAAUAAAAUACACACACACACAAAAACAAAAACAAGAAAUAAAAAAGAAAAUUAACUGGAGAAAAAGGAAAGCUAUACCUGGCUGUGACCCCGAUGCAUCAGUGGAUGUGGUGUCGGUGGUGCUGGAGGGCCGAUGACGCCGCCUGGCGCUAACAGGCUGCGCCACUGAUGACGCUGAUGAGGCAGGCGCCUGGGACCCCGCAGGUCCAACUGCCAACUGGUCUAUCAAUGCUGGCGCAGUGGCAGCAGAUGUCGGCUGAGUCGGGGGCUCAGAACUCUGCGUGGUCGUCACCGCCCUACGACGUCUAAUCAGGUCUGACAUCUGCACAAUUUCAUUAAUACACAUACAAAUUAAUAAAAUAUACAAAUAUUUGAAAACACAUACAAUUUUAUUCAGAUUAUUGACCUAGGGUUUGCGAGUUCGGAGUAUCCGGGACUCCGAUCCACGAUCCGUCGAAUCCUAGACGAUCCAAGAAUACAAGGUACACCAUGCGUGAGUUUGAGUUCGAUCCAACGGUCUGAACAUAACAACCCCGGAAAUCGCACAAUAGGCAAAAUUCGUUCGAGACGCAAACAGUAACCAAAUUCCAAUCCGAAAACACCUACGCGCUCGUGACAACUACAGGAUUGCACUGGGACCUAAUUCAGGUGGCUACAGUAACCCACGCGCCGCCCCACGCGCCGGGAGCCGCGGGUGUCCAAAGCAAUACCAAUCGCUGGAAAAUUCUAAAAACUAAGGGCCAAGGUUCCUACCCUAGGUUCAAAACAUCAAUUGGAGCCACUUUUGUUCUCGGACAUACCCCGAAAAAUGGUCGGAAGUGGCCGGAAUUGAAAAUCAAAAACCGGCCCAAACUUAGGGUUUCAAAUUAACUGCCCUAUUACAACAAUUUCAGAAAUCCUACCCAACCAUCAGAUAAAGCAUCAAAAAUAGGACAGAAACCAUACCUCAGGUGUCGGAAUUGGUCGCCGGAGGAGAGAGAUCGACGGCGGCGCAGAUUCGAUGAAAAUCGAAGAAAUUGCGGCGGCUGGCUCGACGGUGAGGGCGGGGGAGCUCCGGGGUACCACCGUUGUGGCGGCCCGGUCCAAAUCCACCGGGGUAGGAGACGGAGCUGACGGCGGAGAGAGAGACGAAGAGGUUUAGAGUUUCUGCAAUCUGGGAAGAAUGAGGCCAUCGCGUGGUUUCUGAAAUUUUAUUCGUUUUUGCGCGACGAAGGUAAGCAAACGUCGCGCAAGAAAUUUUAAAUGACUAUUGCGUGACGAAACAGGUACGUGUUCCGUCGCGCAAUGUCGUUAAUCCGCCAAAAUUUGGUAAAAGGGUGGUUUUUGCCCGACGCACAACGCAGCUUGUCGUCGCGCAAUGUUGGCAGUCUGCCAAAAUUUGGGGUUUAGGGUUUAGCAGGCGAUAUUGAAAUCUUGCGCGACGCACAACGCAGCCUGUCGUCGCGCAAUGUUGGCAGUCCGCCAAAAUUUGAGAUUUAGGGUUUAGCGGGCGAGAUUGAAAUCUUGCGCGACGCACAACGCAGCCUGUCGUCGCGCAAUGUUUGCAGUCCGCCAAAAAUUGGGACCUAGGGUUUAGAACUUGCGCAACGUAUACGUGGACCGUCGCGCAAAAACUCGCAAAAAAAUGUAUGCUAACCGUCCAAGGCGAAAGACGGUGAAAAGGAGAAAGGGCUGGCUGAGAUUGCGCGACGAGUACGUACAGCGUCGCGCAAAAACUCGCAAAUUUUUUUGACUAAGUGUCCAAGGAGGAAGAGUGUGGAAGGUGAAAGUUCUGGCUGAUAUCGCGCGAUGAACAGCAUUGGUUUCGUCGCGCAAGACUCUUCCAUGCAGGCUAUGUGCGACCAAUUAUACUUUGUCGCGCGCUGUUGUAAUAACGGCAACAUUUUUGGUUUUAUUGUGGAGAGAUUGCGCGACAAAAAUGUAAACGUCGCGCAUGUCAGCUCUCUGUAAACGCGAAAAUAUUUGUAACCAAGUGUUGAAGGAGGAAGCGCGACGACGAGUCGUUUAUUCGUCGCGCAAGACCGUUGUUUGGAGGCUUUGUGCGACCAAAGAGAGUUAUUCGUCGCGCAAACCCUAAACCCUAAAGCGCAGAAACCCUAAACUCGGAACUAGUUUUCAUGAUCCAACCGGCAAACUUGUUUUUUUAUACUUCGAGAUCGUAUAUGCCGAAAAUCAAAAAAAACAAACAUUAAGAGAUCAAGUAACAGGACAAAACUUGUCGACGGUUCUAAAUGAAAAGUCAUGAUUUAACGUUUAUUUUUGCUCUGAUUUGUAUGAUUUUUUACAGCUACUUUUCUUUACCCUAUAUGAAUACAAUUACUAAAUUUGAUCUUCAAUUUCAGAUGUUUACACUAGGGUGAUACGACAUAAUGUUAUGUUAUAUUUAACGAAAGUAUAAGUAAACUAUUCAUUGUUGCUGAAUAUAUGGUUUUGAUGGCAAACGCAUUCUACGAAAAUAGGUUCAGCAAUCCAGCCGUCAAACUUGUUUAUUUGUACUUCGAGAUCUUAGACCCCAAAAAGCGAAAAAAUCAAACAUUCAGAGAUCAAGUAACGGGACAAAACUUUUGAACGGUUAUAAAUGAAAACUCAUGAUUUAACGAUUAUUAUAACUCCGAUUUUGAUGAAUUUUUACAGCUACACUCCAUGACCCUAUAUGAAUACAAUGAACUAACUCGAUCGUCAAUUUCAAAUAUAUAUGUGCAUAUAUAAUAUAUAUUAUAAAAUAAUAUAUAUUUGCGCGACGAACAUAUGUUUAUCGUCGCGCAAACUUUCAUCGCGUGACGGACGACACGUUGUCGCUCAAUUUUUUUACUUCACGCGACUAGUGUAUUUUGGGUCAUGCAAAAUUUGCACGACGAGGUUUACUUCGUCGUGCAAACAUGGCACGACGGGGUUUACUUCGUCGCGCAAGGGUUUUCAGUUUUGAAAAAUGUUUGUUGUCAAUAAUUUUCAAACUUUGUAUAAAAAUGUUUGGAUAUAUUUAUUUAUCAAUGUUUUAUAACAAAUUUUGUAUCAUUUUCAUUUUGUAAAUGUGUUUUGUCAAAAAAAAAAUUAAAAUUUAUUAUUAAUAGGGUUUCGAUAUAUUGAUUUACCAAUGUUUGAUAACUAAAUUUAUUUGAAUAAUGUUUCAGUUGUCCACAUAUAUAAGGUUUGGAUAUAACAACUACAUAUAUUCAAACAUUUGUAUUACACAAAGUCUGUACAGUAACAUAAUAAAAUUACAAAAAAUUUAAUUAUUCAUCAUCUGAACUAUAAUAACUUUCGUUAUCGUCGCUAUCAUCACUUUCGGUCUCCCAAUCCUCCUCCUCCUCCUCUACUAUAACUACAUCAUCUUCGCUGCUCGGGCCCACUACAACAUCGAAUCUUGGAAGAUCCCCGAGGUCAAUUGUAAUUGACUGAAUCGGUAUUUCGAUUGAAGACACUCCUUGUAUUUGAAACGGUUCUUGUAUAACAUGUGUAUCUCGAAGUGUUUCCGCAUCAUUUUCCAUUGAUGAUUCUAAACGUUGGUCAGCCACAUUGUCGACGUCGUUGUCAGUUAGGUCUAGUUCUGGUAUAGCAUACACGUUCCUAUGAUCCAUCUUCUGAACAACUUUCCAACUGCUCCCGGCUUUAGGGUCAUCUAGAUACACAAUUUGUGUUGCCAUGUUUGCCAAAAUGUAAGGGUCGUCAUCAUACCAAGUUCUGUUAAUGUUCACAGAUAGUAAGCCAUGGUCGAUUUUAACACUUCCCGGCCUAUUUGGGUUGCUAUCAAACCAUCGACACUUAAACAUGAUCAUUUGGUAUCGAUCUUUGUAAAGCAAUUGAACGACAUUUGUGAGUUUGCCAUAGAAAUUAAUGUUUGUACUUUCGCCUCCACCUGGGACAUGGACACCGCUGUUUUGCGUACACAACUUGUCAUCUCGUGCAGCCCCCAAAAAUUUAACGCCGUUAAUAUAACAACCCGAAAACAAUUCAGCGCGAAUCGGGCCGAAGGCCAAGUUAUAUAACUCAUCACUGUAAGUGGGGGAAUUCGAUGAUUUCAACUUAUUCACCUAAUAUAAUAGAAAACCAUUCACAUGUUAGUCUGAUAAAUUAAAUACUACAAUUUAUAUUUGUGAAAUACAAAACACUUAUAACUUACAGAUUCCAAAAACCAUUGUGGAAACAAUUCACAUUGUUUCUGGGCAACUAAAUGUGAUGGAUGUUCUCGCUUCAUCAUCUCUUCAUGCUCAUCUAAGUAUGCCAUUAUCUCGUCACAAUUGUUCAGUACGAACCAAUGCGCUACUUCCAUGUCAUUUCUAGAAAACGACUCUCCUCGUCCAGGAUCUCCAAAGGGCCGUGCGCUUUGGGCAAAAACAGAAAGUUUUUCCUUCUCAUACCUCCGUCGUUAUUACGCUGAGGACGAUUGAAAGCCGUCUCCACAUCUUUUAAAUACAUUCCACAGAAAGUAAGCGACUCAUAUUGAACCCAAGCCUCUAUAAUUGAUCCUUCGGGCUUCGCCCUGUUGCGUACACUUUUUUUCAGCUCUCCGAGAAGCCUGUCAAAAUAAAAAGAUAUGAUACAAAUUAGCAAGCCUGUGAUAAUGAUGCAUACACAAACGAAAAGGAUUAUAUACCUUUCUAUUGGAUACAUCCAGCGAUAGUUGACAGGACCAGCAAGCAAUGCCUCUUCUGGCAAGUGAACCAUCACGUGCAUCAUACUUGUGAAGAAAGCUGGAGGAAAUAUCAUCUCAAACUUGCAUAGGACUUGGACAAUGUCAUGGCGCAACUGCAAUAUGUCUGUCUUUCGCAAUGUUUUUGCCGUCAGUUGGGAAAAAAAUCUGGACAACAACAUAAUUGGCUUCACAACAUCUUUCGGCAAUAGAUGUCGAAUACCCACAGGAAGUAGGCGUUGCAUAAACACAUGGCAGUCAUGGCUCUUAAGUCCAGUAAAUUUACCCCCGUCAACAUUCACGCAACGUGCGAUAUUAGAAGCAUACCUAUCAGGAAACUUUACAGACGAUACAAACUUUAGAAACUCUUUUUUGUCAUUCGGUUUCAUAGAAAAGAAUGCAAGAUCCCUUCUUGCUUUAUCACUGUCCCUGUUCAUCCAUAAUCCCCUUCGUAUGCCCAUUCUUUCCAAAUCAAGACGGGCUUUGAUUGUGUCCUUUGUCUUGCCCUCGAUAUCUAGAAUCGUGCCCACCAAUGUGUCAAAUACAUUUUUCUCAACAUGCAUCACAUCUAGAUUGUGCCUCAAUUUGAGUUUCGACCAAUAUGGGAGCUCAAAAAGCAUAGGCUUGUGAGUCUAGUUCAUAUGUGUCGAAGGUCUGGUCCGGCUAACUGUUUUUUCGAACGGAGCAAAAUCCAAACGGUUAAGCUGUUCCAAGAUCUCAUCACCGGACCAUUCUCUAGGUCUGAGGCGACGCUCUGUGUUCCCGUCGAACUCUUUAUCUUUUUCCCGCCACUCGUGGUCCCAUGGCAACCAUCUCCGAUGACCAAGGUAACAAACUUUUCCCGCGUGCCAACCAGAAGUUACAUCUUCCUUGCAUACAGGACAUGCCAUAUAACCCUUUGUGCUCCACCCAGAAACCAUUGCAUAUACUGGAAAAUAAUUCACAGUCCACAUAACUGCUGCCCGCAAAGUGAACAUCUUCCCAGUUGAUUUAUCGUACGUGCGAACACCGUUUGUCCAUAAAUCCUUCAGCUCAUCAACCAGCGGCCUUAAGUAAACAUCGAUUGACCUCCCAGGAUCCUCAGUUAUCAAAACAGUCAUCAUCAUGUAUUCUUUUUUCAUGCAUUUCCAAUGCGGCAAAUUAUAUGGGAAUACGAAAAUCGGCCAAGUGCUGUGGUGUUGGUUUAGAACCCCAUACGGAUUGAAUCCGUCAGUGGCAAGUCCUAAUCUCACAUUUCGGGGAUCAGCAGCAAACUCGGGGAACGUUCGAUCGAACUAUUUUCAUGCCUCCCCAUCUGCAGGAUGCCGCAUUACAUCAUCGUCUACCCGUUUUUCCUUAUGCCAUCUCAUGUCUGUUGCAGUGUGCGUCGACAUAUACAAUCGCUGCAACCUAGGUUUCAGGGGCAGAUAACGCAUGACUUUUUGUGGGAUCUUAGUCGUUCUAUUCUGAGAUGUCAUUUUGAACCUCGACUCAUUGCAUAUAAGGCAUGUAUCCAACGUUUCGUGCUCCUUGUAGAAUAACAUGCAAUUAUUUUUGCAGGCAUGAAUUUUUUCAUAACCCAAUCCAAGACCAUUCAACACCUUCUGCGCGUGUUUAUGAUCUUUUGGCAAACAAUUGUCCGUCGGAAGCAUUCUCUUGAAAACCCCUAAAAAGUAAUCGAAACACAGGUUCGACAUACGAUACUUUAUUUUUCCGUGCAUUAGCUCUACAAUGGUCGUGAGAACGGAAAAGCUCUCGCACCCCGAGUAUAACUCUUGGUUUGCAUUUUUUAACAGUUUUUCAUAUUGUUCAAACUCCGCGCUGUCUAUUGGUGUUGGCACGUCAUCUUCCCUUUCGUGAUUGAUGUUGGUCGAUGCAAAUGGAAAAAUAUCCUCUAUAAUAUCCAUGACUUGAUCAUUAGGAUCCACAAUAUGUUCAACACUGUCCAUUCUUGUGGCAUUUGAAGACGAAGCAUAGUCUAAUUGUUCCCCAUGAAGGUUCCAAAUGCUAUAUGUCUCAAUCAUUCCAUUCCUUACUAAAUGAAAUCCAACAUUUUCAAUUGUCUCCCACAACGUGUUAUUACACCUCCUACAAGGACAUCGGAUUCUAGUUGCACCCGGGUUGUGUCUACGUGCAAACUCAAUAAAAUCCUCGAUUCCAUCCAAGUAUUCGUCUGAGCAUCUAUUUGGGUUCUAUAUCCACCUUCUGCUCAUAAUUCCUGAAACCAUAAUCACAACAUAACAAUCACAACAACUUCAUACGAAGUUAUAAUGUCACCUUAUGCCUCCGGUAAGGGCCCUAUCCCAUUCGGGAAUGCAUAGUUCUGUCACGUAACCUACGGCUACAUGAGAUUAGAUUUCGACAUGGAUGAAUUUCGGCAGCAUCUCGAUACAGUUCUUGAGGUGGGCAUAGGUAUUAAUACCUACGUACCACCCGAAGAACGUACCGAGAUGACACCGAAAUCUCCACAAUCGAAACCUAAUCCUGUAGCUGUGGAUUACGUGACAACACUAUGCAUUACCAAACUGUCCAAAUAGUGGGACAAUUCAAGAAUUAAUUGGACCGCAGUCAUGCUUUACGCAUCCAUGUACAAAAUCCAACUAAUCUCGAACGGGAAACUAAAUGUUACUAAACAUACAAAUAAAAGUACGAAGUUAAUUUCAAUUAACUUCGUACAUCACAACACAUUGUGCUACAUCACACACAAUUUAACAACAUAAUAUAAAUAUAACUUCAGAAAAAAAAAUGUACACAUAACAAACUAACUUUAACAUUUUUAAUAUAUAAAACGAAUAAAAUACCGUGUCAAUCGUUCUCCACCAAUCGCUAAUUAUAAAUAUCCCUAACGAGAAUAAAAUUAAUAGCGUUAGUACGAAUUUACAUUAAUACUUAUAAAGUAACGACAACAAAUACUUACCCGAUGAACGUACUGAAUUUCCAGCAGAGACAGCGGUAGAGAGGUUGAGAGAGAGGCAGAAAGGAAAUUUUUUUCCUUUCUGCCUCUGCAAUGGCAGAGUUCUGAUAUGAAGAAGAAGGACUUUACGCGACGAAUAAUAAAAUCCGUCGCGCAAAAUACCGUCGCCAAAAACCUUUUUUUCGUCGCACAAAACGAGUUUUUUCCGUCGCGUAAAAGCUUGUCGACAAAAAAACUUUUGCGCGACGUAAGAUGUCUGCGUCGCACAAGAUUCCGUCGCGCAAAUUCUUGUCCUCGUCGCCCAAAAACAAAAUUCCGUCGCGUAACAAUUAUUCUUCGUUGCGCAAGAAUGUACCGACAUCUGCUUUACGCGACGAAACAUAUUUCGUCGCGCAAAAUAAAAUAUCCCCCCUCAAUUAUUUUGGCGCCAAAUUAUAAAUAUCCUUCGUUUUCUUACGCGACGAUAAAUGGUUUCGUCGCGCAAAGUUGUCUUUUGCGACGAAACCUGUCGUCGCAAGAGUUUUCGCAGCCAAAUCACCUCGCUUUUACGCGACGAAGUAUACCAUCAUCGCGCUAUGUUUUCUUACGCAACGAUUGCUCUCGCCGCGCAAGUAUUUGGCGCCAACAGAAUACCCGGGUUUUUUUUUCCCCCCUUUGCGCGACGAAGUUGUUUUUAUGUCGCGCUAAGAUGUUUUGCGCUUCGAAAACUUUGGUCGCGCAAGUUGUAAAUUUUUUGCGCGACGAUGUAUUUUUUGCGUCGCUUUAUUGCGUUUUGCGUGACGAAUAUGUAUUCGUCGCGCAAACUUUUGUCGCGCAAAUAGUAAAACGUAGUAGUGAACACCCUUUUAUAUGUACAAAUUUUUUACAUUUUGAUUUUGUCUUUACAAUGUAUCCAUUAAUAAUUCUAAGAAUAUGAAAAAAUUUGCAACUCUUCUUUUGGUACGAUUGAGAAUUGACUUGGUGAACUCUUAUAUAGUGUUUGUGCAUAAAGGCCCUUGACAACUUUCUCUCGAGUAAUGAACUUCUAAUCUUUUUUUUUUUUUUUUUUUUUUUUUGUGUGGCUACAACUAAGUAGAUCCAACAUAUUUUUUUUAACAACCAAGGACAAUCAUCAUAUUUUUUUAAGAACCAAGGAUAGCUUACAUUCUAUAGUUUGUCCAUCAUGUCAACACAUUUAUAAUUAAAACUUUUUUUUUUUUUUGUGAGGUUUCAAUUUUGGUGUCACUGUAACAAGACCACAAUUGCCAUUCAGUAUGCUAACAUUGUCACUAUGUUUGCCAAUUGCAUAUUAUGUAGAAUAUGAAGGCUUUGGUGUUUUGUAGAUCCUCGGGGAGCCAAACCCGUCUUUAUAAAAAUGGUCCUUAUCAAGGGUGGAACCAGGAAUUUUUCAACGGGUGGGCUAGCUAAAGUUAUUAGCUUAAAAUUUAAUGAUUAUUUUUUUUUGGUACUUCCAAUUUCUAUAGUCUUUCUAGAAAUAAAAGUAAACAUUAAAUCAUAUAUACCAAGCUAGUUCAUAGCUCCAUAGACUAAUUUUCAAUAAGUUUUAACAUAAACUAAAUAGGGUUUAACACCAUAGUGGAUUGAACAUCUAAGGCUUUUUACCUAGAUUGACCUGAGAUUCCUUCAUGCAUUCAUAUCAUACAUGAAAAGUUGUUUUAUGUAAAAAUAUUGACUAAGUAUGAAAAAUGGAUUUUCGGAAUAAUCAUUUUUUCAAGAUAAUUUUUGGCGGCUUUUAUUCCUCACACAUCAAAUAAGAAAACUUGAUUUUAUGGAAUUUUUGUAUGAAAUAUAUAUUGACUUAAUGAGCCAUCAUUUUUAGCCUAAAUCAUAUUUUGCACUAAAACCGAUUUUUCAUAUUUUGAUUAUGUGGGAAUUUGAACUUGUAUCAUUUGAUGAUGCCAUGUGAAUCGCUAGAAACAUGUAAAGUGUAUGGCUAACCCAAUAACGAAAGUUUCGUAAGGGAACCGGAGUAGGCUACCAUGAGAACAAAACGGAUUCUUCCAAUGUAUAAAAUAAAAAUUCCAAUGGCUUUUGCUAUUAUAACCUUCCCGACCACGAUUUUUUCUUUUUUUCUAGGCAUUUCACCUAUAAAAAAAAAAUUGUAUUGAUACUAUUGGAACAAAAAGGGCGGGCCCGGCCUGGUCAGUACUUAGCCGGGCCGUGGAACUAAAAAGGCCCUUCGGAUCGGAUGAAAAAAAAUUAUUAGGGUUUUUUAAGCCUUACAAAUUCCAUUUAUGUAUGUACUCCCGGGAAACAUACAGUACUCUAUUCCACAUUCCACAGAUCGGGAGUAAUCUAUAGGAGUUCUUGAAAGUAAAGGAGCAAUAAAAAAUUUCUUGUUAUAUCAAGAGGUUUGUUAUUGCUCCUUUACUAUUUAGUAUUUUUUUUUAUUUACUACUUAACUUUACUAUAUUGUUCUAUAUUUUUUUUUAGUUAAUUUACUAUAAAAUUUAAUUUCCCCAGAUACCGUCAUUGCUUCUUCUCUGGGAAAAGAAGUUCACGACUCGUAGGCCUUCUACCUCCACGCAUCAUUGCUCCGUCAGGCUUUCGCCCAUUGAGGAAAAUUCCCCACUGGAUCAGAAUGAAGAAUCAAAAUAGAUUCUUAAAGUAGACAAACAAAAGGGGUUAGAGACCACUCAAUAAAUGAAAUACCUAAAAGGUUUCUUUUGAGUUAUUUGAGAGUUACUAGUAUUUUUAUUUUAAUCUAAAUGGGGGGUACUUCCUUAUUUAUAUUGUAAACUUGAGUAAAUAGAAUAAUAUAAAAAUAAAUAAAAGUAAAAUGACAAAACAAUAUGUACAGCGCCACUAACUGGCUAAUAUUGAAAAUAAGUUACAUAUAUAGGUUUUAUAUUUUUUUUUUCUUAAAAAAUCACACUAGGCUACAGCCCACUGUAGCCUUUAGUGUGGUUCUGCCCAUGGUCCUUAUGAUACUACUUUAACAACAACAAAAAAGUAUAAUAAACUAGGCCUUUGUAGUCAUUGAAAUGGAUGUUUUGUCAUGGAUAUGACUAUUUAAAUGUAAUUACGGGAUUAAAACAAUAUAAAUUGGAGUAAACUAUAACAUUAUAUAUGAUCCAAUCUUUUUCAUAUAUUUUUGUUCAAGACUUUGUUUUAGAAUGCUCUAUUACUAAUUUGGUAUAGGUCCCUAAAAUCUAUGCCUUUAUGAGGCAACGUCUUUAUUUCUUUGGUUAUUCCAGUUUAGAAUAUUUGGACAAAUGAGAUGACUCCCAACAUAAAGUCACAUUCAUCCAAAAAGCAUGAAAUCACACACAAAAAGAACACGGACAAUUACUAAGUUUAUCCUUGUAUUUUUAUUUUAUUGAUCCGACCCAAUUGAAAAAUAAAAAAAAGAUGAUAAAAUAUAUUGUUCAUUGCUUACAUCUGUGAGUAAAGUCCUCCAUUUGAAAUUGCGUCAUUACACAAAAUUGGAAUGAAAAAAAUAAAAUCCUACAGCUAAAUUUGAUAUAUUUCCUUUUCAUUUUAUGUUGGGUGUUUUAAGUUUUCCUUGUAUCUUGUUGAAAAGAAAAAUGAAAAUAAAUAAAUAAAUUCCACGGCUAGCAACUUCUCCACCUACCCUUCUUCCCAUGUACUAACAACAAGGGACGCCUUCGAUCCUUAAAAAGGACAAGGGAUGCCAGGUCAGCAUCUCAGAUAAGUAUCCCAACCAAAAUCAAUCAAAUAAUGACAUAUGUAUCUCUUUUUGUAUUUUGUUCUAUUUCUCUUUGAAUUAACUGCAGAUUUUCAUGAGCGUGUCCUCCUUUUGAAAUUGUGUAUUAUUCAAAAUUGGAAUUUGCUGGUCAUAUUUGAUAUCAACUAAAAAAGUUUCCAAUAUCUUGUACCCGUUUUUUCCAGUGUGGGUCAAAAUUUGAAGAAGUCCACCGACAAUUUCUCAAAAGCUAUUACCAUAUUAUUGCAUCCAACUUUGAAAAAUAGAAGUUUUCAAAAGUUACCCCAAACAACAGUCCUUGAAAGAGAGAGUUCUCCAAGGCUAAAGAUUACAAGGAUGUUAUUUACAGUCUCAACAAGCUUCAAAAUUGGAAUUUGCAUUGUGAUAGUUGAGUGGAGGACAGGCUUGAGUGGAAGAAUUGAUUAAUUAUGGAACAGAGCCAAUGUGGAGAUUGUUGAUUAGUGGCUCAUUUAGUAGUCAAAAGUGGAAAUCAGUUUCGGUGAUUUUGUUUACUAUCAUGAUAAGUGGCUUGUCUUUGCAUGGUAAGUGAGCUGCUAUCAUAAUUAUUGAGUGGAGCACUUGCCAAAGUGGAGUUGUUGUAGUUUAUUUUUCACUCACUGAUGGUUGACGCUUCCGCACAACAAAUGAAUCAUCCAUUCCAACUUUUGUUUCUUCUUUUUUAACUAAAUUUUGAAUUUCAACGAGUUUCGCACAUUAAUAUUUAAUAUUAAUUUAUGUACUUGUACAUACAUUGCAGUAAUAUAUAUUAACAUACAUAUAUGUUCAGAGUUUAACAAUAAUAUGUGCCUAUAAACAGGGACGGAGCCGGAAAAAAUAUUCAUUGGGGGUAUCUCCAAACAAUAAAGUAAGAGUAGAAAUUUCAACAACAUACUUAAAGACAAAGUUCAUACAUUAAUGCAUAAUGUUUUUCUUCUUCCAAUAAAAAAACCUUCACCCACGAAAUAAUUAGCACCUGCUUGUUCUCCUCCAAUAUUUGGUUUUAAAAGGUAGCAGCAAAGACAAAAUGCAGAAUCAGUUUCUAUACUAUAGUCCAACAAAGUAGAAAAAUCAUCAAACCAAGCAGGAUUAAUGUUUUUCCAAAUUGCUUGUAAGGGAAAUUAUGGACUCUAGGCUGACAUGGACCUUUUUGCAAAUAUGCUCUCCUAACUUGAUCACUAACAUUAGGAUUGUAAGGGAAAACCAAGUAAACUUACCUUACCACCUUGACAUUGAGAAAAGAAGAAAGACCAGCAAGCAACUGUUUAGAGGAGGAAGAGAAGAAAGAGUCGUGGGGGUGGGGGUGGGUGAUGUGGGAUUGGGUUUUGUAAAGGGAGCUGAUUUCCCCACUCUUAUUUUCUCACACUUACACUCCUUUUUGCUUUUUAAUACUUUUUAAUCACUUUUGUUCUUUCUAUUUCCUAGUCUAUUCUUACCCUACAUUAAUUUCUUUUUUUAUUUUACUACUAUAUUAUUUCUUUUUCUUUAUACUUAAUUUUCUAACUUAUACUCCAUUUUCAGUAAUAAAGGGAAAAAAAAAACUUAAUUUCUUACUUGAUUAAAGGAAAAAAAUAAAACUAAAAAUGGAGUGCAAGUUAGAAAAUUAAGUAUAAAUAAAAAUAACUAAUAUAAAAGUGAAGUAAAAAGAAAUUAAUGUAGGGUAAGGGUAAAAUAGGAAAGCGAAGGAACAAAAUUGAUUAAAAAAUAUUAAAAAGUAAAAAAGAGUGUAAGUAGAGAAAAAGGGAGUAGUGAAAUCAUAUCUCUUUGUAAAUUGUAAUGCUUUUUAGGGUAACUAAAGAAAAAAUUUGAGUGGGUUUGGGGAGUGUAAAAGGAAUGUUUUUAUCAGUUUAAAUGGGUUUGGGUGAAUGGUUUCACGUGGGUGAGUGGGGGCAUGUGCACCCAGUGGGCCUAUGCUGGCCCCGUAUAAUAUUGUAUUUACUCUAGCGUAUAAUAUUGUAUUUACUCGAGCUCAAUGUCCUAUGAGUGGGUGCAUGCAUUCAUGUGAAAUUUGUGGUUGGCAAAAGGGGGCUUGGCAUUUCGAGUUGAUGGACGUUUUUGGGUGUGUAACGGAAGACUACUUGUUGGCAUUUCGAGUUGCUAAGGAAUAUUGUAUACAGUUAUUUGUUAGCACCCAAAAUACACAAAGAACACAGACAAUUUGCUAAGUUUAUCUUUGUGUUCGCUGCUUAGAUCCAUGAGCAUUAAAGUCCUCCUUUUGAAAUUGUGUUAUUAUUCAAAAUUGGAAUUUGCUGGAGAUAGUUCAUUUUUACCUUGUAUCAUUUUUGCCAAGUAAUUUGAAGAACUCCACCGACAAUUUCUCAAAAGCUUUUGCGUCCAACUUUGCGUAUACAUGGGGACCCCAUCCCCAUGUGAGGCCACCGAAAAGCUAUUGUGUUGUACGUACACGAUAUUAUUGAAGCCACAGAAAAGUUUUCAGAAGUUGCCCCACAAACAAAGAAGAAAAGUCCUUGAAAGAGAGAGUUUUCCAAGGCCCAGAUUACAAGUUCAUGUUAUUUACAAUCUCAAAAAGCUUCCAUACAAGUUGUGCUAGCCUAGCUACUUGCAAAAUCUUGGAAUAUUUUACUUCAUCCAAAUCCCUUGCAGUCUGUCUGCAGAGAAGAGAAAAGAUGGCUUUGAUCGGAGAGGCUCUUAUCUCUGCUUCCGUCCAGGUGUUGUGUGACAGAAUUACUUCAAGCGAGUUCGUCGACUUAUUUCGGCAGAAGAAACUGGACGAACCACUCCUCAUGAACUUGAAGACGACACUGUUGACUUUGUUCGUGGUGCUCAAUGAUGCAGAGGAGAAGCAACUUGUGAACCCUGCUGUGAGAGAGUGGCUUAACGAGCUCAAGCAUGCUGUCUUUGAUGCAGAGGACUUACUGGAUGAGAUCGACACUGAAGCUUUGCGACGCAAGCUGAAAGGUGAGGAUCAAACCCACAAAUUAACCAAUAAGGUGUGGAACUUACUCCCUUCUUCUCGUAAUCAUUUUUAUCAAAGCAUGAAUGUUAAGGUACAAGAGUUGUUGCAAAGAUUAGAAAACUUUGUACAACAGAAAAUUGCUCUUGGUCUGGGAGAAGUUGCUAGGAGGAAGGUUUCACAUAGAACUCCAACAACUUCCUUGGUUCAUGAACCUUGUGUAUAUGGUAGAGAUGAAGUCCAAGAAAAUUUAUCAAAAGUGUUGCUAUCUGAUGAUGCAAGCAAGGAUGAUGUGUCUGUCCUCACCAUUGUUGGAAUGGGUGGGGUUGGCAAGACAACCCUUGCUCGAAUGCUCUACAACAACAAUAAGGUGGAAGGGCAUUUUACACUUAAAGCUUGGGCUUGUGUUUCAGAAGACUAUAAUGCUUUUAGAAUAACUAAAACUAUUCUUGAGUCAGUCACUUCAAAGCCUUGUAAUACGACGGAUCUGAAUUUGCUUCAAGUUGAAUUAAGAGAGCAGUUGAGGGGAAAGAAAUUUUUAUUUGUGUUGGAUGAUCUAUGGAAUGAAAAUUAUGGCGAUUGGGAGCGCCUCCAAACUCCUUUUAAUUCAGGGGCCAGGGGAAGCAAAGUCAUUAUAACAACACGGAACAAAAAUGUAGCAUCUUUAAUGAAAAAUGUUCCCAUUCAAUUCUUGGAACCAUUGUCGCAUCAAGACUGCUGGUUGUUACUUGCUAAACAUGCUUUUGGAAAUGAAAACUAUAGUGCAAAUUCAAACUUGGAAGACAUUGGCAAGCAAAUUGCACUCAAGUGCAAAGGGUUGCCUUUAGCUGCACAAACACUUGGGGGUUUGUUACGUUGCAAUAUAGAUUCUGAGGAGUGGAAUAGAAUACUAAAUAGUAAUAUUUGGUACCUACCCCAUGGUACAACUGACAUUCUUCCAUCUCUAUGGUUGAGUUAUCAUUAUCUCCCCGCUCAGUUAAAACGAUGCUUUGUUUAUUGUUCACUUUUUCCAAAGGAUUAUGAGUUUGAAAAGGAAGAUGUAGUUCAAUUAUGGAUGGCAGAAGGCUUAGUUACUCAAGUUGAUAAUGGGAUGAUUAUGGAAUCAAUGGCUAGAAAAUACUUUGACGAGCUAUUAUCUCGGUCACUGUUUCAAAAGUCAAGAGAACUCAGUUUCACAAUGCAUGACCUCAUUCAUGACUUGGCUAUGUUCAUCUCUAAGGGGUUUUGCCUUAGGCUGGAAGGGGUGGAAUCACGUGAAGUUAAAAGAGCUCGUCAUUUGUCAUAUGCUAGGGGAAGAUUUGAUGUUGCUCCAAGAUUUGAACCAUUAUAUGAGGCUAAAUGUUUGCGGACCUUCCUACCUACCUCUUUAAAUCCAUAUAGAUCUUAUGAGAGAUUUUUUGUAAGUAAAAAAGUUCUACAAGAUUUGUUGCCAUCACUAAGAUGUUUACGGGUGUUAUCAUUGUCACGUUAUCAAAAUGUCACUGUGUUACCUGAUUCUAUUGGAAACCUCAUUCACUUGCGCUACUUGGAUCUUUCCCAUACUGCAAUUGAAAGGUUACCUGGGGUACUUUGCAAUCUCUACAACUUGCAGACUUUAAUAUUGUCAUAUUGUUCCUCUCUCUUUGAAUUGCCUGCAGACAUCAGAAAAUUGAUUAAUUUACAGAAAUUGACAUUGGGCGGUUGUAGUUCUCUUAAUAAAUUGCCUGCAGGCAUGAAGGAGUUGACUAAUUUGCAUCAUCUUGAUGUCAGUGGAACUAAAAUUGAAGAGAUGCCGGUGCAAAUGGGUAGAUUGAAAAGUUUGAGAACAUUGACUGCAUUUGUUGUGGGCAAAUCUACUGGGUUAGGCAUAAGAGAACUGAAGGAGUUCCCACAACUUCGAGGAAAACUAUCAAUUUUGAAGCUACAAAAUGUAGUUGAUGCGAGCGAUGCACUGCACGCCAAUAUGAAGCACAAGAAAGAUCUCAAGGAGUUAAAGUUUUCAUGGGGCGCGGAGGAUGCUGAUGAUUCCCAAAAGGAGAAAGAUGUACUCGACCAAGCUCCAGCCUUGCGUGAAUUUGGAGAAAUUAACCAUCAAAUUCUAUGGUGGAACCAAUUUUCCGAAUUGGUUAGGAGACUCGUCUUUUUCUAACAUACAAGUCAUGCAUCUCAGUGACUGUAGUUAUUGUUGGUUGCUCCCACCAGUUGGACGGCUACCGGCACUCAAAGAGCUCUGUAUAAAAAGAAUGAAGUCUUUGAGGACGAUUGGUGUUGAAUUCUAUGGGAGAGAUGGAGCUUAUCUGACUCAGCCAUUUCGAUCUCUGGAGAAGUUAGAGUUUAUGGGGAUGCCGGAGUGGGAGGAAUGGGUACCAAGUGGAAGUGCAAGUGGAGGUGAAUAUGGUCCAGACUUUCCUCGUCUCCAGGAGCUGAUUCUAUACGUGUGUCCGAAGCUAAGAGGAAAUUUGCCUUGUGAGUUGCCUUGUUUGAAGAAGCUUACGGUGUAUGGGUGUGAAGUUUUACAUGAUGGAAGGGCGACUACCGCAACUACCAAUAGUGUUAACUAUAAAUCUCUUGAAGAAUUGGAUAUAAGGGGUGGAUGCCAAACUCUGUUAUCAUUAUUAGAGACAAAGCUCCUGUCCCGACUUAAGAUUGAAAAUGUUGACGUACAGUGCUUGCCCAACUGCAAUCGUCUUCAACGUUUGACUCUUUUGAAUUGUCCAACGCUGUCGUCAUUCCCUAAAGAUGGCCUACCCACUACAUUGACAUCACUUACUAUACUCAAUUGUAGGAGAUUAGAAUUCCUACCUCAUGAGAUGUUGGCCAAAUUAACAUCGCUUGACUAUUUGGGCAUACAAAGUAGCUGUGAUUCAAUGAGGUCCUUACCGUUGGGCAUUUUUCCCAAAUUGACGACGCUUCAAAUUCUUGGUUGUGAGAAUCUGGAAUCUUUUUCCUUGAUUGAAGAAGAAGGAGCUGUUGAGAAUCUCAGCCAUCUCAAUUCCUUGCAAGUCAUUAACUGUCCAAAAAUGGUGUGUUUUCACGAGGGAGAAUUGCCCUUUCCCAACCUGAGUCACUUUGUAGUCAUUGACUGCGAGAAUUUGAAGUCAUUGCCCGAACGCCUUCACACCCUCACUGCCCUUCGAUCUUUGAAUAUAUGGAAUCUUCCGAAUCUGGAGUCAUUUGCAGAAGAUGGGGGUUUGCCUCCCAACCUCCGAUCUUUUAUCAUUAGGAAUUGUAAGAGACUGAGGGCACUUGACUCAGUGGGUUUGCAAGCACUUGUCUACCUUCAGAUCGAUGGAAGUGACCAUGUCUUGGAGACGUUGCUGCUCCCUACCACUCUUCACACUCUCUGCAUCUCUGAUCUAUCAACUCUGAAAUCUUUGGACGGAAAGGGUCUUGGACACCUCACUUCUCUUCAAACUCUAAAAAUUUACAGCUGUCCAAGUCUUCAAUGCCUGCCAGAAGAGGGUUUGCCGCCAUCUCUUUCUCAUCUGAGUAUCCGCUGUUGUCCUACCCUGGAGGAAAGGUAUAAGAAUAAAACGGGACAAGAUUGGGCAAAGAUAUCUCACAUUCCUUGCAUCGAGAUAGGGGAAGAAGUGAUCAUAUAAUAUGAGCUAUUCCAUAUUUCACGCUCAACCCUCAACUCUCAAAUCAAAGUCAGGUGAGGUAUGUGCCUUCUCUUACUUUAAAAAACUGCUUCUCUUCUUCUAAUUGAAUACAAAAACCAAAACACAUAUUCUCUUUCUCUUCCAAAAACCCAAAUACAUGUUGGACAUAGCCCAACGCUGUACUUUCAUAGGUACUGCAUGUAUAUUAUCUUAGUAUCAACAGGUGGUCUUAUGUGGACGAGAGAGAACAUUGAGGAAUUACAAAAUCUUCUUAGUGAAUUAAGCUUGCUUCAGCUCUGUUUGUCAUCCCUCUCAUUUUCUUUGUUAAGCCUUGGUUUUUUAUUAGGAGAUGAAUGCUUUUAUAUAUUGAUGUCGUAGUCAGUCUUCAACCACACUCCGUUUUUAGAAUUCGUUUAUGUUACUAGUGGAGUGCUGCUGUAUUUUAUAUUUCGUUCCUGUAAUGUUUGAUGUUUAGUUUGAGUAGUCUAGCUUAUCCAGUAGAUAACUCGUCCCCUGUUUUGUAAUGUUUUUGUUUCCUCUAAUGAAAGCAGGUUUUACUUAUCUUAAACUUUUAUUUUUAUUUUUAAAUAUCAGUAAUAACUGGGAAAGCUUGCAUCUCCUUAAAUUGCUCAUUCUUACAUCUUUUAUAGUUUG
rnacentral:lncRNA from 1 species